CAAAGUAAAGCGCGGAAGCAACAACAAGGACAAAACUUAUAUUAAGUAAAGUUUCCACUUAAACAUUUUUAUUAAAUCGUGAAGGAUCACCUUGAUGGUACACUAAGUUUAUUACAACAAGCCAAGAGCGAUAUUAUUUAAUCUAAUUGUGGGUGAAACCGUGAAGAUGUGCCGCUAAUCCCAUCCCUUCAAGCAAAGCAUCCAAACAAAGCACCUGGAAAGAUAGAGGGGUGAGAAUAAAUCUCAGCAAGCAAACUGCCUGAAUAUGUCAUUCAAUCUACAAGUUAAUUAAGCAUCGAUUAAAAGUGGAAGAUAUGACAACAUAAGAAAUUAAUAAUUCAUAGUCAAAUUAUUUAUCAAGUGAUAGCACCAUAAUGCAUGUAGUAAACAUCAUCAUGGUAUUCAAUAAAUAAACUACCUCUUCAAAUAUAAAAAAUGCCUCAUAUCCACAUCCUCAAUGCAAGUAAACCUCAAAGUGCAGAUGCAAUGCAUAUGCAUGUCCACUACCUCCAUACCCAAUAAGGUAUGAAGCUGCAUCGUACCCCUCCUCGGGCAACGUACGAUGCUGUACCGGUACGGUCGCGGCUAGCAAGCGGCGACAUCCACGAAUGCCAUGCAAUGCAAUAUGAUGCAAUGAUAUGAUGCAACUGCAAGAGUAGUUGCCACAUAUGUCGUAUACCUCCACAAUCAAAUAUAUCGCACUUACCUCAUGAAGAAAGAUAAAUACUUACCACACAUGCCAUAUGUUUCCACAAUUAUAAAACAUACCACUUACCUUUCAGAUGACAUAUGAGAUUCAACAAUUAUGAUCACAACAAAUAGUAUUAUAAAGAAUAUGUUAAUUCAUAAUAGGUAGAUCAUCUUAGUUCAGUUAAUGUUAUAACAAAGUGUAUGUAGAACAAACAACAAGUCAGGCUGUAGCAACCACCGCUACGUUUACUUGCCUCAAAACAGCGAUUGAAGAACAUGAGCUUAGAAUGAUCCAAAGGCACACCACCUGUUUAAACAUCAUCACCUCAGAAAAUAAACUCAUUGAAAUAUUCACAGAUGACAAACAAAACACUUCUAUGGCCUGCAACAUCACUCUCCUCAAAACAGCAACCAAACAACCAAUCAACAGCAGCAACCCUACUUUAAAUUUUUAGUGUGGAUAGGUUACAUGUUCAAAAAUUAUGAAAUUUUUAUAGAAGAUAUAAAACUCCAUUAUCUACAACUUUUAUAUAAAUCAAUCUGGCAUAUGAGAUCUAUAAGAUAGCAUAAAUAGCCUCUGAACUUGACUGAACUUUUCUGACGACAAAAACAAGAUAGCAAACUUCUAAAAUUCAUAACUAAAGUUAUGCUUAUCCAAAAAUGAUGGUCUUUAUCAAUAUAGAAAACCAAAUUAAUAUUCUACAACUUUCAUGUUAUAAGCUUUGCAUUUUAAGGACUGAAAAAUGCUCAUAACGAGCCAAGAAUCUCACUACACUUUUUCAGAUAGCAGAACAACAACAGCUGUCUAAAACACACAUAACUGGAGCUAUACUAGUCGAAAAUAUAUGAUAUUUAACAAUCUGGAAAGCUUAUGAAAUUACAAACAAGUUUUAUUUAGAUCAUUCCAUGAGAUUAUGGACGUAUGACAACAUAAAACUGAAUGUAUUUAACUGUGUACAGAUUUCAGACAGCGCAAAUGCAUCAACAAACAACGACCAUAUAUCCUAAACCAUAAGGGCUACAAUGUUGAUAUUUACACCAAAAGAAAGAUAUUGAAGUCUGCUGCUUGAAUAUAUUUUUUUAUGAUUUUUUAGAUACAUAAAAAUAUCCCAAAACAGCACACCAUUUACAACUGCGCAAUCUGAAAAACACAGUAGGGCCUAAUUUCGAGAUUAGAACCCUAACCUGUCAACUAAUCCAAGGGAAUUGACAAACCCUAGCAUCGAUUUCCCACAAAAUAAAAGGGAAAAGAAGGAUCUUACCCCCAAUGAGUUUAGAUGAGGAACGAACACGGCAGCGAUCCACGAGCGAAACCCUAGAUCCUCCCACCUUCUCCCUUCUCUCCUCUCCUUUCUCUUCUCCCCUCUCUUCUUUUCUUUUUCUGAAUAUGAACGGCUAUGGAUGACACCUAAAGGCCUUGGAGGGGGAUAUAAAAGGUCACCAUGGGCACUGUAGCGGCACGCUACAAUACAUCUUUUCUGUUUAUUUGUUUUUCUUAAAACUUCUAAAAUUUAUAUCUCCAUGACCCAAAUUCCAAACAAUGCAUAUGAGCAGUGCAACUGAAAACAUUCGAUGAGCUCUACACAUUUGUGGUCUCUAAUUGUUCAUCCAAGCGACAUAAAAAAAUUAUUUUUUUGCCACUCACUAGAACUCCUAAUUAUGUAUUUACCAUUUUAUGCUUUCUAACAUACAAAACGUAUUUUGGGGUGUUACAAUAUAGGAAAAGUGCCUGCUCUAGUUACCACCAUCAGUCAAGGCAAGUAUCUCCUUGCAGAGAUAAUUUAAGUAACCGUGCAUUGGAACGAAGGCAAACUUUGAUCUAUGUGUGACAAGCUAGAAUCAAUUGAAUAAUAUUGUUUCUGCUUCGAGCAACAGACCAAGAUAUAUGCCGCCCUAUAUAUAUACUGGUAUGGAGUACCAACUUGUGCACAUUUAGAAUCAAUCUAAUACCAACAGAAUCUUGUUUAAAAAAAUCACCAACAGAAUCAAGCUAGGUGUGCACAAAAAUUCAUCUAAUUUUGGACCUGAUAACUAUAAGACCCUCUUAGAAAGAAGAACAUACAUCACAUAUAUACACCUAGCAGCCAUGUCUUCCCUCUAAUAUAUAUGCAAAAAACUAAAUUAAUACUUCAACCAUAGUUGCAUAACUUGCAGUAUGAAGUAAUCAGAGAUGUACCACCAUUCUAACUCUACACCUAUUUAAAGAUGCAUUUUUUUACAACAAACAAUUGAUAGAAUUUGCUAUAGGAAAUCUCUUCUGUACACAGAACUCUAAACUCAUCCAAGAUUCAGAGCUUCGUUCUUCUGGACAGUCAUGUCCCUAAUAUACAUUCAUGGUACAAGAACACUUAGCAAGUUUGGAUCCUCCCUCCUUGAAUCCAUCGGUCAAUUCAAUUCUGGCUAAUGUAUGUUGCACUAUUGGUCCAACUCUUAGGCCCUGUUUGGUUCCACCAACUAAAUUUUAGCUAGCUAAACUUUAGUCACUUUAGUAGCUAAAGUUCCAAACACAUUGACUAAAAGGAGUUAAAAUAGUUUAGUUCUAUUAGUCAUCCAAGAGUAGCUAAAAUAAUUUUAGCUAGCUAAAAUUUAGCAUGGGGAACCAAACAGGCCCUUACUCUAACGAAAUGGUUCAAGCAAAUAGUCAUUUUACUCCCAGGCCAAACCACAAGGCAUGAGUGAAACUAAAGGGAGUUCAGAGAUAUCAAGCAGGAAGUUAAUGAUCAGAACACCAUAACAUAGAGUUAGAUCUAAUAAGAAACACAAGCAUCUAUCUGCAAGCCUGUAUGACACUUACAUUGGAAUCUAAAAAAAGAAUUUAGGUCUCACUAGAACUGCAUGAGACCAAACUCUGGGAUUAAAUUUGUUUAUUAUGGUGAUUAUUCUACGUUGUCCAUAAUAAAGGAGACACAUGAGCGAUAUGCCGAUAUGCUCUUCUUCGGAAAUGAAAAGGUUUUCUCAAACACAUCAGUUUUCAAACUUUAAAGAAGGGAUCAUUAUUUGUUUUGAUGUUUUUGUUUAGAUGCAAGGCAAGGGAGAAAAAACAACAGAUUUUGUGCAUCCUUUGAAAAAAGAAAAUUCAAAUCAAAACACUGAACAUGGGGGAAUAAAUACUUCUACGCUUAUGAGAUCAAGGUCAGAUUAGGCACAGAGCAAAGAAAAACUGAAAUAUGAAAAAGGGAAGGAAAGGAAAAGAAACCUGAUACAUAAGUGAUGAAGAAGCUAUGUACAAAUUCCCUAGAAACAGAACGAUAAUUGAAGCUCAUAAGUCCGGUUUAGAAUAAGAAACAUGCAGAUAUUUGUGAUAUUAUUCAAAAUCUAAUCAGCAACUGAAAAUGUAGCCAGAGCAUACCAAUUCAGUGGUCUGUGUCCAUACCAAUCAACAGAUCAAACAUUCAGAACUACUCUACAUAUCAGCAAACUGUCUUACUGCCUGUAUCAGUGUAUCAUGCAAUUCAUUGAUGCUAUCUGUCAACAAAAUGUCAAUCGAUAAGUUAGAGAUCAGACUCUCGGAGGAGGCUUACCCAAUCAAGUAGAGACAGUGAGGAGGCGAGAUUGCAGACCGACAACACAUGUGGUUUCCUGAUCGAUGGCGGGUGCAUGAUCGAUCGACGGUGGUGGCUAUCGUUGACUGGCCUCUACGCCUGUUUGAUUCUUCGUGCGGGGGGCAGCGCUGAUCGAUCGACGGCGGUGUCUGUCGUUCCUCGGCCUCCGCCCCUGGUUGAUUCUCCGAAUCUCCGUGCAGGGGGCGGCGGGAGUUUCCGGCAGUUAGGGGAGAUGGGUGUUAGCGGUACGGUGGUGACUGCCGGCGGGGGAGGGGCGGCGAAGCGGCGGGGUUAGGGCGGGAAGGCGGACGGGGGCGUGUGGGGCUGGGGCCGAGUCGGGUUUUUUUUUUUGGGUUAAUUAACUGUAGAUCAUACCCACGCAUUGCCGCAUCUCCGCCCGCGGCAAAGCGCCGCUGCUCUCCCACGCCUCUCUGACCACCUCCGCCCGCAGCUCCGCCCUGCGCCGGCGCCUCUCCGGCCACCUCCACCCGCGGCCCCGCGCCGCUGCUCUCCUGCCCACUCACGCCGGCCGCCUCCGCCCGCAGCACAGCGCCGGUGCUCUCCUGCCCGCCCGCCCGCUCCUGACCAGGGCCCCACGCCGGAGCUCUCCGCCUGCCCGCGCCGGUGCUCGACCGUGCGUGCGCGCGCGAGAGAGAGAGAGACGGCGCUCGCCGCUUACUCGUUCUGGGGGAAUAUUGGAGAAAGGGGAGCGGGUCCAUCCCUCUCCCUCAACCAAACGGAACCGCUCCGUCCCGUUUCCCCUCGCCCUCGCCCCCUUCGACCAAAGUCACCAAACGCAUCGUAAACCAGCUCCUCGACUCGAGCUCGAGCUCAACUCGGCGGAGAUCUCCGGCGAGGCGCCGGACGCCGGCGAUGGCACCGGGGGCCGACGAAGCACUGUACGAGAUCCACCGGCACGCGUCAGGAUCCCACGUGAUCCCUCAUGUGAGUGCCCGGCCCCUCCAUCUCUCCUCAUUCUCCCAUGCUUCCUCCCGCCUCGUAAUCCAAUCGCGGGCGGGUUGUGCGUGGGAGAGAUGCGAAGCGGGUCAUCGUAGAUUCGCGCUCUUCAACACUAUUUUCUUGAUGUCUUUUUUCCGAAUUCUAUUUUCUGGUGAGAGUGUCGCCAGAGUUCAUAGCAAUAGCUCACAAGGAUUUUUCGUUUUAGCCUGUCUAUCGUUCUAUGUGUGUGUGUGUGUUUUAAUUUCGUGCAACGUUGCUGCAAGGGUGUUCAUUUUGCUAAGUUUUUUUUGUAGUAUUUUGGAAGCUAAAUAGCUGUGAAAUCUUGAUGGUUAUCUUCAUUGCUAUGUAAUUUUUGCAAACACAGGAAGAAGAAUACCAAGGUGCUGCGACAAGUAGUGGUAGCUCAGAUGCUGGAGGAGGAGGCGUCCUCUCCUAUCUCUCCUUGCAAGGUACAAUUCCAUCACUUAGAAUUCUUAACAAAUUCAUCCAUACAGGAUGCGGCGCUGACCAGUUGCUUCUUCAUGCUACCACCAUCCACCCUUGAAGGUGUGAGCAAACUUAAGGAAAGGUGGGCUAGGUACAGUGUGCUGGGGAAGAGUAGGCAGAGGAAGAGGGGUGAUGGCGUGGCACUGUUCGUCUCACCAAACGCGGAAUAUGUGUCUGUAACUGUUGGGAAUCGCAUCAUCAUCUUGAGGAAAGGUGAUGGCUAUGCAUCACCUUGCGGUGUUUACACAAGUGAGUGAGUGCCCUGCUUGUUCCUGCAUCACUUUGGUUCUUAUAGUGUUAUUCACUGAUGUUGACUAUUAUGUGUAUUAUUAUGCCUGAAUGAACAUUGCCUCUCAAUUCUCAUGCGUAGAGAGUAUUAAGUUAUAUUUAUUGGAAUGAGUAAACCACAUAUUAUUUGAACUUUGAAGUCCUUUCAGAAAUGUGGCAUCUGAGAUCAUCAUAAUUUGCAUUGAAUAAACAAAAAAUGUUGUUUGUGGAAGAUAUCUUUAUUUGGUCAUGACAAUAGCAUUUCUGGCGUGUAAUUUUAAUAUGCACUGCUGACACAGAAGUAUUGUUGUGACUCUAGUUUCCUAGCUUGCUGCUCCCUUUGUCUGGGAAAGAAUACGAGAGUCAAACCAUUUUGAGUUUGGCCAAGUUUAUUAUUAUAAAAAAUAUCUAUAUUUAUAAUACCAAAUAAGUGUCAUUUGAAUGAAAUAUAUUGUUAAUAUACAUAUUUUGUGUUGUAAAGAUUGAUACUUUUUCUAUAAUCUUGGUCAAACUUUAGAAAGUUUGACUAAUGAUAGAGGUAGAAUUGCAUGUUUUCCCAGACGUAUGUAGUACUUCACAUAUAAAUUGUCUAUGUUAAAGUCUCCAAUUUUAUUUAUCGAAAUGUGGAGGAUUUGGGUGCAGGAUGCCAUUUCCAUGCUUCAAAGAAAAGUUGAACUGAUUAUUGGAAGGAUUUCAGUCCAUGCAUCAUUUGUUACCAUUUGCAUCAAGCAUACAUUUUUCACUGCUCAUUAUGUUUUCGUUCCUUAAGGAGACCAAUUAAAAAUUUUGGGAGAUUAGGUGCCAGUUUUUGUUUAUUUUGGCAGAAAUAUUGCACUAUGCGUUUUGCUACAAUCCCUAGACAGUAGUAUCUGCAUAUUUCCAUUUUAUUUAGUUGCUUAAAAAUGGUUUUAUAAUAUGGAACAUAGUUUCAUGUGCAUUUUCUGCAGUAGAUGUCUGGGGGCAUAUUUUUUUUCCUGAUUAUACACUGUAUUCUAAUUAUUUGUGGUCAGGUAAUGACAGAAUAACAUUUUUCACAAAUGGGGCUUGGCUGGAGGCUCAAGGCAUUUUUGGUGUGGUGGAUGACCUAAGCACACUUUACUUGAUCAAAGAAAAUGGGGAGUUAUUAGCAAGGAGGACAUGCGAUCAGUUGAAGCUAUCUUCUUCCAUUAUUGAUCUGGUUUUGCAGGAUGGUUCAAGCUUGCUUAGGUGAUUCUCAGUUGUUUUCAGUUGGGAGCUUUCCCCUUAAAUUAUGUAUGACAUCAUUUCAUGGGAUAAUUUGGCAGUAACUAAUAAAUUCCAUUACUAUUUGUAGGCCAGGUUUCUACAUUUUUACAAGUGACUGCUUGGUUCAUAGAUUUGAUUACACUGAAGAACCUGAGGCCAGUCUAUGCGAAGUUCCCAUAUCAACUAAAGAUGUGAUGUCAGCUAAGACUAUCCAGUUACCUCGAAGUUUAUCGUGCAUUGAUUACCAUCAACGUCACUCACUAUUUGUCCUAGUUGGAGAUUCCAAUGUUUCAUUUAGCUCCAAUAGUUAUUCUGGUAUGCUCAUUCACUAGCCUGUUCUCAACUGCUACACUUGUCAAUCUGCACUAUACAGCUUGUUCAUGAAAUUCAAAUGGUGCUGUUUCUAAUCUUCUUUAUUAUCAUAUUUUAGGAACCUAUUUUAUGUAUCUAUUACACGUCAACAAAAAACUGGAACUUAGUCUUUCAUUUCAAAGCCUGCAGUUGGAAGGGGUAUUUUCCCCCCUAAAGGAUCAAAGAACCUUUGUUUCAUCCCCGAAAAUCAGGAUCUCGCCUCAGGGAAAGUAUAUUGCUACGUUGGAUUUGACUGGUUUUGUAAACUUCUUUUCACUUGAUGGUGACACGCGCACUGUUUCACUUCAUACUCUUGGAAAUGGUAGAUGCCUAAUUGAUGUUAAGGACAUCAGUUGGUGGACAGAUAAUGUUCUCAUGUUGGUCAGAAAAGAUGGUAGCAUUAGCAUGUACAGCAUCACUGAAGACAAGAUAGUUUCCAAAGAUGAUCCAGUUUUAUCUACACCAGUAUUGGAGAAGGCAAAGGCUACUGAAGGACAUACUUUUGUUUUGCAAUCUAAGAGAUAUGGAACAAACACUCCAGUUAAUAAGCAGAUGGAUAAUGACUCGGAACAUAGACUGCUCAGUGGUUCUGGGGAGCACCAACAAACAGAAAUGGCUGAAAUGUCCUGGAGUCUGAUAUCAUUCUCCAAAGUUACAGUAGCAGAAAUGUACUCCGUUCUGAUAAGAGAGAAACGAUACAAGGAGGCUUUAGAUUUUGCUUCAAGAUAUAAUCUAGAUAAGGAUGAAGUUCUUAAAGCAUGCUGGUUGCACUCUGAUGGCGAUACUCAUGAGAUAGACUUGUACUUAGCAAAAAUUAAAGACCAAGUAUUUGUAUUAUCAGAAUGUGUAAACAAAGUUGGGCCUACAGAAGCAGCUUUAAGGGCUCUACUUUCUUUUGGACUUUGUAUAACUGAAGAUUACAAAUUUUCUGAGUUGGAUAACAGCAGUAAAGGUUCAACAUGGGACAGUCGCAUCAUUAGGCUUCGUUUAUUGCGGCACAGAGACAUGUUAGAGACAUUCUUGGGAAUUAAUAUGGGAAGGUAUGCCUUGCUAUUCUUUCUCUAGAUAAGAAAGCACAAGCAGGAAAUUGUUAAUUUCUUGGAAGCAUUUACAACUAUUUUACAGUUGUUGAGUCACAUUAAUCCUACACACAAAUUAACACAAUUCUUACGUGCAUAGAGCAUAUCUGAGGCACAGUUCAUCACUCAAGGUACUAUAGAGGUUUCUGCACUGAUAUACUCCCCUUAGUAAUUUGGUUUAUAACUGAAAUGAGCUUAACCCAAUGGCAACCUGAUCUUCUUAGUCAAAGGAAUGUUUCUUGACUUGUUUCCAUUUUAUUGUUAACUUAACAUUGCCAAGAUUACAUGUUGGCUUGUUUUUCAUUUGUCUAACCUAUUUGCUCAUUCCAGUUUUUAAAAUCACUUUCCUCUUUUUCUGCACUGUAUGAUGAUGUUAGCUUUCUUAGAAAAAUAUAUUGCAAAGUUGAUUGCAUGCACAUGUGGUGCAUGUGCAACUUGCUGCUUUAUAUUGGAGUUUGCUUGCUUGCUGCUUACUUUCUUUAUGCUAAAUGCAAUGGUCUUGUUAUGCAGGUACGCAGCAGGAGAAUAUAGCAAAUUCCGUUCAAUGCCAUUGGUGGAAACAGCCAUAGCAUUAGCCGAAAGUGGCAAAAUUGGGGCUUUAAAUCUUAUAUUCAAGCGUCAUCCAUAUACUAUCUCUUCAGAUAUUUUACGUGUUUUGUCUGCUAUCCCAGAAACUCUUGCUGUUCAGACUUAUAGUCAGUUGCUACCAGGGAAAUCCCCUCCCAGUGUUGUCAUAUUGAGAGAUGGUGAUUGGGUUGAAUGUGAACAGAUGGCUUCAUAUAUAAACAAUUGCCCUGCUGAGUUGGACAAGAUUGGAGAGAUCAAAACCGAAAUACUUGUAAAGCACUCAAAAGGCUUUUCAUGGCCUUCAGUUGCUGAACUUUGUGAGUGGUACAGGAACAGAGCAAGGGACAUUGACUGCUUAAGUGGACAGCUUGAAAACUGUCUGGCCAUAAUAGAGCUUGCAUGUCAGAAGGGCAUCGUAGAGUUGCAGCCAUUCUUUGAUGAUAUUAAAUGCCUCUACCAGGUUGUAUAUUCUAAUGAGUUGAAUGAGUUUACAAUGAAUCUUUUGACAUGGGAAGAUCUGCCUGAUUAUGAAAAGUUCAAAAUCAUCCUCAGAGGAGUCAAAGAAGAUACAGUUGUUCAACGGCUAGAAGAAAAUGCUAUCCCUUUUAUGAAGAAGGGAUUAUGCUCAACCUCCUCAAAUAAUGUGUGCAAACAAGCAUCCUACCUGGUUAGAUGGCUGAAAGAGGUAGCUGCUGAAAAUGAGCUUUUGAUUUGCUUAGCUGUCAUUGAAAAUGGUUGUGGGGAGUCACCAAUAUAUGGGCUCUUCAAGGAUCUUGCUGAGAUGAUAGAAACAGCUAUUCACUGCAUUUAUAUGUGCAGUGCAACUAACCAGUGGAAUACCAUGUCAUCAAUAUUAUCAAAGUUACUCUAUAAAACAAAGAGAGAGAAAUCUUUAGUGGCUAGUGAAGAAGACUGUAAUCUGAAAGAUGCUAAGCAUGCUCUUGGUUCUUCUGUGGUUUCUUAUGAGGAGAUGCAAUGUGUCUGUGCUGAUAUCUUAUCUGGUCUGGGCAAUGCUCCAGAAGAUUUUCAUCACUACGAACCUAAUAAUGUCAAAUAUCUUGAUAUAUUGGAGAAGAGGCUAAAAGUUGCUGAAGGCCAUGUAGAAGUAGGACGGCUCUUUGCUUAUUAUCAGGUAUUGAUGCCUCUUCAAUAAAAUUCCUGCUUCUAUGUUUCUUUGGUGUUUUUGACAUGUUGGAUUGUAGUAAAUCUACUUGGACUUCUUUAGCAGUGCUGCUCUGUAUAGGGAUACCUCAUACCUGUGAGCAUAUGUGAUGUGAGGGGGGGAAAAAAGAAAAAAUUAUCACAUGCUUUUCCGUUUGUGCUGCAAAACAUUGUCUAUCUGCAAGAUCAAACCGAACCAAAGUUAGGGCUUCCACCUCUUAAUUCACAGAACCACUGCUUGACAGAACAAUUGUCACUCUCAGAACCCCUUUGUUGUGUUUUAAUUCUAUGCCACUGAACCUUUCAUGCUGCCAAACAGAAUUUAAAGAUCUUUCAUUUUUUCAGCGAAUAGUUACCCUUUAUUUAAUCAGUUUAUAAGAAGCUUGAAGUAUUAGAACCUUGAAUUUUUUAUCGGAAAGGAACAUGACCUUCAAUGAUUUCAAGCUGUUCACAAGAUUGAAGGAGAGUGCUUUGUAGCCAUAGUUCUUUUCUUUCCUUUGGUGGGCUUGGCAGCACUGGUAAGUGGCGAUAAGAGUGCACUGUGGGAGAUGGUGGAUUGAUUGGAAUCGGUGAACAUGUAAGGCAGAUGCUGUUUGUGAAUAAGUUAUAGCAUUGUUCAUGCAUUUUCAUUCUUUUGCAUAUUCAUUUGCACUGAUAUACUCCCCUUAGUAAUUUGGCAUAGCGUUCCACUUAUAACUUAAAUGAGCUUGCUAGCAGUUAUACCUUCAAUUUUUCGUGGAUUAUUUACUUGUUUGCCAAUGUUUUUCACUGUCAGUGCAUCUCAUAGCUGAAUGUGGUUACAGGUCCCAAAACCAAUGCAUUUCUUCCUUAGUGCUCACUUAGACGAGAAGAAUGUAAAGCAAAUUAUACGGCUGCUUCUAUCGAAAUUUGGCAGACGUCAACCUGUUCGAUCAGACAAUGAGUGGGCUAACAUGUGGCGUGAUUUGAAACUCUUCCAAGAAAAGGCAUUUCCUUUUCUUGAUUCAGAAUAUAUGCUGGCAGAAUUUAUUAGAGGGCUUUUGAAAGCUGGUAAAUUUUCACUAGCUAGGAAUUAUCUUGGAGGAACCAGUGCUGUUUCUUUAUCUACAGAGAAGGCUGAAAAUCUUGUGAUACAAGCUGCAAGGGAGUAUUUCUUCUCGGCUUCAACUUUGUCUGGGAAUGAAGUGAGUUAAUGUUACAAAAUUUUUUCCAUCCAAUUAUUGAUCUGCCAUUUCAUUUCUGAUUAAUGCUAACUUGGAUUCCUUUGUAGAUUUGGAAGGCCAGGGAAUGCCUAAAUCUGUUGCCUAAUAGCAAAAAUGUUCAAGCAGAAACUGAUAUAAUUGAUGCUCUUACUGUUAGACUUCCUUAUCUAGGGGUGACUAUCCUUCCUGUUCAGUUCAGGCAGGUAAAGGAUCCUAUGGAGAUCAUCCGCAUGGUGAUAACAAGUCAAACAGGUGCAUACCUUCAUUUUGAAGAGAUUAUUGAUGUUGCUAAACUUCUGGGAUUAAGAAGUGAAGAGGAAGUAGCGGAUGUGGAGGAGGCUAUUGCCAGAGAAGCUGUGGUAAAUGGUGAUGUUCAACUUGCCCUUGAUAUCUGUUUAAAUUUAACAAAAAAGAGUCAUGGUGCAGUGUGGGAUUUAUGUGCGGCAAUUGCUAGAGGCCCUCCACUUGACAAUUUGGAUACUGGUACCCGUGAAAAGCUAUUGGGUUUCGCUCUCAUCCAUUGUGACGAAGAUUCUGUUGGGGAAUUGCUUAAUGCUUGGAAGGAGCUUCAUGCUCAUGGUAAAUUUGAGAAAUUAAUGAUUACAACCGCAACAAAUCCUCCCAAUUUCUUGAUUGAUGGAUCUUCAAUCACACCACUUCCUGUACAAAGUGUGCAAGACAUACUUGACCUGAGAGAUGACAGUGGCCAUGAUAGAAAUAGAGAUCUUGUGGAAAUUGUUAAAGACAUGCUGUCAAAAGUUUGCUUGGACUUUUCAAAUGGCGACACACAUAAUUGGGAGUCUAUAUUGGAAGAAAACCGGAAAUUGUUGUUGUUCGGAGCACUGGAAUUACCAUGGCUUUUGAAAUUGUUCAAUAAUGAAGUGUGUGAUGGUGAAAUAAGGGAUCAUCCCGCUAGGAGAUGUCGAUUUUCAACAAAAGUUGAAGCAGCAAUCAGCAUCAUAUAUUGGUUAGCUGUAAAUGGUUUGGCCCCCAACGAUAAUAUAAUCAUGAUUCUUGCAAAGUCUAUAAUGGAGCCUCCCGUUGAUGAAGAGUUUGAUGUACUUGGCUGCUCGGUUCUUUUGAAUCUAAUGGACCCUUUCAAUGGAGUGAAAAUAAUAGAGGAAGAGCUAAAAAGACGAGAAUGUUAUCAAGAAAUUAGCAGCAUAAUGAGUAUAGGAAUGUUAUAUAGUUCCCUCAAUAAUUCUAAGAAAGAGUGCUCCACUCCUGAGCAGAGGAGAAAUCUGUUGCUUUACAAAUUUCAUGAGAAGUUCACCUCAGCCGAUACGGGUAGGUGUACUAAAAUUAACAAGUCAUCAAUAUGGUCACUAUUUUACCUUUGAAUAUUCUGCUGAGCUCAAUACUUCUGCUGGGCUUUAUAUGAAUUGUUUUUGUGCUAAUAUAUACCAUAUUCAUUUUGUUUCUACCAACUUUGACAGAUGAUUUAGACCAGAUUGAUAUGGCAAAUACAACCUUCUGGAGAGAAUGGAAAUCAAAGUUAGAAGAGGAGAAACAACUGGCUGAUCAAGCGCGGAUGCUCAAGCAGAUAUUACCUGAUAUAGACACAUCUCGAUUCUUGUCUGGUGAUGUUAAUUAUAUCAAAAGAGUAGUUUACUCCUUUGUUGGUUCUGUAAAGCUGGAGAAAAAACACAUACUCAAGGAAGCAGUGAGGAUAGCUGAGACAUAUGGCUUGCAACGAACUGAGGUCUCUCUCACACAUCUGAUCUUAUAUUUUUGUUUUCUUUAGAUGUAAAUUUCUCAUCUGCAGUUUUGUCUCCUGAUGUUUUACAAUCUCAUAUUGUUGCUUGGAUUUUUAGGUGCUUUUACGAUUUCUUGCCUGCAGUCUUGUGUCUGAAUACUGGGAUAACAAUGAUAUUCUGAACGAAAUUUCUGAAUUCCGGGAGGACAUUGUCAGAUCAGCUAAGGGUGUGAUCGAUAUGAUAUAUUCUGAUGUCUAUCCGGAGAUAGAUGGGUAUAAUAAACAGCGCCUUUCUUACAUUUAUGGCAUUCUUUCAGCAUGCCAUUCAUAUCUGAAGAGGACCAAUGAGAUAGAAUUGAGAUACCCAGAGCAUGUGCAUACCCAUAAGCUUGAACCAUUUGAGUAUUAUAAGGUACUUGAGGAAGAGUGCAAGAAAGUCUGCUUCAUUGAUGGCUUGAACUAUAAAAACAUUGCUGGACUGGAUAAUCUGAACUUUGAGCAUUUCAAUGAAGAAGUAUGCAAGAAUAUCCAUGCCUCUACCGUUACUGCCCUAGCCGAUAUGGUACAAUCUCUUGUGAGUAUGUAUGUUGAUGUACAGGCCAAGGGACUCAUAUCACAACAAGGUGUUUACAAGCACUAUGUUCUGGGGUUGCUGGCAUCAUUAGAAGGCCGCAGUGAAGCACAAUCGAAUUGCACAGAUUAUGAAAAGUUGCAGGCUGCCCUAUGCGAAGUUGAAUUGAACUAUGAUAGUUGCAGGGAGUACAUCCAAGCUCUUCCAGCCACAGAUAUUUCAUAUAUUGUAGGAAGGUAUUGCACCCUCUGCUUUCCAUCUAACUUAGCACGAAGCCUUCCACAGGAACCUUCGUGGAGGAAACCUCUUGCAACGCUACUAGCAUUUUGGUCUAAACUUGUUGAUGACAUACCGGGGGAUUCAAUUGAUGCUCGCUCAUAUGAAAGAACAGACUACUUAAAUUCAAAUAGGUUAUCUCUGUGCAUAGGAGCUUUCAGGCAGCUGUUGAUAAAUGAUGAGAUAGCACUGCACCAAGGUUGGGAUGCCAUCUCCAUGUAUGUAAAAGAUUGCCUUAGAAGUGGAAUGAUGAUGGAAACAUCAUGUUUUUGUAGAGCUAUGAUUCUAUCAGGCUGUAGUUUUGAAUCUGUAGUUGAAGUAUACUAUGGAGGACAAGGACAAUUAGGGAGUGAGAAUGCAGAUCCAAGCAAUUAUUUGGAUCUCUUAGAACUUUAUAAUGCUGCUACAGAAGAGUGUUUGUCAGAUUUGAGUGAGGAAUCUUGUGAAUAUCGAAUAUUGCUUCAUCAUUUGCUGUCAUCUUUGAGCCGGUCAACAGGAAAACAUGCUGGUACUCUAGAAAUGAUCAGAUCUGGUGUUUGGGGGAAGUUAAUCCGCUUUUCGGAAGACAUGCAGCUAGAGAGCCAAUUACGAGUCUAUGCGCUACAGCUGAUGCAAUGUAUCACAGGAAGAAACCUUAAAACUCUUCCAAAUGAGAUGGUGUGCCAGGUUGAGCCAUGGGAAUCAUGGUAUGAGCAUGGAGCAGGUGCUGCCAUGGCUGAUGAGAGUAUCAACUCCUCUAGCAGCAUCACAGGGACUCUUGUGGCACUUAGAUCUACUCAGAUGGUCACUGCAGUUCUGCCUGAUGCUAAUAUCACUCCAGAAAACCUAGCAACUCUUGAUUCUGCAGUAUCUUGUUUUUUAAACUUUUUAGAACAUGCUUCUGCUGCGAACGUUGCUGUUCUGGAAGCAGUGUUAGAAGAGUGGGAGCAACUCUUCUUCCCCAAAGAAGAGCAUGUUGUGCCUCAUGAAUCACCAAAAGAAACAAGUGACUGGAGUGAUGGAUGGGAUGAUGGCUGGGAGGCCCUACCGGAAGAGCUGGAGAGUCCAAAGAAUAAACAAGAGGGUGUGUCGUUAUCUGUCCAUCCCCUCCACAGUUGUUGGAUGGAGGUUAUCAGAAAACGUGUUGAGCUUGGUGAGCUGCACAAGGUCGUUGAACUUCUGGACCGAGCAUCUGCGAAACAUAGCGUGUUCCUAGAGGAAGAAGAAGCACACAGCUUGGUUGAGCUUGUAUCUGCUCUGGACUGCUUCAUGGCUCUUAAAACUGUGCUGCUACUCCCAUAUGAAGCUCUGAGACUGCAGUGCCUGCAGAUGGUGGAGGCGAAAAUGAGGGAAGGAAUCGUGUCCACCUCAUCAAAUGCUGAUGAUCAUGAGCUCCUUGCCUUGGUUCUUUCCUCUGAAACUAUGCAGAAGAUCACCAUAGAAGAGGCGUACUCCAAAUUUUUCUCUUACAUAUGCCAUCUUGUCGGGCACCUUGCAAGGUCAUUCCAGACUGCUCUCCUCGUACAAUGGAACGAUGAAGCAACAUCUAAGAUCAACAGAUCUUUACUGUUCGGUAGAGUUUUGUUUCCAUGUUUUGUAUCUGAACUGGUCCUCAGAGGGCAGUAUCUUCUGGCUGGGUUCGUCAUCUCGAGAUGGAUGCACACACAUCCAUCCCUGGGCCUGAUGGAUAUCACUGAGACCAGUGUGCGACGCUUCCUUCAAGGCCAGGUUGCCCAAGCUGAGCUGGUGGGAGGAAGCGAUGCUGCUUUCACUGACGGUGAAGUUUGUGUAAGGCACACAAUCUCCAACCUACAGUCGAAACUUGUUUCUCUUCUGCAAUCCGCAUUGGCAGCCCUCCCGAACCAGGAGUUGUAAGCAGCAUUAGUUUUGUGUACAUUUAUUUAACUUUACAUUGUUGCUGUACUGCCAGUUUACCUGUAACAUAUAAUGUUUACUUGAGAUGAUGGUAAAAGGAAUAGUUGGAGAUUGCAGAAUGUUUUCACAAACCUACGAAGUUCUCUAGGUUCAGAAACACAACCACAUCCCCCAAUCCAUGUCUUCUGAUCACCAAGCCUGGCUUCAACCAAACAAACCACGCAAGCCCACAGAGGCUGCAGAGCAUGUUCAGAAAGAUGUUAAAGCGACUUAAACUACUUCAUUACAGGCUAUGGUCCGGCAAACAGCACAUCCUUCCUUCGUGGCUUGAUUGUGAAUGGCUUGAUUGUGAAAGAACAGCGUCGUCGUCUUCAAGUUUUUUGAUCCCUGCACCAUCUACUUUCGCUGAAUAGACGAGGAAAGAACAGAUCAUACAGAUGAUCUCAAUCAGGGAUUUGACGCGUUUGUCUUCAAAGCAUUCAGUUUCUUGUACGCCAGAUUGCCUUACAAAUAGCAGCAAGACCCACUGCAUACACUGGUUACCAUUGGGUAAGCUUAUUGUAAGGGCAGUCCCAAUGGUCGAAACUAUGUGCAAUAUCCAAGAUGACCACGUCAGCAAAAUUUCAUGUAUAGAACUAUUCCCUCCAAUGCAGAUUUCUUCACGUAAUAAAUACAAAACUUUUUUUUCCCUUAUCCAUUCCUCCUCCAAUACUCUCUUUCCCGUUUUCGAACUCUCUCCCAACUGCACACUCUCGUUCUCUCAAUCGCUGCCAACCAAGCACGAGUACACAAGGCAUGAAACACUACGAGUACGGCGGGCGAGCGUUGUGGCAGCUAGCGCGGGCGAGCGAGCGUUGCGGCGAGGUGGGUGGGCACUCAAGGCAGCAAGCGAGCGUUGCGGCGGCGCAGGAGAGCGUGCGUUGCGGCUGCUGGGGAGCGUUGUGGCGGCGUGGCCGAGCGCACGGUGGGGCUGCCGGUGAGCUUUCGUGACGGCGUGGGCGAGUGUUGUGGCGGCCGGCGAGCGUAGUAACUAGGUGAUGGAGCAGGCGAGCGCCCAUGGUGGAGCUGACGAGGGCAGGCGGACGUACGACGCGAGAAGGGCGGGCGCGCUGCCGCAGCAGCGGCCGGCGAGCGCGAAGCCCGCGAUGUGAGCCCACGCAGCAGCGCCGACGGGUGGCGCGAGCAGGGCGGGCGCGGCGCUGCCGAAGGCGAGCGGGACAGGCCGCGCGACGCAACAGGCGCGAGCGAGAUGGACAGUUUCUUCCCAACGGCGAUUUUGCCGUUUCUUUGUGCCUUGGGGCGAGCGUAGAUGUCGUUUCUAGGUGAAGAAACGAUUUCUACUAUUUCUCUUCUCUUUCCUCAUUAAUUGAUCUGCCAUGUCAGCAUUUUAACUUAGGUGGCACCUCAUUUAAGAGAAAUAGAAACCACAAUUAAUAUACAUUGGGACUGCCCUAACUUUACAAGGUCUGCAGACGGCUGCUGAUUCCAAAAGCAAAGGCAAGGUAACAACGUACUCUCUCCAUCCCAAAACAAAGUGCUCAUCUUGUACUGCAAGAAGUCAAUUAAACCUAUAUUUAACUAAAUAUAUAUAAAAAUAUACUGAUAUUUAUAAUACUAAAUAAACAUUAGAUUAAUCAUGUCGUCUAUUUUUGUUGUAAACUCAUUGAGAGAUAACUGAACCUGAUUGACUCCUUGCGACAAAAAAGUUGAUUGACUCUACAGCAUGCAAGACGUGCACUUGUUUUGGGGAUGGAGGGAAUAUUUGGUUGUUAUACAUCCAAAGAUAAGAUGUUCCAAUGUUUAAAAGCUUAUUUGGAUGAAUUAGAGCUAGUUACUAGUUAGGCUAAAAAUUAGCUUAAAUUAGCUAAGGUUGUAUAUCUAAUUUGCUAGUAACUAGUUAAACACUUGCCUAAAAAACUAGCCCAUCUAUUAGCCCUUAUAUGAUGCACUAGAGUCUAUUCACUUACCUAAAAGGUAUGGUUUAAAGUAUUGUUUACUGAGAGAAAAACACUCCAAAAAACUCAAGCGAACAGACUCUAACCGUGUGUUUGGUUGGAGAGCGGGGCGAGCCGGAUCGCAGCGAACCCGUUCCCAUGACUAUUUGGUUGGAGGAUGUGAGGGUUGAGUUGGCUUCAGGGUGAAAUAUUCCUCUUAGAAGUGGGUUGGACUCGUCCGUCAAAAUCUGUCAGACGGAGCCGCUCCAGCCGGGUUGACUCUCACCAAACAUUGAAUUUCUUUAACUAAACACUGAACGGAGCUGCUCUAUCCCUAAUCCUUCAACCAAACACUGAAACGGAUUGGCUCCAUUCCCAAAAGCAGAAGUAUAACCAAACAUUAGACGCGUUGGCUCUGCCUCCAAAACUUGGUUGGAUGCAACCCAACCCAGCCAACCCCAACUAAACACACGGUAAGUGUGAUUAGCCAUGUAUCAAAAACAGGCCCUUAGGUGGCGCUCGAAAAAACGAUGCUGCUCCUGGUCCGAAUUUCGUAUCACGUUUGGCUCACACCUACGCUUUUCGUCCCACGUUUUGGAUUUUUAUAUCAUCUUAUUCAAACCUUUUAUAUAAAUAUUUGAGGAACGGGGUAGCCAAAAGUCAAGGACAAAAGGAAACACGUACGCGCCGCUCAAGUACUAUAGACACGAAUCACACCUAAAACCAUUGCGUCGUCGUCGUUCCAGCAGCAGCUCAGAGUUGGAACCCCCACGCACGCAGCAUCGUCGUCGAACUCUUCGUCUCUUCCCGUUGCGGCGGCGGCGGAGAUGGCGGCGAAUCUAGAGGACGUGCCUUCUCUGGAUCUGAUGCACGAACUGCUCCGCCGCAUGAAGUGCAGCUCCAAGCCCGACAAGCAUCUCAUCCUUAUCGGUACGGGAGGCCCUCCCCUUCUUCCUCCCACCCGCAGGCGGCGGCGGCUCCGCGCUGUUCCUGGUGCUGCCGGGAGGGCAAGGCUGCGGCUUGCCGCGGUUCGCUCUCUGGAUCCGCCGUACUUUCUUUGAAAUCUUGGUUAUUAUUUCCUAUUUCACUUCUUGCAUUUGUGGCGAAGAAACCUGGCUUCGUUUUGGUUUGCAUACUGGAUUGUCUGCGAUUUCUUAACAUACCGAAAUAUUCACAAUUGAUCAUGCGCUUGUAGAUUAGUUCUGGACAUUCAGGUCGCUGACUCCUCCUGCUGUUUGGUUUUGGUGAUUUUGUUGUAAUCUAGAAUUCUUUAAGGAUUCAAAGGAUAAUUGUAGUGUACUUGGCCUGGUGUGGAAGCCUUUUCUUCAUGAGGAUAAGAUAUGGGUGCAACUUUGUGCAUGCGCGUGGAGAUGUUGAUCUCGAGUUCUCGACAAAUGCUAGUCUGACCUGCCCCUUUUUAACAUUGGGUCCACUCAAUAUUUAUUGUCAUCUAAACCUUAUGCAACUAUACUGUUAGUUUUUGUUGCUAAUAAUGAUUAUGCAUUUAAAUCGAAAAAAACUGCAUUAGAGCAUCUCCAAAGGUCUUUAAAAAUUACUACUUGGUAAACCAAUGAUUAUGUUAAGUGAAUAAAAUAAAUAGGGAGCUCUAUUUUUACCUUUCGUCCAAUAGUUAGCUUUGCAAAACUCGGAAACCAGGCAGGACAGGAGAAAAAUUGCAGCGGAGGGAGUGCCUCCGGACAACCGGACAGAUAGCAAGCGGGAACUCACGCGUAUAUUUGUAUGUUGAGAAGGUAGAUUUACCAAGUGCUUAUCUUUAUGGAAGUUCAGAUACAAAACUGUUGGAGGGCUGAUUAGGGAGUUUUAAGGAGCUCUUGGAGAUGCUUUUAACAAAAUGAUACUAAACUGUGAUACCGAACACAAGUAAAUUGCAAUAUAUGGUGUGUCUACUAUUUGGUGUUUUCUUUUCAUGGUAGCCUUAUUCCUUGUCAUGCUAUUUGACUUGAUAUAUUAUUCUUGUUGGGUAGUAUUGUAUAGGAAGAAUUAAUGUCAUAGUGCCUUUUUGUUUCCUCAUUCACAACAUUUUGACUUUUGAUUUCUUAUUCUAUAGUGCUCCUGAUUUGGAGAGUUUGGCACCCCUUUCACUAAUCUUGUAGGUCCACCUGGCUCUGGAAAGGGUACUCAGUCUCCCCUUAUUAAGGAUGAAUAUUGCCUGUGCCAUUUAGCCACUGGUGAUAUGCUGAGGGCUGCUGUGGCGGCCAAGACACCUCUAGGUAUCAAAGCUAAAGAAGCUAUGGAUAAGGUAAUGUUAGCAGACCAAAACAUAUAAGAGAACUAACCAGCUGAAAUGUUUCUUUGUGACUCCAUUGUCCUUCCUGUUUUAGGGGGAGCUUGUUUCAGAUGGCUUGGUUGUGGGGCUUAUUGAUGAAGCUAUGAAGAAACCCUCAUGCCAGAAAGGUUUCAUUCUUGAUGGCUUCCCUAGAACUGUCACUCAAGCACAGAAGGUCAGAUGCUCGAUCGAUGCAUCAGCGAAGAAACAUUCCUAUAUCAUAUUCUUGUAGAUUCUGUAUUUGAUUUAGUAUAAUUUCCCCCCACGCUGUUUUUUUUGAACAUCCUGUACAGCUCGAUGAGAUGUUGGCAAAGCAAGGUGCUAAUGUUGACAAGGUCCUGAACUUUGCAAUUGAUGAUGCUAUAUUGGAAGAACGGAUUACUGGUCGUUGGAUCCACCCAGCCAGUGGUAGGACUUACCAUACAAAAUUUGCACCUCCAAAGUCUCCGGGAGUUGAUGAUGUAAGUCAAGUACGGAGCAUUUAGUUUAGCCGCUUAUUUUAUGUUUGCGUGAUCUUAUUUGUAUUGCUUCUACUUUCUUCUAGUCUUAGUGUGGAUCGAUUCAGUAUUUUACCGUGUUUGUUGUUCUAGUUUUCCACUCAGCUUCAUGUGGCAUAACUUUUCCAAUCUGUUAGAUAAUAAAUUAGAGUAAUCACAUCUUGACAAUUAUGGCUGGGUGAAUUUUUUUUCUCGAACACACAGGAUAGCUACAUGUCAUUGUAUUAAGAAGAAAUGGCUGAGUCAAUAUUGGCAUACUGUUAUGGUCUGAGUCUGCUUGUGGACGCCAUUAUUUCUGCUUGUGGAUGCUAUUAUUUCUCAUUGCAUGAUAUAGUUUGUUACUUUAAGCAGUGAUGCAGCCUCUUUCUGCACCCUAUUUCUCCCUCAAGGAAAACCAUGCUCAUGAAAAAUGCACAUAGAUAAAUUCAGUUGUUGCUAUCUUUUUUGCAGCAAGGAAAAAAACCUGCAUUAUUGAAAGCACUUCCACUUUCUCUUGUAUUCAGCUAUUAAUCGCGAAAGUUUAUGUGAUAUAUCCAGAAUAUAUUUAUCAGCUGUUGUGUAUUUGCUCUUCUUUUUCACAAAGGUAACUGGAGAGCCAUUGAUUCAAAGGAGAGAUGACACAGCCGAGGUUUUGAAGUCAAGGCUUGAAGCCUUCCACAGACAAACCGAGCCUGUAUGUUAUUCUUUAAAAAAUUACUUUUCUGAAAAAAUAUCUUGUACCACUAUAUAUGUAUAUAUUAAAGUUAUUUGUCUUACCUUCUAAAAAUUGAUUCUACUGUUUAAGAAUUAAUUUUGUUCAUUGAUGAUAUCCUUCCAUUUAAAUAUUUAUAUCAUCAAUUAUGCCAUAGUAGUGCUGCAUAAAGUUCAAUGAUUUGGUGGGCCCUGUUUGAUGUGCAUUUUUUAUGCCCUUUAUUAUAGUUUUCACUCAUAUAUGUUUUUUGUGAUCACAUAAGUCUUUUGGGCUCUCCACAUUUUAUUCAUAGUUCUGAUUUAUGUCAUGAGAAUCAAUUUGUGUAUCUCUGUACUUAAUGAUGUAUUUUUUUAGAUCAGUAUUAUUCCUAAUUUGAAAACAAUUGGUUUGACCCAGGUGAUUGACUAUUACUCUAAGAAGGGCUUGGUGGCGAAUCUGCCCGCAGAGAAACCACCAAAGGAAGUGACUGCUGAGGUGCUGAAAGCCCUCUCAUGAUGAAGUGUCCACUCUUUAGGUUAAGCAUGAAAUGUACCAGAAUCCCUUUGUCUGGGUUUCUUCAAAAUUUUACUUGCGCCAACAUCAUGCAGUGUCCUUUUUGUGCGAAUGCACCAUUUUGCCAACGCUUUGACAAGCUCGGGAACUGUCUGAAUAAUCUCUGUUUCGAAUGAGAGAAGCUGUUUUUCAGUACAAUGCUGAGAUGAUUACAGCAAUUCGUCUUCGGCAAAUUUUUCCUUGCUAACCUUGUUCCAGUGCUUUUCAUCAAUGCUAUGUGACUGGCUAUGAUAAUCGGGAAAAAUACCUAGCUGUUCUGUUCGCCCAGCACCUUGCUCUGUUGAGUGGAGGUAUCGCUGUGAUGUCAUAUAAACGUUUCUAAGUUAUAUGAUUCUGGGUAUCUAGUGCGGUUGUACUCGUGCUUAUGCUUAUGCUUAGCUCUUCGUUAAAAGAACAGUUGGGCAGCCAGCGUGGGCCAGCAAUGACAGAGGGCCGCCAUCAAAGGCAUUCCUGAGAUUUCAAAGGGUCCAAGCUCCCAAGAUCACAACACUAUUGAACCCUUUUCUUUAAUCCAGCAGUCGGGGAAUCACUCAUCGCAUUGCGUUGGAGGCCUUAUAGGGGCCAGCAAAUUAUACGAAAAUUGCCUUAGAUAAAACACAGCUGGUAAGAAAAUGUUGCGUCAAUCUCCACAAAGAACUGACUCUUUGUGAGGCUUGCAUGUUGGAGCCAUUUAUAGUCAUGCAUUUUCAUGAUAGGAAACCGUUCACCAAAAGAAUUCCAAACAUGUGGGUACUUGGGUUAGAUAAAUAAAAAGAUAAAAUUUAGAACGUGGUAUGGCAGAGCACACACUGCUACAUUCUCCCAAAUUUGUUCUCCACUUGUUUAUCAAAUUUGUAUAGAAGUACAGCUUGUAACAAAGCUAAUCUAUUGUGCUAAAUGCCUUAGUAAUCCACCUUGACCUUGCUAUCCAAUUCAGUAAAUUCUUCAUAAUAUGCCUUGAAAUGCUCAUAUGCAUGGCUAAUAUCGUCAACGGCACACAUUUCUCUGAUGCUGUGCAUUGAUAAUUGGGGUGCUCCAAUAUCAACAGUGCGAAUACCAACACCACUAGCAAGUAUUGGGCCAAUUGUUGAACCACAAGCCAUGUCAUUGCGAACAACAAAAUCCUGCAUAUUUGGAAAAUGAAUAAGAUUCUGCCAAUGCAUCAAGCAAAAUGAAUAAAAACAAAUACUAAAAACUUGAAAAAAAAAUGAAGCAAAAUUGAUUUAUUGACUAAAAAAAUGAAUAAAAACAAAUACUAAAAACUUGAAACUCAGAGCAUUGUCUGAAUCCACAUUAUAAAGACAAUGGUGUGAAACAAAAUGUUUAGAUGGAGCAUAAAGUAGAAAAACAUCCGUGGCCAAUGUUCCUACAAGAUACCAGUCUCUCAUGAGAGAAGCAUAUAUAGACAAAUAAAACAAAACCUAAGAACCAAUCUUCUAAAACCUAGUUCAUUAGAUCAGCCUAAGCUUAACAGCAAGGUCACCCAAAAAAGAUGAAAAAGCUUAACGACAAAAGAUAAACACUAGGAACACACAUCAUAAUCAUUAACUUUAGAUGUGGAUGGUAUUGGAUGCAUUGAGAGCUCAGUUACAUCUCUGACUGCAAAACUAGCUCAUAGGGCUUAUAAAAUAUGUUCAUCCUUAUAACAAUUGUAGAUCAAUAAAUGGAUUCCUUAUAACAAAAACAAAUUAAUAUAAAUCAGAACUAUAAGGAAAAAUGUCAGGGUACAAACCAUAAGUUGGACUAACCAUUAGUAAUUCACAAUUAUUAUAUGGGGUCCUUUGUGUAUCAACUAACCUGUACAGGUAGUUGGUGUCUCUCAGCGAUUUCUCGGAAAAUAAAUGCUGUCACAGCAUUUGUAGCAUAUCGUUGAUUAGCGUUAUGCUUGAUUACAAGUCCUCCAUGCAAUUUUGGUUGGUGGUUCUCCUCAUGCUUGUCCUGGAAAAGUAUAUCACAAAAUGACUCAGAAUUGUAUUUAUAUCUUGAUGCAUAUAUGUAAAAUGUUAGAUAAUUCUUACCAUAUAAUUGGGGUGUAAAGCAUGUGCCAUGUCAGCAGACACCAGAAAGCUCCUCUGAAUAGCCUUUUCUAGCAACUGAAAAGUAUAAACAGAUUAAAAAAAGCCAUUUUCUAUUCCAACUUGGAAACUAACUUAUAUAAAAACUGCAAAUAAUGUGGUAGGAUAAAAUAAAGGAUAACAAUUCUGAAAGGUUGAACACACAUUACUAAGUACCUUGGAAUUUGAAGAGUUAAAAGACCCAGUGAUUCUUGAUAAAGCAUCCAACAUGGCAGGGGAACCAGCUCCCUGAGCAGAAUCAGAACCAACUUCUUCAUGGUCAAAUAGAGCUACCAUUCGCACACCAGAUUCAUGGUCAAGAGAGUGUUCAACAGAACUGGAGUCGAUUAGGGCCUGAAAUAGUAUUAGAGAAAUAAUUGUUAUUAUGAUUUUAUUGCAAAAAGGCAUUAGUUAGGAUUUUGUUACUAAAAAUAAAAUGCUCUUGGCGAUACAGACUUGAAAGUCCAUUAGAUGUGAGAACACUCAGAAUAAUACAAGUACCAUGGAACAGUUAAUCUUAUAGAGAGAUUUGUUAUCCAAACGAGAGGAUAUUACUAAUAAGUAUAUAUAAGUAUUAAACUAUGGCUAGCACAUUUGAUUAAACUCACAGUUAGAGCAUCCCCAACCGUUUUGCAUAUUUCGUUUGGCAAAUGAGGGAGUUUGCCAAGUCCCAAAUAAAUAUGCCAAAGAUAAAAAGAGUCAAUCUCCAAUGGUUUGGCAUUUUUCACUUUCCAAAAAAAGGAAUUUGUGGAUCCACAUAAUUUUUCACUUUGCAAAAAAAGAAAUUUGAGCACCGGAGCAUGCACGGGGGCGACGCAAAUCGCGCGGCUUGCAUAUAUGCAAGUGCUUCCCUAGUAUUUGCCAAGUUAAUAAAAAUGCAAAGCCCAUUUGCCAAAUCGUUGGAUAGGUGUUUUUUAGACUUCUUUGCAAAUACAAGAAUGCAAAGGCCAUAUGCAAAACAGUUGGGGAUGCUCUUAGUAUUUUUUUUAAACAGAAUGGCAGCUAUAGGUAUAAACCAAAUAUCUUCUAUCCUACUACAUGUAAGAUUAUAUAUUUUCAUACCAUUGGUGCAACUGCAAGUACCUAGCUCUAGACUUUAUAUAGAAUAAUGACACCAGGAAAUCACAAGAUGUGGUAGCUUAGGUAAAUAAAAUAGUAAAGACAAACCUUCAGUGAACAAAAUGACAUGCAAAGAUUGUCGAGCCUUCCUGAAAAGAUGAACUCUUUCAUGGCACCUGCUACAGCACUUGGUUGAGUAUCACAUAGUUGCAGUUCAAAGUCACAUAUCUCAUCAGGCUCACAGUUAGCCUCUUUAGCAAUCAACUGCAACAAAAAAAAACAUCAGUCAAAGUGGAAGUGGAAGUGUGGAACAUACUUCAGAACCCAAGGACUCUUCGUAUUUAGUUUUUAUAUUAUAUGUGAGAACCUCUAGUGAUGUUGAACUACAAUGUCAAAAAAGUACCUGCAAUAGUAAUGGAUGAUGCUUUGUGUUCACAUUUUCGGAUGUCUGCUUUGGGCCAUUUUCUGCUACAAAUUUCUGCAUUUCAUUCUGUAAAAUGAUGGUAUGAGUUUACCUUCAGCAUCAAAAGAUGUGAGCUCAAUUGAUUUGUUGCAAAUCAAUUAUUCAGGAAAAGUUGCUCAUGCUAUACAAAAUUUGUCUUUUCAACCAACAAACAAAUCAAUGCAUUCAAAUCACCUUGAUACAUGUAGCCAGCACUGGAACAAGAUGACUCUGAUUGUUAACCUUGAGACCUUCUGAGUUGAGACUCCUGUACAUAAUGUAUUAAAUUAUUUAGUGUCACUGUAACAGGCCACACUUUCAAGGGAGCCUACAACCUAUAGGAUUGAUUGUACUAUCACAAAUGGCUGCAAUAAUAAUAAUAUAAUAUAACAACAACAACAACAAUAAUAGUAAAUAGUAACACAAUGAGACAUAGCAAAUUGAAAUUUACUGUGUCCCAACCUGUCUAGGUGAAUAGCCAAAGUAGGUAUCCUCAUAAUUGGUUCUUGUACCCGUACAAGCUUGUGUGCAUAAGAGACCUCGCCAUCCUUCUUCUCCCUUGUAAUCACCCUACCAGCAACAGUAAGAUCACGGUCGAACCAUGUGUACCACAAUCCACCACCAUACGUUUGAACCCCAACCUCAAGGUAACCUCCUUUGGUUACCUGCAAAACAAGCAAGAUAAUAUCAAUAACUUAUCAAAAUGUGUAUCAUCAGCUACCACCUAAAACUCAAUAACAACUUCUGUUCCUGGUUAAAACAUGAAUCACUGGUUACACAGACACCUGCUAUCAUAUACAAAAUUGAAAUACAGGACACAAGGUACUCUGAAAUCAGUGAGGGAGAGUUGAGGCUUGAUACCUUGGAUACAGGUUUGAGCUUGAGGCAAGGGCUGUCAGUGUGUGCACCGAUGAUGUGAAACCCAUUGCCAGCAACGUAUCUGUGAAAUAUCAACACACAAGCUAGCCAAUUAAUCCACAUAACAAACAAGUCAACGCAAUAUGUACAGAAUAUUUUGUUAACUACUGUAGAAAGUAUGGAUUUAAGGCUCUCAAACCUAAGGCUGGUGAGAACAAGGAGGACGGGGAGCGGAUCUGGCUCACUCACUUUGCGCCGAUGGCGAAAGCGACGAUGGUGGAAUGGUUGCGUGUGAAGAAGUACUUGCGCCCAGGCUCGAGCCCCGCCCACUCCUCCCGCUCCGAGAGCUGCACGAACCCCGCCGCCUUCAGCCGCCGCUUCGCCUCGUCUUCUCCCGAUGGAAGCAACAGCGCAACGGAGUCAGCUCAGAUCAAUUCCGCGAGGGGGAAAAAAAAGGGAAAGGGGAACAGAUGAUGCGUACCAACGGCGUGAAAGGCGGUGGGCGACACGUUGAGGAAGUCGACGAGGUCGGAGACGACGGGGGCGACGGCUGCCAUGGGCGGUGGCGGCGAUGAUGCCGAUGCGGCUGGGGAACAGCGAACGAGUACAGACGGAAGUGAGGUCGUGUUGAGAAAUUUCCAAACUAUAGGGGAUGAUCUCAUCUCACCCUAGAAGGCAAGGAGAGAAAGGUUAAACAGAAACACGUGCUCACCUUCCGACCUCCCAGGCGAUCUCGCUAGGCGCGAUGGCGACACCGUGUUCUCCGAGUCCCGCGGCGACGUCCUGGACUCAGCGGUGUCGGGCGGCGGCGCGGCAGCGGAGUAGCUGGAAGAGAGUGGCAGAUUGGGCCAAGCAAUAUGGUUUUUAUAGUAUCUCCAACAGUUAUGCAAUUGAAAUUUGCUAUUCGUUGAAAUUUGCUAAGUCUUUAAACAUUUUAUCAAAGGAAAAAUAAGUCUAUCUCUAAGUAUUUGGCAUUUUUAACUUGCUAUUUCCUAAAAUAGUGGACCCAACUAUUUUUAUCCGGGAUUUUUUUUUGUUUGGCGCACUUCACGCGAGAUUUUUCCUCUGCGCGGGAAUUUCCGUCGCCCGUCGCCGCCAGUCCACGAAGUCGCAAGUCACCGCCGUUUCUGUGACUGGCGGCCCCCCGGUCCGCCAGUCCACGAAGUCACAGUUCGCCAGAGUUCCGUCGCACGCCAAUAGUCCACGAAGUCGCAGGUCGCAGAGUUCACGUCGCGCGGGAAAAAGAGUUCGUGCGGGGAGGAGUCCUCGCGUGAAACUACCGCAGCGCGUGGGGAGGUCGCGCACGAUAAGGAGUCCAAGAAACUCAGGAUAUCAAAAAUGCCAAGCUAUUGUGCUUAUGCAAAAAUGCCAAGUUUAGUCCAUCAAAUGUCAAGUUUGCCAAAAUGCAUAAGUCAAAUACAUAACUAUUGAAGAGCAAUAUUUAAGAUUUUUAACAAAUCUCUAGAAUGCAUAGUCCAAUUACAUAACUGUUGAAGAUACUCUUAGUGAGAAUAUAUAUGAAUCCUGCGAAUCCAAUUCACCCGCUGAUCCGCUCCAACAUGCCUAGGAAAAUCCCGGACAUCAAAUAGAAUAUUGGAAGGACCCAUAUUCUACGAGCCUUAAGAGUUGGUUUAUUUAAACUUAUCAACCGAAUUUAUUAGUAUUUAGCAAUAUUUUUUCUCUUAUAACAAAUCAGCGAACAGAAUAACCUAAACUUAAAAAUAGAUUGUUUAUGAUACUUUUGCUGACCAAAACAACCUUCAACAGACUAGGCAAACGAGCCACACAUUUUGGUUUAGUGCCAAUGUGCGAUGCAAACAUGCAUCCUCUCUCCGUCCUUCUAAGUCUCCACUCAGGCUCUGUUUGGUUGUUUUGGAUAUUUUUAACAUUUAUCGCAUCAAAUGUUUGACACAUACAUGGAGUUUAAUAAAUAUAUACUAUUUAGAAAACUAAAAACACAACUAGAGAAUAAUUUGCGAGAUGAAUCUUUUGAGUCUAAUUAGCCUAUGAUUGAACACUAAUUAUCAAAUAAAACAAAAAUACUAUAGCACUUGAUAAAUUUUAACACCCCAACCACCACCCCCAUAGACACGUCGCGUCAGAGCAAAACACGAUGUAUAGUCGUUAUAGGCCCAUCACCGAAAAGAGUCUUAUUGGCAAAGCCACCGCUAGUGGUGGAGUGAUCGUAGAUCGGUUGGUUAGAUUCUUAUAGCGGAACUUAUCUAUCUAGAUUCAAGUUCUCGAUUUAGCAUAUGUAUUCGUAUUUUUUGGAUUUAAUCAAUGAUUUAACGGCGCCAUGCUUUAUGUGGUAGGUGACGUUCCCGUCGACAGUGAAACAUCAGUGAUAACUUUAUGAUUUUCAAGAUUUACUGGCUCAAUCAUUUGAAGGUGCUCAUAGAGAUAGGUUUACAUACAUGUAUUAAUAGAGCUAAGUGUGCGUAUAUAUUAUAGACCACAUGGUUAUUUAGGCUCAUCGAUGAAGUGUAAAGGUUCUUUGUUUGUGUUAAGAAACACUAUUUUUAGAUAAAUAAUUCUAUAAAAUAUAGAAUUAUUUAUCUAAAAAUAGUGUUUUAACGAUACUAUGUUUUUAGUGGUAGGCGAAGUCUUCAUCAACGACGAGGCGUUUGUGGUGACUUCUAGAAUUUCAAAAUCUGCCAGCUCAGUUCUUCAUAGAUGUUCAUAAAGAUAGAAUUCAGGUAUAUAUAUUUAUGGAAUUAAGUAUACAUAUGUGUUAUGGGUGUCUAUAUUGUACCGUGUAAUUUUAAAAAACCAGUUGUUUGUAUAAAGAGAAACACUAUGUUUUUAGAUAAAUGAUUUUACAAUUUACGUAAUAGCAAUUGUCUGAAUUCCUAAAAAUUUUUGAGUGAUAAUGGAUUGCUGUGCUUGAUAGUGGAGUCGAGGAGGUUGGCUGUGAGGCGAGGGGGGGAAUGUGCGAUGGCAAAGUAUUUCAUAAAGCCAUGUUAUUUCAAAAUCAGUAAACAUACUUUACAUUUAAACGGUGCCCAAACCUAUAAAGAUUACGUGGCAUUUUAAAAAACUUUGUAUCAUUUGAAGAGUCAUUUGUAUAAAUAUUAAUUUUUAUAUUUUUAAUUCUCCAACAGUUUUUCUAUAUCCCUAUUAUUGAUUAGCAAAAAUUCAAAAAUAGAAAAUAGUUGAAUAAGCAUUCAGAGAAGCUGUUGAAGGAGAAAUGCUCUUACGAAACAAAAAAUGGUCGCCAAGAGCGCCUAAUUCAUUCUGAGCAAAUCAAAAUGAAAAUAAAAAUCCAAAUAAAAAUCAUUUUGAGACGAAAAUGAUAUGAAACCUACGGCAUAGUAUCUGUCCACCUGGGCCAAUAAUCGCACUCCUCUCAUCCACACCACCAAACCUCCGCCGCUCUUCGCCGUCAGCCCGCCACUCCCCUCCCCGUCCCAACCGUCGCCUCGCUUGUCCCCGCCCGAUUGCCCGGAUCUCUAACGCCAAUGGCCUCCGUCUCCCCCGCGGCGGCCGCCGCCGCGGUCUCGGGCUCUCACCACGGUCGACUCCUCCUCCCAUCCUCCCCGCGCCGCCUCCCCAGGCCCCGCCCGCGCCCUCGUCCGCGCCUCCGCCUCGCCGCCUGCCACGCCGACACCCUCCUCCCUUCCUCAUCAUCGGAGGCCCGCGCGCCGCCGGCCCCCGCGGUGGACCCUUCCUCCGAAUCUGCCACCGACUGCUUCGUCGACUGGCUGCGUGCGCGCGGCCUUCCCCCAGGCAAAGUGGACAUCCGGGAGCGGCCAGUGCCCUGCUUGCUCAACGGCAAGGACCUGCCGCUGCGCUACGUCGCCGCCGGCGUCGACCUUCAGGUUGGUGUGGCAGCACGUGAUUUUUGUUUCCUGCAGUAAUGACGGGACUAUGACCUGGAUUUUGUUGGCUGGCUCGUUUGUGGCGCAGGCCGGGGAUGUCGCGUUCGAGGUGCCAAUGUCCCUUGUCGUCACGCUGGAGCGGGUGCUCGGGGACGAAUCAAUCGGUGAGAUAGCCUCUGGCUCUAGUAAUCUAUAAUUCUAUGUGUGCUUGUAUUGACUACUCAGUUCUAUCACUCAUAGGAAUUGCCAAAAUGGGGAGUUUGGGCUAUAAUAAAUUGAUUUAGUAUCUGAAUAAGUCAGUAACCGAGCUGUUCGACAUUUUUCUGCUAAAUUGGCAAGCAUACUUUGCUCUGAGAUUAUGUGGCCUGCUCAUUCCUGUCUUGACUCUUGAGUAGAUGUCCUAACCACGGGUCUGUUGCAUUUUUCAACAUUUAGAGGCAUGUUUGCAAUAAUCAAGAUAUAAGAGGGAUUGCUUUAGACAUUUAGGGCUUUCCCCAAAAUAUAGGCUGCCUGUCCAAUUUUCAUGUUUUGCAUCACUAUGUCCAAGCUUUUUUGGGCAUGCCUUGUGUUAUUUAGCAUUCUAGUUUGCAGCCAUUGGCAUCAUUCAUGCACACUUUUUGGUCAGAUUCCAGUGCUUGCACAAAAUAAGAAAGAGGAGGGCAGUAGGCAUUAGGUCCUAUCUUGGCGUUCGUGGAAACAUCUAUCAUGUUUCAAAAUGUUGUACCUUGACUUGGAACUUGGAAGCUGACUAGAAAUGCAAAAUGGCUUUACCUCUUUUUUCCUGCUUCAGUUUUCAUUACAUUGCAUUUGGGUCUGCGUUUUUCGUUAGGUUGUUUUGUUAUUAGUCAAGAUCGCAGGUAGUCGAAGCAUGAGUGCAUUAAAUUUUUUUGUGAUAUUUCUGUUUCAUCCUUGUAAAUGCAUUUGUGCUUGCUGCAUAUUUUGCUUGUGUGAUUUGUGCAGUCCACUUCAAAUUCUGGUUCAGUAGUUCUUCUCUGUCCUUUAUGUUAACUAUAUUUCUCUUUUAUAACUUUUUAUCCCUUAAGGGAAUAACUACUUAAUGGUAACACUUACCCACCUGCGACACAACAAUUUUGUGCCAUUUGCACAAAGAUAAAAGUAACUGAUUUAUAUGUCACAGAUAUGUUUCUCAGUUUGUUGAUAUUUUUGAACCAUGCAGCUGAGUUGUUAACAAACAACAAGUUAUCUGAGCUGGCAUGCUUGGCAUUGUAUCUCAUGUAUGAGAAAAAGCAAGGAAAGGAUUCAUUUUGGUACCCCUACAUUAAGGAACUUGACCGACAUCGAGGAAGGGGGCAGCUAGCUGUUGAAUCACCACUUCUAUGGACUGAAAGUGAACUGGAUUACCUUACUGGAAGCCCCUUGAAGGUUAGUGGUUUUACUCUGUUGUAUCUCAAUUCUCAAUAUAACAUUAUUUCUUUUUGAUGUUGAAGGAUUACUCAAUAUUCUGUAAGAACAUUAAUAUCCUAACGCAGAUGAUAUGUUUGCAGGAUGAAGUUGUUGCUAGAGAUGAGGCAAUAAGGAGAGAGUAUAAUGAGCUUGACACAUUGUGGUUUAUGGCAGGUUCACUAUUUCAGGUAUUCCUUGAUCCUCCAAGCAUAUUUUCUUUCUAGGAACUAUAUCGUCAACUGAUCCUCUUUCUCACAGUUAUUAUUGUUUUGCAGCAAUAUCCUUUUGACAUACCUACAGAGGCUUUUCCAUUUGAAAUAUUCAAGCAGGCUUUUGUGGCAGUACAGUCUUGUGUGGUUCAUUUGCAGGUAAUGUGUUGUGAUGGAUUUAUGUUUAAUCAAGUAUGAUUCUAUAAUCUGUUGCUUGUACAUUCGUUGUAUUUCUUCCUUCUUUGUGAAACUCGAUGCUUAUAAUUUGUUCUGCAUUUAGCAUGAAGUGUAGAAAAAUUUAGUGCUGAAGUGUUUAACAUCGCCAUACUCAUCACUUGUAAAAACCUGACAAUGUUUUUUUGCCACCAAACAUGCUUCUCUGAAUUUUGUAGAUUUUGUUCUUUUGCACAUAUUCUAUUUAGGCCUUGUUUAGUUCCCAAUGGAAAAUAUUUCGUGACACUGUAGCACUUUCGUUUGUUUGUGGUAAUUAUUAUCCAAUCAUGGACUAACUAGGCUCAAAAGAUUCGUCUUAUCAAUUUCGACUAAAUUGUGUAAUUAGUUUUUAUUUUCGUCUAUAUUUAAUACUCCAUGCAUACGUUUAAAGAUUCGAUGUGACGGGAAAUCUUGAAAAAUUUUAGGUUUUUGGGUGGAAGUAAACAAGGCCUUAGACUUCCAGAUUCUAAAGAAUGUGAACAUAGUUCAUUUAGUUUUGCCCCCAGAAAUUAUGGUCCAGCACACAAUGACCUGGUGUGGUGGUGCUAUUUGUUUUCAAAAUUUAUCUCCUUUACUUUUACAUAUGUCAAUAUGUGUUGGAAGAAUGGAGCCUCGGAAGAUGCCUCAUCUGUUGUCAUUGUAUUCAGUCAUGUAACUAGUGUCCGAUAGGAAGAAGUAAGCUGAUGCACUGCAAAGGGUAGAGCGACCUACAUGUGGAGAAGAAUUUAUAGGACUUAAACAGACUUUAACAGAAGAAAGUAUUACUAUGUUAUCAUCUCUUGUGUGAGACCAACAGUGCUUAGUCUGCUAAGUGUUUGGUUGUUAGAGAAGUACUGAAAUGCUCCCAAUUGACUCGGUUUCUUAUUCAAGAGCAGAAAGUUAGUUUAGCUCGAAGGUUCGCGCUAGUUCCCUUGGGGCCACCACUAUUGACUUACAAGAGCAACUGCAAAGCGAUGUUGACAGCUGAUGGUGAUUCUGUUCGAUUGGUGGUGGAUCGGCCAUAUAAAGCCGGAGAACCAAUAAUCAUCUGGUACUAUGUUUUCUUCAGUUGCAGCAACAUUCUUGUCCUUCAUCAUAUUUUGCAAUCUGAUGCUGAUCACUUAGUGCAGUUUUUGUGCAUUAUUUUGGUACAUACGUUCAAGAACCUCAAAUUAUGUAGAUUAUACAGGUGUGGACCCCAAACGAACUCCAGGCUUGUUCUGAAUUAUGGUUUUGUUGAUGAAGACAAUCCCUUUGAUCGCAUAGCAAUUGAGGUAGACAAUCUUUAUUAUGCAGCAAUCUUCUUUACUGUGUGGUUGGUGUAACUCUGUUUGAAUCUUUGUUACAGGCAUCUUUAAAUUCAGAAGAUCCUCAAUACCAAGAAAAGAGAAUGGUUGCUCAGAGGAAUGGAAAGCUUGCUAUCCAAAAUUUUAAUGUGAGAACUUUUCCCCCUUCCUUUUGUAGUGAAAAUUGUAAAUGUUAUACGUUCAUAUGUCUCGUUGAAUCAGGUCUAUGUAGGUAAAGAGAAACAAACUGUUGCAGAAAUGCUGCCUUAUUUGAGAUUAGGAUACAUAUCAGAUCCAGAUGAAAUGCAGUCUAUACUCUCAUCUGAAGGGGAUACAUGUCCAGUAAGUCUGCCUACUCUUCCUUGAUGUUGCUACCUAUUUCUUCAUUGAUUUGGUUGGGUGCUUCUAAAAUAUGAUGGAUACAUGCACAAAAGCACUUGCUCUGAUAAUUAUUUAACAUAUUUUUCCUUUUCAGAAUUGCGAUUAGUACCUGUUUGAAUUUUUAUUUGUUUCUGUAUGGUCCAGUUUCGUGGUUUCUGGGCAUAAACCUAGCCAUUCAAUUUAGAUUCAAUUGUUGUGGUUCUGUAUGUCUGCAGAACUUUUUAUCAUCAGCUUAUUGAUUGACCCUAAAACGAAAAACAUGCCACCUAUUUGUGCCCUAUCAUUGCAUGUAAAUCCAUAGGUUGAAGCUAGCUAGAUAAACAGGCCUAUAUCUUGACAGUUCUCAGUUACACUGAAAUGUUAAUUUUUGCAUGGACUUGUAACGGAAGGCAGAAUAUGUAAUUUUGAGAAUUUGAUUGCAUUAGAGAUUUUCCUCAGGCAUUCCAUUCGUAUUUUCCUAUGUUUGGGAUCAUAGCCAAGUAUAUUUUGGGUUGUGAUCCAACUGAAAUUGCUCGUAUUUGAGUACCUGCAUGCCAUUACUUGCUGUAGGCAUUAGCUUGGGUAUAAAACUGCUGAUAACCUAGGGUAUUAUUUUUCUUAAAACUACAGAAAGAUGUGAAAUGUAAAUUUUAGCAUAGUAACAGCAUGGUGUUUUAAUCUAUGAUUUAACAUUUUGUUUACAUUUGCUGUACUUCUCUAGCUUAGCCCAUGUACAGAGCGAGCUGUACUUGAUCAACUUGUUGGUUACCUGGAAUCUCGGUUGGCUGGUUAUCCAACAACUUUGGAUGAAGAUGAAGCUAUGGUAAUAAGCUUUGUGUUUUUUUAUGAGUUGUUUCUUGAUCACUCUAUGGACUUGCUGAAUGGUAUACCAUUGCUUUGGUCAUUGCCAGUUGGCAGAUGGCAGUUUGGAACCAAAGAAGGAAGUUGCUACUAGGCUUGUAAGGUUAGAGAAGAAGAUGAUCCAUGCCUGUCUACAGGCCACAAAUGAGUUUAUAAACGACUUGCCAGACCACACAGUAUCUCCUUGCCCUGCUCCAUAUGCCCCUGAACUGAAAUGAGGUACCAGCGAUGAUCUACAUUUUAUCAAUUUGUGAACUAUAAUGCUGUAGCAUGUAAUUUGUUCUUUUUUCUUGCAGAUUGCAUGUUGUUUUCCUUUCCCAGAUGGUCAUACCAUUAAGAAUGUCAAAAUUUGAUCAAUGUGCAUCUCUAUAUGAAGACCAUAUAUGCUGCAAGGUGGAUAUAGCAUUUGAAAGAAUCUGCUGCUUGUUUCCUUCAGAGAUUACAGAUAUGUUAAUUGCAUGCUAGAAGGUAAAUGAGGCAGACUGAAGUUUAUUAAAUUGUCUCAUGCCAAAAAGCACACUACAUAAUACAAUUUUACUGUUCAUCGAUACGAACACUGCUUAUGGUUUCAACUUGCAUGUUCCAGGAAAUCGCAUCUCUUGCUGUUCAACUUAAUAAGGAUAGCAAUGGUCUCGAGCGGGAUAUGGUAAUGGUCUCCAACAGGAUAUGGUCAUGUUGUAGGUAGUUGCAAUGCACGGAAGUGUGCAUGUAUCUCUUUUGUUAACCUAGUUGGUGUUGUAUCUGCAACCUCCAUUUGCUGAUAAUCAUGGGCUAGGAAUGCCAAUCAACAAUCAUAAUUCAUGUAUAUGAUUGCUGACUGAUCACUUCUUUUUUCCCAGGACAUGUGGUCAUGGCUGUAGUUGUCGUUAGCAUUACUUACAAAAGUGAAUUCGGUGCAUAACUGGAUUCACUUAACCAUGCCUGGCAUUUUGAAAAAUCUUUGCCUGAACCCAAGUCGAAAAUUCCAUUUAUAUUAUGCUCUAUUUGACUCAUGACCUUAAGCUACGUAACGGAAAACAAAACAUUACGGCUUGAGUGACUCUGGCGAGACACAGGUCAGGCGUACAAAACGUUACGGCUUCAGUGACUCUGGCGAGACAAAUGUUAGCCGUAGUGGAGAUCGAGAGGAAGAACUUGGCUAGGGCGAUCACUAAUUUGGGAGAAAGGAUUGUCUUAAAAUUUGGACUUCAUACAAUAUUAUUGUUCAUAUCCCUCGACCCUCAUCCUCUCUGCAUAUUAUUUAUGAGCACAUCCUUCAUCUGUUGCCAACUCUUUUGUACAGUGUGUUUUAUUUAUCAGCACAUCCUUGGUAGAUUGUGUUUGGUUCGAAGAAUCAGUGACAACACAAUAAAGACUGUUGUAUGCUUGAGAAACAUUUGGUUUAUAAUUACACAUGGUAGCACCGAGAUAGUAAACAUACCAUAUUUAUUUAUAUACAUAUAUAAUUUUUGCCAUACCAUCAUAACCAAUAACAAUAAAGUCACAACAAACUGGGAUUAGACAACUCUGUCUACAAUUUUUUUUUUUGCGUUCUUAUGUAAUUUAGUUUCCAGCAACACAUCAAUUCGUAAAGUCAUCAGUAAGAUGAAAUACUAUUUCAUGUAACGACAGUACACAAAACUUAGUUUAAGCAAGCCAUGAGACAAUGAGUACACAAAUCUAAUAUCCCUGUUCAAGGGGGGCACACCGUACAAGCGGGAGCCGUUCAAACCUCCACAGAAUAGUACGAGAGCCUACAACCUUCCCUACAAGAUAUAAAAGCAGAAUGAGUAGUGUUUCGGUAAGGCUAGCCCAGACAUAUAUAAGUAUCCUUUUUUACGCGAGUUGAAAAGACGUAUAAUGGAGAGAUCAUCAAAAGAACAGAAACCAUAGCCUCAUGCAUAUCUUGUGCCAUAGUAGGCACUAUCGAGCAAGAAAACCCUGUGUUCCCCUAAAGCAUUUGCAUUUACAGACCAAUCAGCAACACUUGAGGUCUAUGUUUUUUUGCCUGAAGCACAUGUUUAUUCUAUUGAAGAAAACACCUAAACAAACCAUUCUUACUCAGUAUCAAGCAAGAAAACCCUAAACCCUAAAUGUUCCCCUGAAGCAUUUGCAUUUACAGAUCAAUCACCAGCACGGCAGCACCUGAGGUCUAUGUUUUUUUUUUGCCUGAAGCACAUGCUUAUUCUAUUGAAGAAAACACCUAAACAAACCAUUAUUAAUCAGAAUAUUGAAGUGCCUGACCCAGUUAACUGCACAGGUAGAAACAUCCACAACAUCUAGGAAAAGAAACAAUCAUGGCCUAUUGUAAGUAUAGUUGAGCACAUGACUGGAAACAAUAGCAAAAAGCUACAUGCAAAGUCUCUGAACUAUGUAGUCUUAAGAGAAACUCACUCACAGGGGUAUCCCAUUUUGAUAAAUCAAACAAUUAUAUGCUAUGUGUCAUUAGAUUUGCCUUGUAUACAUAACUUAAACAAGAAAGCUAGUUCUGGAUAAUAUUAUUAGUAUCUUCCAUUGGCAAUUAGUACAAAGCCACACAUUUGAGCACGUAAAAAUUAUGCGUUCUCACAACCUAGAAAUUACUAACACAUACACAAGCAAGAAGCAGCAACGCUUUAUCAACUUCAGACCACCACAUUAACAUGUAAAGAUGGAUGUCAACAUUUUAGCAACAAGCAUCAUCGGUUCACACUACCCAAUAGACGAAGACUGUAAGAUUUCCACAAUCUCAGGUCACUGACGCCAUCUGCUGGGAAGUUCACACGACAAGAAACCAGCCCACCAACAAAGAUCAUUACAACAGGCAACAAGUAAUAACACACAUAAUAAAUCUAGAGUGUCUUACGAUUGGGGCAAACUGGCUGUCCAGAUAUGACGAGUAGUGAGAAAGAGGAAAGGUCAGGGCAAUGGAUAUAAGGAGAGAGUCUCCAGGUGGCCCGGCAAAUAAGGGGAAGGAACGACUCACCAGCAGAGGGGGCCGCCUUCGAUUUUCCAAGAUGAGAUGGCAGGGCCGCCAUACACUGUUCACCAGGUACAACUCUGUUAGUCGUAGAGGCAUGGCCGAGCAUACGCGGGUACGGCGCACGACCAGCGCCGUCCUUGGACGCGACACGUCUAUCUAGAGAAAGGGGAGCCCGACCCCGGGGUAGGUAGAUGCACUUGAGGACCUAUAUCCUCCUAUCGCCCUCCCAUCUAGAUCUAGUGUGCCAACACCCACCCCAAACCAACGCGUGAUGGAGUCUGCCUAUGGGGCCAAGCGUAGAAGACCCCAUCCGUCAUGCACAUCGGGGAUCACUGCUCAACUCACCUGCUUCCCCGAGCGGCUGUCGCGAAGGCUAAGGCGAGCAGCGCGAGGAGGGGCAACCGGGCGAGCAAGGAGGUUUGAAGACGUGCCUGCUCCCACGUUAACCCAUCACUGCUAACAGGCCCAAUCACAGCAGGAGGCCAUCGGUCACCGACGGCGAGGGAGCGGAGUGUUGAGGUGGGCGACGCAUGGAUUUGCGAGCAAGGAAGAAGAACAGUCGCGAGCGAGGCACUGACCGCCGAGCCAGGGCAUGAGAUGCGGCGUGAGAUGGGAGUGCGAGAGAGAUGAGUUGGGACCCAUGUACCGUUCAUUUUCCCCUUUCUGCGUGAGUUUUUUUAGGUCGCGUCCUUGCGGGCCGAGAAGCAGGUGCAGGCCGUGGUCAAUGAACAACAAGCAUGCACGACACAGGUGUCAAGCCUAGGAAAGAACACCGAGGCUUCAAUUGUUGUGGAUGCAGCAAAAGGCGGGGUCUUUAAAUAACACUGAUGAGGUAAUACAUCAUGAGUUCAUUUCUUAAAUUUUGUUGAAUGACUUUGUUUCUCGUACUAGUGCUAAUUAUUAGCUUACGAGAAAUGAGAUGGUAAUGAAUUAAUCAUUCAAGGAAUAAGGUGAUGAUGUAUUAACUCUGCACUUGUUGUUUCCAACCCGAAAUAGUUGUAGGCAUACAAUGCCUCAAAAGGUGUAGUGCCCAAUUUAGAAUGAAAACUACUAGGAUGCAAAUAGGAGACCUAGUGGAUGAUAUGUUUCCCCGUGUGGCAAAAAGGUUAUGAACCUAGCUAGUAAAGAUGUGGAUGCGUUUAUGGUCCUAAAUACAUUAUUCAAGAGAAGAUAUGCAACAGGCAGCCCCACAAAACAUCUCUUAGACAGCUCGCGUUGCAAGAUCAUAUGCCUUAGAUACUCCUCGGUGGACGUGGCGUGACUUUCUGAUGAAAUCACUGCAGAGUGUUAGCCGCGGUUGGCCCUGCCCUAACCAGAUGGACGUGUUACCGUAUAUGCCAAGCGGUUUUCUUUUCUUAUUAGCGACAAGAAUGCACGGCUGUACACACAAAAACAAGAGCAGGGAAUAGCAACGUACACAGACACCGUGCUAGCUAGCUCAAACGAAGCUGCAUGCCACCUGCUGCCUCGCUCACGUCAGCUUCUCCUCUGCGAUCCAUCCUCCGCUACUACGUCCCCCGUGCACAGCCGCCGUGGCACUGUUUUGGUCCUUUAAUUUGCGCCAUUCGAUCGAGCUGCCCCGACGUACACGCAGCACAUCACACGUUUGUUCACGCACGCACGCACGCGUGUACGUAGGUGUUUGAAUCACUACUUGUGCCGCCUGGAACCGGAACCGGCUUUGCUGCUGCUGCUGUGGUGGUCGUCCUCGUCCAAGACGCCCAACUCGGCGGUGGAGAGGUCGUUGGCGAACGCCAUUCGCCGGAACAGCUCGAUGUCCGCCGAGUACCGGCCCGAGUCGUACGCCAUGCUCUGCCCCAGCUUCACGCCGUUGGUCAGGUCCGACGAGCACUCGUCCACGUCCAGCGAUCGCCACACCUUCCGAUCGAUAGAGAGAGAGAGAGAGGGAACAGAUACAGCAGCGAGAUGAUCAAGAGUUAGCUAGUACUCCCGUACGUGUUUUGGUCCAAGAAGUGUGUGUGUGCUCGUUAUAUAUAUAUUUACCUGCACCAUCCUGGGUCUCUUGGCGGCGGAGUGGCGCACGCAGGCGGCGGCCGCCUCCACCAUCCUCCGCAUCUCGGUCUUGGAGAACCUGCACUCCAACGCGGGGUCGGCGACCUCCCGGAAGUCGUCCGUCUCCAAGGCGUCCACCAGGAGAAGCCGAGCCUGCGGGCGUAGUACGUGAUCGAUCAUCAGUCAACAGCUAGCGACCCUGUAGACACAAAUUAAAGGAAAAGAGGAUUAUAUUCGCGUAGUACCCAUUCAACCAGGCUCUCUUCUCCCAGCGGUUGAGAUGCGUCGACGGGCUUCCGCCCGGUGAUGAGCUCCAGGAGCACCACCCCGAAGGAGAACACGUCGGAUCUGUCCGUCAGCUUCCCGCUCUGUGCGUACUCAGGUGCCAUGUACCUGUGGAUUCAGAGACAGAAUAAUGUGACUGGGAUUAAUUCAGAGACGAGAGAUAGGCUGUGCUCUGAACGCUGCUAACUUACCCGAACGUGCCCAUCACGCGCGUCGAGAUGUGAGUCAGCGAGUCGUUUGUCAGUUUAGCAAGGCCGAAAUCUGCAACCUGUUCGCCCCAGAUUAAUCAUGAUCAGUACAGAAUCAAGUGUUUGGGUAGUGCAUUAGUAUAUCCUGUACGUGCUGCAAAUUAAUUAACCUUGGCCUCGAAGGCGUCGUCCAGGAGAAUGUUGGCCGACUUGAUGUCCCUGUGUAUGAUCCUAGGAUGGCCUGCGUGUACAAGCAGAGGCAGCUCUUAGCCGGACUGACGACAAGCAAGCUACAGUAGCUACCAACAAGGACGGGCAGGUGCAUCGCAAGAUGAGGUAGCUGUCCUCUCCUCACUUACAGUCUUCGUGGAGGUACGUCAACCCACGCGCCGCUCCGAUGGCAAUCUUCAUCCGCUUCGGCCAAUCCAUCACGGGUAGCCCUUUUCCUGCAGAUCAAUAUAUACAAUGUAUACAACAUAUUUCACACAUUAUUCAUGCAUAAUACGUAUGUAUGUGCCAAUGCAAUGCAAGAGGAAUAUUAUUAAGGUGAUCAAUGCAUAUGUGCAUAUAUAAUGUGCUCUGCUCACGGCUCACCGUGCAGGUGAUGCUCGAGCGUGUUGUUGGCCACGAACUCGUAGACGAGGAGGCGGUGGUUCUCGGUGACGCAGUAGCCGACGAGCGUGACGAGGUGGCGGUGGUGGAUGCGGCUGAUGAUGUCCACCUCGGCGCGGAACUCCUUCUCCCCCUGGCCGCUGCCCACCUUGAGCUGCUUCACCGCCACGCGCCGCCCGUCGCCCAGCGCCCCCAUGUACACCUUCCCGAACCCUCCUUCCCCGAUCACGUUCGCCGCCGAGAACCCGCCCGUGAUCCCCACCAGCUCGUCGUACGUGAACCACGACUUGGUCCCCGACAGCUCGUACGAGUUCGUCCCGCUCGGCGACGCCUGGUACGCUGCGUCCGGCGAGACCGCCGCUGCACAUCCAUUAAUUCAUGACGACGACAAAACCGUGUGAAUUCGUUACACAUCGCUUGCAUGGUGGCAGCAGAGAGCAACGCAAACAGGGCGGCCGGGCACUCACGUUCCGGCACGACGACGAGGUUGUGCCUCCGCGACGGCGACGGUUGCGCGCGCCGCUUCCUCUUCCCCCGGUUGCUGUUGACGCACACGAUGAUCAGCAGCGAGGCCAGUGCCAGGAGGAGCCCGGCGACGGAGAUGCCGAUGAUGAUCACCUCGUUCUUCAUGUUGCCGCCUGAGCCUGAGCCACCUGCGGGGGGACUCAGUGCCGGGCCAGGCGGGCCCCUCCACCUGCCGCUUGCAGGUGGGCCGCCGGAGGCACCCGGCACGAUCACCGUCACCGCCAUCGGAGGAGGCAGCAUCUGCGUGGGCGAGGAUGGUGUCCCCGACGACGCUGGAGGUGGCUGGCGACCGGCGGUGUUGUCCGAGGACGUCGACGGUGUCCCGCGCGGCGGCGGCUGUGAUUUUGAUCCGGAGUCUGACGACGCAUUUGGGGGAGGUGAGGCUGCUCCGGGCGUCUUCUCUGACGACGAGGGUGGCGGCGACUUGGUUAAUUCCUGUUUCGGAGGCGAUUUCUGCGACGUCGACGAUGGUGGCGUCGAUGUCGAUGUCGAUGCCGCGGGCGGCGGCGGCGGCGAAGAACGCGGAGGUGGUGACGACGGAGGCGUCGACGACGGGGAAGGAGGAGGAGGAGGAGAGGACUUGCUCGAUGGCGGCGGCGAGGCCGGAGGAGGCGGGGACGCCGUCGGCGACUUCUGCGGCGGAGUCGCUGGUGUCUUCGACGAAGGUGCCGGAGGAGGCGGGGACUGCUUCGACGGUGGCGGCGGCGGUGAGUGCUGUGGAGGCGACGGUGUCGGCGGCGGGGGAGACGACGAGGAAGCCUUCGGUGGAGGUGGCGGCGGAGACGACGAGGAAGCCUUCGGCGGGGGUGCCUGUGCCUUCGGCGCUGGCGGCCCUCCCGCGGGGGACGUGGCCAGAUGCUCGGUUGACGCUGCCAUGAGGGCGCGCGGCAUCACAGGGCCGCCGCGCGCUCGGCGGUGUCGUCGUCGUUUUCGGCCGGGAGAGGGAGAGUGGUUAGGAGCCGCGCAUCGAUCGGCAGGUGGGGGAGGACCGGAGGGGGGCAGCGGCCGGCCGGAUUCCGCCUCUCACAUAGGCAUGGAUGGGUAAACGAAUGUCCGUCCGGCGGCACGGCAGGCCCCGAUCGAGGUAGCCGGCACGGCAGCGUUGGUGGAGACACGGAAUGCGCCUCGCCUUGGCGACAACACGGCCGCGGCGUAAUGUGCUCGUGCCCCUUUUCGGUUUUCCUCCGUAAUUUUUCUUUUUUUUUUUCCCCCCCGCUGUUUUUCCUUGCCUUGCUUUUCUUGGAUGGGUGGAGGGGAGCAUCGAGAAAUCUGGGCGGCCGCAGGAAGAAACCGGCGCUAACUUGAAUGUGUUUGAUUGAGUUCCUGACGACGAAGCAACGCGCGGGCAGUGAUUGACACGUCACUUGGCUGUUCACCUCUCUGCAAGAUUUCAUACACAUGCUAAAUUUAGCUACAUGCAGGUGCAAGAGCUGCAUAGGAUUGAGCUUUAUCAUAUUGCAAGAGUAUGCCUAUCUUUCAUUCUAGUGUUUGAGAGGCCGGGAACACUCGAUUUUUUUUCUUGUACUCGUCUUCUUCCUCCUCCCGCCGCCCCUGCCGCAGGCGUGGUAGGGUCUCUUCAGAGCUCCGGUGAGACCCUAGCAUGCCUGCGUGGCCACCCUCUUCUCCUCUCAUCGCCGCUUUCUUUUCCAACUCUAGCGAGCUCAGUCGUCACCAUCUUCUCCAACUCUUUCGAGACUCCCCUGCCCCAUCCUGGCCUGGCCACCGCUACCAUCGUCAGGGUCCCUAAACCGUCCGGCCACCAUCCCCACUGCCUGGCCUACCUGCCUCCCCCUGAUCGCCUUCUUCUAUAGCCACCGCCGCCAUCAUCUUCAUCUUCGGUGGGCACAAACCAGGAGGAGGAGGGGAGCCCGCCUACCUCAUUGGCGCCGGCGCUACCGGAACCUGCCGCUACCGCCGGAGGGGAGAGAGAGAGGAGCCACGUGGGGGCAUGGGCACGGGCGUGGUGGGAGCAGUUGCAUGCUGUGGAGAAUCGUGUGUUGGAUUUGUCCAAAACACGCAGAUGCCAUAUAGAAUUUAUGUUUUGCAAAGGGUUAUAUACAUAUCAAUACAUGUGUUAGUGAAAACUAGUGAGGAUCCAACACCUUUGCCCCCAAUUCAAGAGCAUAAGAGCAUCUCCACCAGGUCUCCUUUUCUCUUCCCCUUAAAACCACCUAUAGGGGAUUGAGAAAACUAACUUUAUGUUAUUAGGGGGACUAUGCAAUAGAUUGAGAAAACAUAUCCUUUUUAGGUAGGACCCACGUGUCAAUGUCUAAACCACCUUCUUCUUCCACUGUUUCCUCUCUGCAUCUCUCUCAUUCAUGGCAUGCCUGCUCACCAUGGCAGCGGUAGCAUGGCCUAUGCUCUUGCCUAGUGCGACGAUGUGGCUCGCGCUUGCCCGACACAACAGCGGCAUGGCUUGCGCUUGCUCGACACGACGACAACUUCCCACAUGCUUGCUCAAUGUCAUGACAGUGAUGGCCAGUGUGGGCCUAAGAUGACAUAAAGAGGAGGAAAAGGGAUUGGCAAAAAAAGUCUAUUGGAUCCCCUCCAUUUGAGGAACUGAGGGGAGAUUUUGAGGGAUUGUAAAAGAAUAUAGGGAAAAGGGAUUAAGAAAAGGGGAUCUAAUGGAGCUAUUUUUCAAUUUAUUGCCCUGUAUGAUAGAUUUUAGAAAAAGGCGACUUUUUUUCUCGGUCUAGUGUAGAUGCUCGAUCUUAAGUGAAGUGAUAUUUGACAAGAGUAAUUCCCUCUCUAUUUGAAAUAUUAGCACAAAUCUUGUUGAGAUGGCUUUGUGGCCCCGGCUAAUGAAGCGCAACAAGUCUUGGAGUUUUUUAAAGUCAACUAAAAAAAUCUCAUGAUUGACGAAGUCACCACAUGUGUCUCGUUGUCGACGGGCACGUCAUCUAGCACUGAAAGCAUAGCGCCGUUAACUCUGAGAAUAAAUUCAAAAAAAAUACGAGCACAAGUCAAUGACUUAACCUGGGUGGGUAGGUUCCACCACAAGGAACCCAAUCAACUGAUCUAUGAUCACAACUCAGUUCUUCGAAGGUACUCAUACGGGUAGGGUGUGCGUGUGUGCGUUUAUAGGAGUAAGUAUGCGCUCGUGUAGGUGAGCGUAACUGGGUCUCACAAAAAAAGUUAAUUAAAAAAAAAUCACCUGUAUCUAUGUUUUUCUUUAGAACCGGGCUAUCAAAGUGAACAUGCUAAGAUGGGCUGCUGUAGUCAUAACGGCCCAUGACAUUUUCAUGAGUUGCUUAAUCCUUCUUCAAACCAAGAUCAACCUUUUAAAACCCCACGCAAAAAUGAAAGGAAAAUAUAGCUACGAAUGCCGAGUUUAGGUACUCGCAAGUUUCUACUAUAACUUUUGAGAAAACAUGCAAGGUAUAAGGGAGUGUUUAGUUGGGGUAUUGAAGUUUAACAGAUACUAUAGCAUUUUUGUUUUAUUUGGUAACUAGUGUCCAAUCAUGAACUAAUUAGUUUUAAAAGAUUCGUCUUGCAAAUUAUUCUCUAGUCAUAUUUUUAAUUUUAUAAAUAAUAUAUAUUUAGUACUUCAUACAUAUAUCCCAACAUAUGGAAUGAAAGUUAAAGUUUAACUACGCGAACCAAACAGGGCCUAAAUCAUACUACUAGUGUGCAGAUACUCGUGCAACCUUCUUUUUCUUGGGACCAUCAUCAUCAAUUCCUCAGCCGGCUUUGGAUAUUUCCAAAGUUCCAUGGAAGAGAUAUGCCAAUUUGUGCAGCGUCCGGGCUGUGACCAGCCCAACUCCCGCUGGACCUGUGAAGAGUGGGCUCGCUAGGCGGCCCAGCCCAAAGUAGUGCGCGUUGCGUGUUUCACUCGCUCUCUGUUGCCUGCAUGCGUACCCAUGCAAUAAAAAAUUCAGCUUGCUCAAAAACAAAAAACAAAAAAUUAAUUAAAUUUAGUGAUGUUAAGGCCUUGUUUAAAUCAAAAAGGUUUUGGAUGUUGAUACUGUAGCAUCUUCGUUUUUAUUUGACAAACGUUGUCCAAUCAUAGAGUAACUAGGUUUAAAAGAUUCGUCUCGUGAUUUACAGUUAAACUGUGUAAUUAGUUUUUAUUUUCAUCUAUAUUUAAUGCUUCAUGCAUAUGUCAUAAGAUUCAAUGUAACAAGAAAUUUUAAAAAAAAUAGUUUUUGAGUGAGCUAAACAAGACCUAAAUCCUGUCCUCGCCGACCUUCUCGCCCACGUCUCGUUCAUCCCCCUUCCUCCGUGCUGCUCACACAGUUGUACGAAGUUCCAGUAUAUAUUAAUUAAAUUAAAAUCCAUGUCGCAGUCGUACCUUGGAUGCUUAUCAUAAAUCUGAUCACGUGUUCUCAGCAGCAUUCAUGUGGUUUGCCUUUUGCUUCAACGGUGCUAAUCAAUCUAGAAUGUCACCCCUCCUUUUUCAUGUUAUAGAAAUAGACGUCUCUAAUGUCAAAAGUCAAUAAAUAAAUAAACCUAACUCAGACACCAUCUCACCGGUAGCAGAUCAACGUCCGAGCACCCUGUCUAAUCCAUUGAGAUUAUGGAGAAAUAGUAAAACCACUGUGUGGGUCCCUGAGCUUGGAAGGUCUAGGACAUGGCGACUGACGCACACUCGACUUUCGAACUUUUCACGAGCAAGUCACGGUCGGUCCUGGUCCAAAUCUAAUUUUCAAAGAGAAUCCUUAACGAAAUAUAGUACGUAAUUGUCAUCAACGGAUUUUAUAUAGAAAACAAAUGUUUUAGGAAAAUAAUAUUAUGGCAUUAUAUAUUUGCUUGCACAGCUCCGCUACUGCGUGCCCAAGCUUAAUUAGCUGGUGCCCACCAACAGCUAUCGAUGCCGGCAACGGCAAGCCUCCCACGUCAGAAGCUUCCUCGUGCUGCUGCUUGUGCUUGGUCCCCAAGCCGGUCUGGUCUCCGUCUCCCGUCUUCAUCUAGAAGGAAUACGCUCCGUUGCUUGGAGUUGGAGUACUUGAGGAUCGUUUAGUUUCUAAAAAAAAAGAAAAAUUUUCUGUUACAUCAAAUUAUUAGACGUAUAUAUAUUGUAUUAAAUAUAGAUAAAAAAUAAUUAAUUAUACAGUUUACUUGUAAUAUACGAUACAAUUUUUUAAACCUAAUUAGUUUAUAGUUGAAUAAUAAUUAUUAAAUACAAACAAAAAUAUUAUAAUAGUUAAACUUAAAAAAUUUCGCGAACUAAAUAAUGUCUUACUCAAGCAACGAGGGAUGGACCCACGGUAGGUUCCAUGUGGGCCCGUUCAUUUAGUCAAGGCCUGCCUGCUUAUCCACUCUGUUGACGCGCUUGAUGAGGAUUUUGUCUGCUCUGUUCAUCCAGAGCUCUCCUUGCUCCUGUUCCUACCCUGAAGCUGCAGGUCAACCCACAAGCUUGUCAUUGUUGAUAGGAAAAGAGAGGUUGUACUAGCCUGUUUGGACGGAUCGGUAGGUACAUGCAACGGAGUGGAGGCAAUUAAUCUGGAAGCGCUCCUAGUGACCCAAAAAAAAAAAAGCGAGUAACGACCGUGUGGAACAAAGCUGGCACUGUCCAUUCGACCACUUCUCACUUUUUAAUAGUCCGGAAUAUAGAGUCCACGUGAGAGAAAAAAAAAUAAAAUUCUGUUCUAGAAAUCGCGACCACAGCACUGAACCGCCAAUGCCUUUUGCUCCCUCCUCCCGUCUGCUUUCAUCCGUGCACGAGUGUUUUCCAACUUUCUGCGAGGAAUGAGCACAGUUUCCAUAGCAGUUUUUUCCCCUUUCGAGACCGAGAGAAGUCAGCCGGCAGCAGGUGCACUGCAUUGUUGUGAAAAGUGGGGCUGGACCUGGAAGUCUGGAACAGAACGUUCCAUGAUGUGUGCUGGAAAAGCGGGGUCAAAUGUUCUACCACGACGGGUGGAAUAGAAGGCUAAAAAGUGAUUGUGAAUUUUUUUUUUACUGAAGAUAAGUUUAAGCGAACAAGUUAAGCCCCGUUCGUUUAGGGUGAAAUGGGAUCAGAAAUUGUUCCACCUGAUGAUGAAUCUUAUACAAAUUUGUGAACCAAUCCAGCUAGGAAUUAUUCCAGACCUUCAAUCCUGAAAACACGAACAAGGCCUUAAUCUUCACAAAAAGAUGACUGGCUGGACAAGUGGUCAAAGUAAAAUUAAACUGAGGCAACGCCGGUGCUGAAGCAUCAACCUUCAGGCCUAGCCCACCCACCACCGCGACGGAGCAACGCCGGUGCCUCGGUGCUGGCGGCGGCGCUGGCGCACGGUGGCCUCGAUCUUUUAUCCGGCACGUACCCAUGUGAUGAGAGCUUGGACAGGCACAACACAAGCGAUCGUUCCAUGCCUUGAUUAGCAGCAGACAAGGCGAUGUCUAAUUGGUCUCUUUGGAUUGUGUGUACGUUGCCUUGCAAGUUUCCUACUCUGGCACAAAAGUCAGAUCUCAUUAAUCACCGACUACGUCGAUAGAUCAAGAUGAUCAUCAUGUUGGGAAUUACCGGUCUAGUUUUGUCGAUUAACGCACGGUUGAGAAACGAUCAAGUAACGUACGUACACUCCUUUGUGGUGAUUGUGGUUGCGUAAACAACGACGACGGACUGACGGAUCCACUGAUGCCAUAUAUAUAUAUAAGACGACACUACGUGUUGGGCACAUGUGUCGUGCUCGCGGUCGCGGCGUUACCCUGCUUACAGCGUGUCUGCUACGACAUAAGUUCAUGCCUAUAAUACUCUUAUGGAACAGAAGAAGAGUUGAGACAGACAACGAACAUUACAUGAUACCAGGACAUUGACUUGCGCUCAAACAAGUUGCAGCAAGGAAUUCAGGCCUUGUUUAGUUCGUGAAAUUUUUUGGCUUUAACUGCUGUAGCACUUGUGUUUGUAUUUAAUAAUUAUUCUAAUCAUGGACUAACUAGGUUCAAAAAAUUUGUCUCGUAAAUUACAAAUAAAUUAUAUAAUUAGUUUUUAUUUUCGUCUAUAUUUAAUAAUCCAUACGUACGUCUAAAGAUUCAAUGUAAUGGAGAAUCUUGAUAUUUUUUGAAAACUAAACCAGGCCUCAGCUAAACAACACAUAUUGCUCACUUUGAUACCAAGACAACCUCGGAGUUCUUCGGUAGUCGAUACCAUAGGUCCACCUAGACAGGUGCCACCACACCGUCUUGUUCGUUUGGUUGAUAAACUCUGGCAGAAACACUGUUGAAUAGCUGAUUAAUUUAGCUGAUAAGUUCAAACAAACAAGGCGAAAACAAAAACAAAAUUAGAAUCAAAAUAUACUUUUUGUUAGGAGAAAAACAAAUAGGCAUUCGAAAGGUCAAGCUCGUGAUGCUCAUAAUCGCAAAAGGCGAAGCACGUGCAGCAUGAUAACUUUUUUUUUAUCAUGCAGCACAAUAUACUCUUGGACAUGAAACUCAGGCAUGUGUUUAGAUCGAUUUAUUAACUACUCCUAGUUUAUAGGUAGCAGUUGCUCGUUGUUAGGUACUACUCUUUAUUAGUUUAUAUAUAGUUAUUUAGAUCCAUUAGUAUAUGGCUAGAUAGUUCAUUACAGAGAUGUAUAUGAACUACUCCUUCCAUAUUAAAAUGUAACAUAUAUAUCUUCCCAAAAAAAUAUAAGGUAUAUUUAAACAUUCACAUUUUAUCUAAAUUAUAAGACAUUUUAGGUGAUAGGCCUCAUCCCAAUUUUUUAAAAAGCAGCAUCUUCAUGUGUAUCUACUAAUAGUGUCCAUCACACCAAUCCAAAUGUGGUAAUCAAAAUAUUUAUCCUGUGAUUAAUGAAGGAUUAAACGUGUUAUGUGAUCUAUCCUUUACCCUUAAAGCUGUAUAUCGCAGCCCCUCUCACACAUCACUGUAUAUCAACGUAUCCAGUAAAAAGUACGUCCCUGUUAUGCUGAACAGUAGACCAGUAAACAAUGUGUACCCGUUAUGUUGAACAGUAACAGAUCCAGUGAAUAGUGCGUACCUGUCAUGUUGUGAACAGUAUCAGAUCCGUGAAUAGCGACGAACCCAAUGAACAGUAAAAAAUCCAAGCUCUACCUGUUAGAGCAACUCCAACAGAUAUGCUAUCCAUGUUGUCUAGGCUAUUUUUACAUUUUUAAAGCAAAAGUUAAACUCCAACAGAUGUGCUAUCUGGUUUGCUAAAAUAGCAAGUUUGCUAUUCCUAAACUUUCGCUUGUCAUAUAUAGCAUGUCGUCCUCACUAGCUAUCCUAUACAAAGGCUGUUGUGGAACUCUAUGCUUUGAGUGAGUUUUUUAUUUUACACAAUGGCUAAAUCUUGUAAUUUAGAAUAUAAUUUUAGCUAGUCUCUUGGAGAUGCUCUUAGGUUGUGAACAGUAACGGAUCCGGUAAACAAUAACCGUCCACUAGCUUAUGAACAGAUCCAGUAAACAUCACACACCCAUUACAAAAUUGUCCAUACCCGUUAUGACAGUCCAAACCGUAACAAACUAUACAAAUCCGUUGUACAUUAAUACCCGCCACCAUCAUUACAAAUCUGGUACUACACCAAACAAACCCAUUACUGCUCCAAACCUUAAUUUUUUUUCCUUUUUUCUCCACUUCUCUUUCCACGCUGGAUAACGAACUAAUUCUCCCUCUCCUUCCCCGCACAAACCACGGGGUCUCCCACUAUUUCUCAAUGAUUGCUAGCCCGCGCAACUGACAGGGAUCCAUGCUAGUUUAUCUUAUAACUAGAAGAUACCCCGUGCAUUACUAAGCAUUUGGAAUGAAAUUAAUAAGUGGAGAUGAUAUGGAUAGCUUGCAAUAAAAAUAUUAGAAAUUAGUGGUAGAUGACAUGGAUAGUUAGGCACUGUUUAGUUUUCCACCAAAAAUUUUUCAUCCAUCCCAUCGAAUCUUUGGACACAUACAUGAAACAUUAAAUGUACAUAAAAAAUAAACUAAUUACACAAUUUGGUUGAAAAUCGCGAGACGAAUCUUUUAAGCCUAAUUACUCCAUGAUUAGCCUUAAGUGCUAGAGUAACCCAAAUAUGCUAAUGACAGAUUAAUUAUGCUUAAUAGAUUUGUCUUGCAGUUUCCUAACGAGUUAUGUAAUUUAUUUUUUUAUUAGUUUCUAAAAACCCCUCCCGACAUCCUUCCGACACAUCGGAUGUGACACCUAAAAAUUUUCAUCUUCAAUCUAAACAAGGCCUAAGGAGGAGGAUAUGGAUAGCUUGCAUGUUGACUUGUUGAGAAAGACUUGUAGUGGGGAUUAACUUUAUAAGAGAUAUAGAUAUGUCAUAAAAUCCUGAGAUACCUUGUACUUUAUGAUGGAAGUAGCACCAGUCCAAGGCAAUGCCAAAUUAUUAGAGCAUCUCCAAGACUUUUCAAAAUCCACUCUCAAUUUAGAUUUGUUCGCAAGAUUGGAAAAAAAUGCUUUCCAAUAACUCCUUUAUCUCAACUCCUAAUCUUUUAGCACAUGGGACAAAUAAUUGACUCUUGACUCACGUGAAAGUAUCCACGUGUGUAUCGAUAUGACAAUCUAGAGGUGAAAGGCCAUAGAAUGAAUAAGAAAAGGACAUGGUUUCCAAUGCAAAUGCAUAAGGAAGAAGAAUGUAUAAAAGUGGUUGGGGCCGGUGAUCUAUAAACAGUAUGAGAUUUCUAAUGUAAAAUUAUCUUCUAUAUAUUUUUGGAGUGAUAUUUUAAAAAUUAUUGAAGGAACCCAACAAAUAUGCUCCCAACAUUUUUAGCCACUUUGAAAACUCAUUGAUUUGUUCCAAAAAAACUCAUUGAUUUACCAAUUAUUAUUUGGGAAACUAUUUGAGAUGAACUAGUAAUUAUUAAGAGCUCCACCAUGUAUUAGAUAGGAAGCAUAUUUGGAUUUCACCCGCUAAUUUUAACUUUUUUAGUUGUUACUCCCUCACUCAUGAGAUACAAGGUACCCUAGGAAUUUUAGAACAGAUUAUGGUAUAAAAACAAAUAUACCAUAUUUUGAUUUUGGUGGUAGACACUAAUGGCAAGUAUGCAUGUGAUUGGUGUAUUGGGAGGAGUUAAUUCACCUAGAAUAUUUUAUAAUUUAGAAUAAAAUUUGAAUGUUUCAAUACUUUAUUUAUAUUUUAGGACAAAAUAGAACUACUAUCACUAUAGAAUAAUUAAACCUGUCCUUGUUGUGCAUUUAUGCUUAAAGUUAUUAUUAUAGGAAAAUGAAGCCUGUCAUUUGAAUCGUUAUGCUCACGCAAACCAAAUUCACAGAAAGUAGUAUGGUCCUUGAUUAUCAUCUCAAACAAAAGAGUGAAGAAAGACCCAGUGCUCAUAGAAUAAUUAUUAGCUAGAUGAAUUAGGGGUUGUAUACGUACACAAGCAGCCAGUAUGGACUACGGAGUAGCUAGAGAUGCUUACCCGACUAUCCGAGACUGCAAACUACUCGAAACUUCUAUUUUUACAAAUUUUCAUUUCCAAAAUUUUCUAUUUUCGAUUAAAAAUUGCAAAUGUAUAUGUACUACAUUAUAUUGUCUAGACUUGUUUAAAGAACUUUAUUAAGCGUGUAUGUUUCUUCCAAUCAAAGCGCGCACUCAGCAUAAUUUUCACGCGAACAUUGUCUCUAGACUUGUUUAAAGAAACGUAUAUUAUGGAAAAUUUAUAGAUAACUUGUACAUACAAGUUUUCUUGUUAACUUAUUUGCGGAAACUUUUAUUUUUUAAAAUCCCUAAAUCAAUGCCAUCGCACAGGCACAGUAGCGUUUUGUUGGGAGGAUCGGAGGUGAAAAACAAAAUGUACGUACACGCCGGACGCGUUCCCUUCGUUCAGAAGCUUAAUUGACAUCUCAAAUUCUUAAUUAACCUAGUUUUCAAGAGAUCGAUUGAACAUGAUUUGCUCGUUUAAUAGACUUGCGAAGAAAUGAAAGCCAUGCAAGAGAGCAUAAACCGAGUUGCCGCUCAUAAUGACGAAAGAUCAAGCACGUGCAGCAUGAAAGCUCUUCCUAACGCGGAGAUGGAACUUUUAUGCAUUUAUUAUAUGCUUGACAAUAAUAGGAAAAUCGAAACCCAUCAUCGGAUCUUUAUGCUUACGCGAACCAAAUUUUCACCGGUCCCUAAAUUAAUUUAUUCGGGUGUAUCAUCCCGAUUCCUAAACUCACAAAACGACUAUUUAGAUAUCUAAAUUUGUUCGGUUAUAUCAUCUUGGUCCCUAAGCUUGAAAAUCUCCCAUAUAGGUCCUUAAACUUGCUCAAUUGUGUCAUCUCGGUCCCUAAACUUGUUUUUAAGUCUCAUCUGGAUCAAAACGGAGCGAAUCUAAAAACUCUAUUCAAAACAUAAUUCAUAACUUUUCAUAUGAACUGAAAUGAAGAUAAACUUUAUAUCAAAAUUGUAGCCAACAAUACGAUUUACAACUUUGUAGUUAAAAAGAUUUUAAAUUAAAAUCAUUUAGGGUUCCCAAAAUAUUUUUUUAAGUUUAUAGACUUUGAAAUUUAAAACUUAAAAAUUAAAUUCUAUGACACUAAAUGUUUUAAAUAAAAAUUUUCAACUACAAAGUUGUAGAUCGCGUUGAGCACUAUAACUUUAGUAUAAAAUUUGUCACCAUUCAAGUUUGAGACGUCUCCAAUAUAGGCUUGUUUAGUUCCAAAAAUUUUUAGAAAAUCGACAAUGUAACACUUUCGUUUGUAUUUAACAAAUAUUGUCCAAUCAUAGACUAACUAGGCUUAAAAGAUUUGUCUCAUCAAUUCCGACCAAACUGUGCAAUUAAUUUUUAUUUUUAUCUAUAUUUAAUACUUCAUGCAAUUGUCUAAAGAUUCGAUGUGACGAGAAAUCUAAAAAAUUUUGCAAAUUUUUUUGGGAACUAAACAAGGCCUAGAGGGAAGAAAUACUCACUGCUCGUAGGACACUAUCCUUGUUUACUUCCCUAAAUAUUUUGCAAAAUGUUUCAGAUUCUCCGUCACAUCAAAUCUUGUGAUACAUAUAUGAAGCACUAAAUAUAGGUAAAAAAGAUAACUAAUUACACAAUUGCAUGUAAUUUGUGAAAUGAAUCUUUUGAGCCUAGUUAGUCUAUAAUUGGAUAAUAUUUGUCAAAUACAAACGAAAUUGCUACUGUUCACAUUUUGAAAAAAAAAAUUUGUAAGUAAACAAAACGGGGCAAGCGCUAUAUGUACAGUCAAGCAGCCUGCACGGAAUAGAGACGCUAGUCCGAUAUGAUAAGAUAGCAAGCUCAAACUUAAAGCUAUUUGGACAUGGCCACACAAUCUCGAAAGUCUCUAUUUUUAGGAAUUUUUAUUUCCAAAAUUUUUCUAUUUUAAAGAUUAUAAAAACCACAUUUGGUCCAGUUUGCAAAAUUUUUUUGUAUAAGACAAAAGUCAAACUUGAUAUUCUUCCACCAACUAUUUAGCUAAUAAUUUUAAAUUAUUGUAGAAGUUUGAUACUAUAGACUUGUAAUCAAAUAUACUAUCUACUGGUCAAAGUGAAAUAAUAUCUUCCGGAGUAUAUUAUAUUUGAUUACAAACAAUAUAAGUUUAUAACCAUAAACAACAUACUAUCCUCGGAGGAUAGUAUAUUAUAAGUCAAAGUAAUAUAGUAUCUUCCGGAGUAGAUACUAUAUAUUUGAUUAUAAACAAUAUAAGUUUAUAUUAUAUUUAUAUUAGUAUAUUAUAUUUGAUUUAUAAGUCAAAGUAUAUACUAUCUAUUGGUCAAACAAUAUAAGUUUGUAAUCAUAAACAAUAUAAGUUUAUAGUAUCUUUAGUUUGAUAUACAACUUAAUUACUUUGACUUGUAAUCAAAUAUACUAUUAUAUUGAGUAUGAAUUUAUAUUGUGUAUGUUUAUAAUAAUACUAUAGACUAGUAAUAUUUAUAAAUAUAUAACCAUAAAUAAUAUGAUAUAAAAUAAAUAACUUAUCAAAGUGUAAUUUAGUAGACCAUGUCAUGAUGGAAGAUGCCUUAUAAACUAGAUCGAGGGUUGUACAUAACUAUAUGUAUAAUUAAGUUGUAUCCACAACGUUUUCUAGACAAAGCUCCCAUCAUAACUUUUAAAAAGCAUUGCCACUUGACCCAUUUAAAGAAAUAUUAUGAGAAAUUUUAUGGAUGACCUGUAUACAUAAGUUUUGUUGCUAAGUUAUGUGAGACAACUUUUACUUUUUGAAAUACGAACAAUUAUACACAAUUUUUCAUUGCUAGCAUGUUCUUAAAAUAUCUUGUUUAAAGUAAGUUUUCAAAGCAACUAUUUCAGCUAUGUGUUUUUAAUUUGUUUAUUUAUUGUAUAUAAAUCUUUUUAUUUUUUGCAAGUGCCACCGGCAACCCAAUGACAACACUUGUGGCUUCUACACUGCACAUCACAUGACCUUAGCAAUGGCGGCUUCAACUUGUGAAGAUCCUUUGGUAUAAACUUGUGUGAACUCCUGGAGCUAGAAAUGGCUCCUUCUAGUGCUAAUUUAUUUGUAGUGUUAUCCUGAAAUGUUGUGUUUGAAUGCAAGGAUUUUGAGGUGCCAACAGUAGAACUGGAAUUAAGUGUGCUCUGGGAAACCCGAGAAGCUAUUUCCUCAUUCCUGAUAUCGCAAGUGGUGAAAUCGGCUGCAAACUCUUGUGAAGAUCAUUCAUAAAGUGUUUGUGGGAACCCUAGCUAGAACUAGAACUCUUAUCAUUUGAUUUUGCUGGGGCUAGAUAAACUUGCGUGUGCUUAUCUAAUUCUACACCUUUUUUGUAUACUUUUGUUUAAACCACUAAUGUGUGACUUACAUCCACUAAUUUGAGACGGCGGUUCAGAAAAUGCGUCUUUUUGGUUUUGGCACAUUUUUUCUGAGACGGGUUGCUAGUAACCACCAGAGACGGUUGUGUAGCCGUGUGUAAUAUAUGUAUAACUGAGACGGGGGUACGCCCAUUGCAUUUAUAUAAAAAUUGAGACGGUUUAUAAUCGUACCCCGUCGAUGGCUGUUUCAUUAUUGAGACGGUCGUUAGUUUAGCCAGCCGUCUGUGACCCUUAUUACCAGAGACAGUUGUAAAGACGUCUGUGUUAUAUUUACAACUGAGACGGGGUACACCCGUCGUCAUUCUACAGGUCCUGAGACGCUUUAUAAAUGAUACCUGUCGCUGGCUCUUCAUUACUGAGACAGUUGGUAGCUGUCUGUAGCCUAAAUUAUCACAGACGGGUGUUCAUAAAAUCUGUCUCUUAUAACAAAUAAUCUGAGACGGUUGUUUACCCGUCACUAGGUCUGGCAUAUCAGAGACGCAAAUUUUCAGACGCAUGGCCUAUCCGUCUCUAAGAAGCGUUGACAACCGUCUGAAAAGUUUUUUUCUGCAGUAGUGAUAGGGUCUAAGGACAGCCCCAACUGAUGGUGAAGUUGCUACAACGUUGGGCUUAGAUCGACGUGAACAUAUGAGAGAAAGUAGAGAAAAACCAACUAGCGACUGUUUUUUUCAGUAGUCAGAUAAAGGAGUAUAUAUGUUGUGCUUCUCUCUCCUAGCACAGUAACCUCUUACAUCAGCCAUGGUGUUCUCCACCUCUCUCUCUCCUUCUCGCUACAUCUUGGGAGCCCGCAUUGGCAUAGCCAGAUAGGGAAGCAGUUGCAUUGCCGAUAGGGCAAUACAACUCAUAAGUGAGACCCAUAAGAUAACCGUGGCAUCAAAUUGUCAGCAGCUUACUAAGCUACAUUCCUACAUACUAGUAUAAUGUCCGUGCUAACGCUACGGUUUUAUCUCAGGAAUGUACAUAAAAACAUUCAAUGAUUUUAUUUCAUAGUUUAACUUUUACACAAUCAUAUUUAAACAUGUAUACAAUCUAGAAACACUUUUGUAUAAAGGAAGCCUCCGAAUCUCGUGGAGAAGAGCAUUUGUUUAUUUAUUGUAUAUAAAUCAAAUGACUAUUUUGUGAUAAUAAAGAUGAAAUGUAUUCCAAGUGAUUACCAGUCUUUAUUUGAUGAAACUUUUAUAACACAAGUAGGGAAUCUUCUCUUCAUGGCGAGACAGAACCUUUUAGCAAUAGUGUGAAAUGUAUAACCCUUGAAACAUACUUCAUUUAGAAGUGGAUCCAUAAUGUACAUAGUUUUGUUUUGCAUGUUCAUUAUGAAUAAAAUGUAUAGCCCAUCUCGAUAAUAUGGUAGUAGAAUCUAAAAACAAACACAAACUAUAAGUGAUAAAUAAAAUAUAAUAAGCUUUUAAAGGAGUAUACUGAACAUAUCUUACAUUGUUGCAAUCUUUAAUUUUGUACUCCAUAUCAGGCCAGCACUCAAGUACUUUUGCGAGUUUCUUGUUGUCUAGCUUGUCACAACAUCGCGGAUCUCGUCCAAACUGAGUUAUGGACUUUCCAGUUUGCAAAAUUCAAAUUUUUUUUGAUUAAUUAUACAAUUGUAUAUAUUAUAGUAGAGAUUGAUGAAUUAUACAAUUAAGACUUGGAUGAACUUACAGCAAACUGGAGGUCCAUGAAGUGGUAUUUUUGCUUCUUCAACAACAAGGAUUCAUUUGACGCAGCUAUCCUAACAACCAUGUUGAAGCAAUCAUGAUCCAACUCUCUAUUGUCAUCUAAAAUUUCUCUAAUUUUUCUAGGACUUAAAGAAAUUGUGUAUAGUUGUGUGCUUCGAACCCACUCUUUGCUACAAAACAAUGACAAGGAACAAAUUACUUAUUGUAGCAAUUCAAUCAUGGAUAUUGGAAAAUCUAAUUUAGAACAAAAUAAUUCUCAGUAAAAAAUGACUUACUCCAAAGGUUCAGCAUCGACACAUUCUCCUAUACUGACAUAAUAAACUGAAAACAAAACUUCGAUCAGGUUGUUGCAGAGCAAUGUACCUGUAAGCUAGCAACGACGCGAGCGCCGUGUCUGCGCCGGCGUGAUCAUCAUGACGGCGGCAGAGGCGGGCGAUCGUCGUUGCCAGGCACCGCGCGGCUUUGUCGUUACCUCGUCAAAGUGCGUGGGUGUGGGCGUUGACAUGAUACUGAUCGUCGCGGCGGCUGCUCGACAUGUACAAGUUAGAAAAAUAUUUAUAAGUAAGAAUCAUGUAUAAUCACAACCAGAAAACCCUUGAUACCGCCUAAUGCAAAUAAGUUUAAAAAUAAAUUACUUGAGAUUUCAAUUUUAUUUUCUUCCUUGUCAUCCGAAUGUGCAAUUAUGUGUUUACCCACGCCACUUCAUUCGUUGUUGUUUUUGGAUAUCUAUUGGUCAUGUCCUUUGCUUGGAGAUAUUCUGGUUUUGUGACAAUUUACACGAUCAUAACUGAAGCAGUAAAGAGCAAUUAUGAAGAAAUAAUCUAGGGACGGAAGUUCGACUGCAGGAUUUGAGAAGAUGUGGACCAUCACAUACAACAGAAGUGAACCUUAGAAGUGAUAGGUCUACUGUAGUUCACAAUAUCGAGUUGCCUCCAUUAUCCCAAGGGAGAAUUACAAGGUCGUAUGGACACCUUCAAUAGUGAUAAGGGCAAGGGAAAUAGUUCAAAAUCUCUUGCUCUACCAGCAGUUACAUGUGAUUCAGUACCUGAUGAUGCAAAGCUUGAAGGAUACAGAGACCACAAAGACUCCAUGCAUUCAGAGGAGGAACAUACUAAGGUGAGGAUUGUCACUGCUUCAUGCUCAAGAGCUAGUGCAUUAGCUGAGAAAACAACAAAAAGUGUUACACAGCUUGAUUUGAUGCCUGAUUCGCUAAGCCAGACGACCUCUAACAGUUCUGCACAAAUUACCUGAGAAUGUGAAGUCUGAUUUGUUUAGUGCACUUCCAUCAGGAGAUCCUGCAUGCAGCACUUGUAAUGUAUCUGAAAGUAAAUCACUUAAUGUUGCUAGAGCUGAAAAGAGAUCUCCUAAUGAUGGUGGAGCUGAUGAUCCAGAAAAUCCAAGGACUUUUCUCCCACCAGAAAGUUCUCAAAAAUAGAUUGAACAGUUUAGAGUUAGCAGUUGCCUAAUUUUGAAUGUAAUUGCAGAGCAACAUACAGAUUUGAGCUGUCCGAUAGUAGAAUUAUCAGGAUAUUUUUCCCAUCAAAUAAAACAGUGACCAUGUAAUCAUGUUGUGUUACUACUUGCAUCUCUACUUCAUGAUAAAUAAAUCGAACAUGCAUCCAUAUUUAAUUUAAAUAAUUAUACAAGUCUUAUAGAAGCUGUAGACGUGGGAAUAAAUGAAAGACACCUGCGUGCUUGGCGUAUGGAUCCGCAGAACAAGGUGAUCGUCAUGUGCGUGACCGCGGCCUCCCCUCUGCCACGCGUGCGUGAUCGUCGUGGCCGCUGCACGGGCUCGGGUGUGGCUUCCUCCCGGCGAGCAAUCAGAAGGCUCGUCGAGGCUGCUGCUUGGCGCGACGACUGCACGGGCUUAGGCGUGCGUCCUCACGAGGCCGGCUUCCUCCUGCCGCGGUCGCAGGCGAUCGACGCGGCGACUGCGCGGGCUCGGGCGUGCGUCCUGGUGAGGCCGGCUUCGUCCUGGCGCGGGCGCAGGCGAUCGGCGCGGCGGCUACUCGGAGCCAGGCGUGAUCCCGUGAGGCUAGCUUCCUCCUGGCGCGGGCGUAGGCGAUCGGCGCGGCCUCCACAGCUGGGUGAUCGGAGGCCGGUUUUUCUUUUUUUUUCUUCGAUUCGAUGAUGCUUGGAGGUUCGGCGCCGGGUGCGGCCUGAGAAGUCACGGGUGAGAGAAGCCUGGCUUCCCACAUUCAAUCGUGGCCAUUAGAUUUGAUAGAUGUGUUUUUUUAGCCAUUGAUUUUAAUGGUGUAGGACUAUUGUGUACAAUUUCCUGGAUACAUAAUGGUUGGAGACUCCCCGUGGGGGACGAUUUGCUGGGUGGACCAAGUAUAAUUAAAGAAUUCCAUUAUAGUAGAAGAAGAAGAUACACGCGUGAAUGAACUACUGGCGCAGCGUCGUGGCCUCGUGGGGCUAUGGCGCACACCGCAGGGUUAGUGUUGCGCCCGAGCGUUGGCAUUUUUUCUCCCGGGCUGGGUGCUGUCUAUUGGCACAUGCGGAAACUGAAAUCAUUGUCUAAUAAAUCGAUCGUUGCAAAGUUGAAGUGCAUGGCACGCACGGACGACGCACCUCUCCAUGGGUCGACAAAUAGGAUAUAGUACAGCAGCGGCGCAAUUUCCAUGUGGGACGUUGCUUCUCUUGGGUUCGCUACGGUGGCUCAUGAUUAUAGAAGGGGCCGCGCGUGCUCCCAUGCGUUAGUAAUGCGAAAUGGCGGGUUAAUGACUGUACUGUCCAGGCAGCCAUCAUCAGAGGAAAAAAGUGCCUGUAGGGCUUAAUUAUGUGUAGGAAUGAAGUUUCCCAUAGUCACGUAGAACUACUUCUGUUCACACUGUCCGGUAUCAGAUCACAGUCAUCCCCAGUUCCCCUUAAAAAAAAGGUUCCCCUUCACCGUCUUACAAAAAAGUGCGAUGACGUGUACUCGGAGCCAGCUGACUCGGCGGCUAAUCUUUUUUUUUUUCCGACACCCAGUUACGGAUGCAACGUUCAUAAACACAAGCGCACAUUUACUCCGAAAAACCGAGUUGGACCAACAAAUCUCGAGAUUGACGAAGUCUCCACAUGUGCCUCGCUGUCGACAGGCACAUCGCCUACCAGUAAAAGUAUAACGCCAUUACAUAAUGUAAAUAAAUUCAGAAAAAUAUGAUCACCCAUAUCAUCGGGAACUUAAAACCGAAUAGGAAGGUUCCACCAAAAAAAACAAACCCAAACGAGCUAAUAAUUUGCCGGCGGCCAAUCUACACCCGACUCCCGACCGGAUUAACAAUAACAGCUGCUUGUCUCUCAAGCAAGCGCGAUCUCGGCAAAUCCCACGGACCCAGGCAAUUUCCCAAAAUCAUGUGUAAACACCCAGGAAAAGUAACAAGAACUCGCCACACGCACACGCACACGCACACGCACACGGAACGCAGACGGAACCCAAGCGGCAAGAAACGAACCCCGCGUCCGCGUGCAUCACGACUGACGUGUAGCGCAUCACGACUGACGACGACGUGCAUCGCCGGAAGGAAGGCUCCCAGCGCAGACGGGCGCCGCGAGGCGACGCAGAGCAGGCAGAGAGCCCCGCCCUUCCAGAAGGUCGCCGCCUCGCCUCCUCCCUCCCGCUACCCACCCGGUUUGCCCCUAUAUAAACGCCGCUCCCAUCUCGCUAACCGACUAGCAGUAGCAGUUGCUUCCCACCCUUUCCGGCCUCUCCAUCCCCACGCCGACCGCACCACCCGACCCGAUCGCACGCACACAAACACAAACCGAGCAGCAGAAACAUGCGAGACAUGGAGGACAGAUCGGUCGUCAGCCGCCGCCAUGAACCCACCACCGUCGCCAGGACGGCGGACGACGACGACGACGACGUGGCUUCCGGCGACGAGGACUCCGACUCGGACGCCGAGUUCGAGUUCCCCUUCGUGAGCCGGGAGUCCGAGGCGGCGGCCGACGAGCUCUUCGCGGGCGGCCGCAUCCGGGCCUUCUACCCGGUGUUCGGCCGAGUCCUGGACGACGAGGCGCCAGCCCCAGCGCCGAGGUCGCCGCUAGGGCGGCUGUUCCAGCUGGAGCAGGCGCGGACCUCGUCCGUCGCGUCCACGUCCUCCUCCUCCUCCUCCUCGACGGCGGGCGCAGGCGCGGCGGGCCUCGACGGCGCGUCCCCGGACAGCUACUGCCUCUGGACGCCCGGGUCGGCGUCGGCGGCGUCCUCGCCCUCGCGGUCGCCGCGGAAGAGCGGGUCCACGGGCUCCAUCCCGCGGUGGCGCCGCAUCGGGGAGCUCGUCGUCGGGCGCAGCCACAGCGACGGGAAAGAGAAGUUCCUCUUCCUCUCCGCGCCGCCGUCCCCGGCCAGGGACAGGGAGAGGGAGCACUCCUCCCCCGCCUCCAAGUCCAAGUCCAAGCCAAAGCAGCCUCAGCCGAAAGGAAGUAAAACCGCCGCCGCCGCCGCCGCCACCGAGCUCGACACGGUCGCCGCGGGGCGCCGGGUGUCCUACGGUGGCGCCAACGCCAAGGCCUCCACCGGAGGUGCGCGGCGCACGUUCCUGCCGUACCGGCAGGACCUCGUGGGGCUGUUCGCCAACGUGCGCGGGCUCAGCCGGAGCCACCACCCGUUCUGAAGCGGAUCCGGUGAGCCACGACGCGCCGUGGAAGCGGACCCGUUCCAAGCAGUGCCGACUUCAAGUUUGAAAUCGGGAUUUGAAAUUUCAGACGUUUUGACUUGGAGAUCCCCUGCAAAGAUGCUCUGUGAAGAUUACUACUGUUAUUAGUAUUACCAAUACGUGUGGGAUCAAAGCAAUUACGCAAGUGAAAAAGACAAGGUGUGAAGUCAGAGAAAAACAGGGGAAAUGUGAGGCCUCCAUUUCAGGAUUCGGCUCGGAAUCGUGGUCUCGAGUCGGUGGCUAACCACCUGCCUGCCCUGCGAUUUGUCAAGGUGGUCUAGGCGGGUACACAUAUACGCACAUGUUGGUGUUGGACAAGAAGUUUACAUUCUGUAUAUGCUGGUAUAUAUAGUAGCUUUGUACAUAUACAUACAAUCUAUAAUGUAUAGAGUAGUUAGAAGUAGGUGGGUUUGUUUGCGAGGAAUUUGGGUUUCCUUGUUUGCAAUCUGCAGUUUUGUGUUGUCGCAUCUCUAAUCUAAUUUUUUACUUAAUUAGCAAGUUUCUGUUGUGCGGUCUCCAAUCUUAUAAAUAAUAUGACGUUUUAAUUAUUAGGAUAUACAGCCACGUAAAGUCUUCUGGGCUGGAGUCAGUAACGUGGAGAACCUCAUGCUCAUCUAAUCUAUCUCUAGCCACAGGCCACCAAUUGUGGAUUACAAAUCUCAACGUGAUCCAACUGGAAGCAAGAAUGUUUAAGUUUUGGCCAGUGUUUGAUGCAUGAGUACGAGAUAGCAUUUCAGUUCUCAACUUUCAGUUCUCAACUUGAUAAUCUGGCAUUUCAACUUUGUUUCCGCGUGAUCCUAGCUGCAAAGCUUGAGUGAGGGUCCAUCAUGAGAUUUAGAUUGAAAAAAAAAAUUAGAUUUAGAUUGACUUAAAUUUUCUAAAGUUUGACAGAAAACAUUAUUAAUAUUUAUAACUUCAAUUAGGUAUACUAUGAAAAAAUAUUUUAUAAUUAAUUUAAGUGUGUUUGUUCGGUAUUGUAAAGGCGCUCUAUAUGUUCCAAAUCAUAAGAUAUUUUAGUUUUUCUCUAGAUUCAUAUAGCUUUUACAAUAUGGGUGUAUACACCAGGUAUUCCUGGUAUUCCCAGGAAUAUCCAACUUUCUUAUGCACUAAGUAUAUAUAUAUAUAUAUAUAUAUAUAUAUAUAUAUAUAUAUAUAUAUAUAUAUAUAUAUAUAUAUAUAUAUUAGCAUUUCUAUAUUUAGCAAAUAAAAUUACUCUCUUAUUUUUUUAAUCUAUUCUUGUAUUUAUUUUUCGACACAUGUUCUAUGUUAGCUCAAUUACCAAAAUUAUUCUAUUUUGUUGUUUCUGCAAAUGAGAAUUUAAUUAUUUAUCUUUAGACCAUGUACAUAUUGACUCAUGCCACCAAAUAUUAGUACAAAUCAUAUCUUAUUUCUAAACUCUUUUCCAAGAUAAGGCCUUGUUUAGUCAUCCCCAAAACCACAAACUUUUUAAGAUUUCUCGUCACAUCAAAUCUUGCAGUACAUGCAUAGAGCAUUAAAUAUAGAUGAAAAUAAAAACUAAUUGCACAGUUUACUUGUAAAUUGCGAAAGGAAUCUUUUAAGCCUAGUUACUCCAUGAUUGGACAAUGUUUGUCAAACAAAAACAAAAGUGCUACAGUGUUAAAAUUCAAAAACUUUUUCGGUCUAAACAAGGGAAUAUGCACAUGGCAGCAUGUAUAAUAAAAGUAUUUUUUUCAUGUGAGUGAACGAGGCAUGAGUGGGAGGCAAUUCCAUAAUCCUCGUUCUUAAAUCUCUAACCCUAGCCGAGCAGAUAUGACGUGGUGGCGGCACUGCUGGUUCCCAGUGUCCUAAGCUUCUGGCAGCGCAGGACAUACAGCGUGGGCAUGGCCUCUAUCUUUAUACUAUGCCUACAAGGCGACUAGAGAGGGUGCACGUCGGUCAUGAGGCAGCUAGAUGAUGACUCACCAGAUACUAGCAACGGAAUACCCAAAAUUUAAAUCCUGGCUCCACCACUGUUUUACAAUGUAUUAGGUAUAUAUUAUGUCUAAAUACAUAUUAGAAGCAAUGCAUUUAGAUAAAGGUCAAAACUUCUUAUAAUCCUAGAACAUAGAAAAUAGUACCUUUUAUAUAUUUUCAAUGGAAAUUUAAAACUAAUUGACUUCAGGCAAACAAAAACGCAGGUCGUUAUUUUUUUUUUCCUUUUGAAUCGGGAGGGAGUGUAUGACACGUUGAUACAGCAUCCCAGAGCCCAGGUAGACACAUCAGGCCUUGUUCAUUUCUCCAGGAAUGAAGGUCUAGAAUAAUUCCUAGCUGAAUUCACAAAUUUGUAUAACCAACGGGGCCUCAAGCAUUUCGCCGGCACAGCGAAGCCACCACCACGCAUCCGGUGGCUGCGAAUUCCUCGCAACCGAAGCCUAGUACGGUCGCAACAACGAGCCGAACGCUGAAGCGUACUCCUACUAUGCAAGAUUUGGAAAACACACGAUGUGGCCAUGUUCGACUAAGGCCUUGUUUAGUUCCGAAAAAAAUCGAAUUUCGGUACUGUAGUAUUUUCGUUUUUAUUUAACAAAUAUUAUUCAAUCAUACACUAACUAGGUUCAAAAGAUUUAUUUUAUGAUUUAUAGAUAAACUGUGUAAUUAGUUUUUAUUUUCGUCUAUAUCUAAUACUUCAUACAUGUGCUCCAAGAUUUGAUAUGACAUGGAAUCUUGAAAAAUUUUUGUUUUUAGGAUGAACUAAACAAUGCCUAAUUAACGCCCCAACUGCCCACGCCCGUGAUUCUCGGCUCAUCGAUCGCAGGCAUCCCCCCAUCCCUCUUGACCCGUUGACCGCCAGCCCGGCCGCAGACCGCCAAGUUGCAAAUUGCAAACUUGGCCUGAGGGAAGACCGACUGGAAGAGUGUCAAUGCUUUUUGCCGGUGCAGCGCCACUUGCAAUUUGCAAACAAAGUAGUACGGAGUACUACCAUUAGUAUUUAAUCACCCCACUAGUCAGACACGACCGGCUCGUACAAGUGGUUUCUGGAACCUUAGCUUAACUGCGUGCAUGCUGGCUUUUUGCAGAUGUGCGCACGUACGUACUGUAGACGUUGGACUUGGACCGGUCAGCAGCUUACGCUACCACUCUUCUUCCCUAUCCAUCUGCAGAGCAGACCCUGUCCCCGGGUCUGUACAUGUUUCCUCUAGUGUCAGAUACAGGUUAAUUAGGUCUGUGGCUAGGUUUACGUUGUAGCUGCACGCUGGUAGGAACUCCAAAAUGACGGAAAGGGCCGGCCGGGCGCGCGCGGUUUACAAGUCGAAUCAAAAUAGUACUCCGUAGAAAAAAGAGCUGCACCAGAUUUACCAGAACUUGUCAACAGAGGGAACAGGAGGAUUUUACACGAGAGAUCGGGUAUAGUGUGACAGAAAGCACCGGCGAGUGUAACGCCUUUUCUCGCGCGCGCGCGUACGUCAGACUCAUGUCGCGGAUGGAUGGAUUCAACGGCGGAGACCUGUGCACUGUGCUCCGUCCGACCUCCCAUCCACGCGUUCGCACAGUGCCGAUCGACCCGAGUCGUCUCCUGCUUUUACACCGGGCACGGGCAGGCAGCAACACGUUAAUUAGAGAGUUGAUAGGCCUCUCGUCGUGCCAGUUAGUUCCCUUCUGGUGCGGUAACUUGCUCAUCAAGCAGGCAGCACACACGCACGUAGUACUCCGACUUGCUGCCAUGUAGGACUAAAUAAAUGUGAGGGUUUUGUUCAGCUUUCAGUCACACCUAACAGACAGACAGACAGCCAAUUUCUUUCUGGCGAUGUAGACGUGAGAGAUUAGUUUUUGCGAGUUGUAGCAUAGCAUAUCUGAGCGACAUAAUAAGAGUCAGAGUCAGCCCUUAUUGUUUUAUUAACCUCUGAAUCGGAGUCGGAGACACACAGCUAGUGGGGACGAUCGAGCAACACGGUCGUUGGGAGCAAUCAACUAAACAAAUGCAGGGGGAGUGAGCAUUCGAUUCCCCACAUCUUGACCCGUCUGAUGAUGAUCUGUGGAAGUGGGUUGGAGAAAGAGCAUCGUUUCACGGUUUCACCUACUACUUCCUACUGCGAUUUGUAAUUUUUGAGGAAUAGAUCGAACGGCACACACAUCCUUCAACUUGUUACUUGUCCUCAACUGCGUAGCAGACGUGCGUAAAUCCUGAACAUCGGUUGUUGGUGAAGGAGCAUUUGGUGGGAAACUGCCGGACAAGAAGUGACCGUGCUGAAUUUUUCAACUUCUCGAUGUUACGGAGUACUAAAUCGUUUAUGCCUUGAGGGUUAGCGUUUCUCAUGAACAUUUGAACUGUACGUAAAAGUACUCGAGCACACCAUGUCACAUCAACACAAGUUGAGCUCUUUUUUUAAUAUAAUAAAGAGAAGGUAGGUAGAGGAAACAGAAGAACGGAUGAGUAGAGACUCAAAAGGAAACAAGCUUAGAGCAACCUCAAUAUAUAUGGUUGAGUAGCCCAUAUAAACAGCUUUUGUGUCAGCAGUCCAUAACUAUUUUUUGUGUUACAAUGUUGAAGGCUGAAUGGACUAAAAGUGUGGGCUCAUUGACACAUAAAAAAAAUCAUCAAAAGCCCAACCAGCUACCUCUCCAUCCUUCCCCUCUCUCUUUCUAGCGAAGCAGAUCGGACAUUGGAGGCAUCGCGGCACCCGCGGAUGGGCGGUUCCGCGGCCUCGACGCACACAGAAGCUCACGACCAUGGCCUCCGGCUGGCCGUUGACCAGGACCGCACUGGAUCUGCGUCGCUAGCACUGUGGUCGCCAGAAGAAACGAUGCCGGUGACUUGGGGACCACCUCCAGCCAGGGAUGGUGUGCUCCGCCGCAGCCUCACGAGUGCGCGGGGCGGGGCAGUGACCUUGCCGGCGCGUGGAAGCUCGGUGGCGCCAUGGCGGCCUCACGCAGAUCCACCGUCCUCCGACUCCCAAGGCGCAAGGACAUCCUUCGCCAUCAGUGCGAGAGGCAAGAGAGAGAGCCGAUAGAGAGGAUAAUUAAUUUUUUAUUUCUUAUGGGUAGUCCAUAGCACUAUGGAUACCUUUAGCUAUGGACUACUCUAUAGACUACUUGUACAAUGUUUCAGGUAACUGAUAGAUAAUAUUUUAAUGGCUAUGGACUACUUCUCUGCAACAUUGUGGUUGCUCUUAGGCCUGGUUUGUUUUGGCCUGGAACCGCACAAAAUGCGGCCUAUUCUGCCCAAACCAAUUUGGCCUGACUCCAAGUCAGGUCAGAUUAGAAAUGACCAUUCAGUUAGAUACGGCUCGGAAUGAAAACUGGUCGAUCCGGACUUCUUUUUUUCCCUUCUAUGGCCAGAAUGGAAACGGGUCAUGAUAUGUCUAGAAUAGAAACGGGCAGAACCAGUAGGAACCACUUGAUUCGGGCCAGGAAUAAGCAGACCCGUUUUUAACCAAAGACAACCGAAGAAGGCCUUAAGUAGCUGAAAAGUAAGAAAAGGUAGAGACCAAGGGAAACAAAGACCAAGCCCAGAUGCAGAGUAGUAGAAAAUAAGACCAGUAGGGAAUAGGGACGAUGUUACAACACAUUAAAACAGACAACACAAGAAACAGAGAGAAAGUGACAUUCUUGUUCCAUUUUUAAGUUGAACUAUAAGCUUUCCUUUCCUGGGCCUCCACUGGGCUACUACCAAAUGAGCGGUGGGGGUUGGGGGGAGGGGGGGGGUUGUACUUUGAAUGUAGAAACUAUCAUAGUUUCUAUAGAUAUUAAUUACAGUGUCAACUAAGCAUUUUGCUGAUGUGGCAAGAUAGUUAUUGAAGAGAGAAAGCAAAAAUCAUAGAAACCGGAUCUAAGUUAGAAACCAUGUCUACACGAGAUUCAAGACAUGAAGUGAUAUGAUUGGUUGAGAAUGGAGAGAGAAUGAAUGUGAUUGGAUAAAAAAAAUUAUUCUAUAGAAAUUAUCCAUUGGGACCAUAGUUUCUAUAUAUAGUGUCUAUAAAAAUUAAAAGAUAUAGAAACUACAUGUAAUUUCUAGCAUUGGGAGUGCCCUUGUACUGUACUCCUAUAUAUACAGUACACACAACCGCCAUAUCUUGAAGUACUCCCUCUGUUUUUAUUUACAUGUUACUUGGAUAAUUAACUAAGUCAAACGGUUGAAUCUUUGAUCAUUUAAGAAACUUAUAUAAAUUUAUGACAUAAGAUUUAUGUUUUUAGAAUUACUAGUAGAAAUACUUUCAUAAUCUAUAAUUCAUAUGUUGUGAAACUAUAAGAGUAUUUUUUUGAAACAGAUGGUCAAAGAUACAAAUGUGACAUGGAAUAAAAAAAACGGAGAGAGUAAACGAGAAGUCACAAUAGUCAUCUGUACGUUGUUGUCAGCUACAUCCCAGAAUUAACAAUGCUCCUUGCUCUCAAAAUUAAAUCCAUCUCAAAAUAAAAUCCAUAAAUACUCGAAUGGCAUUUGCUUUUCCCUUGGCUUGCGUUGCCGUACGUAGUAAUCAUGUGCUGUCUAGACCUGGAGACAAAAAGGAAAAUAUCAUGUGUUUAUGAUGUCGCCAAAAUGAGCACAUCCUGGCAGCAUGUCAAGGCUCAAGUGUGUCAACCCUAGCUUGCACGUACUUGUACGUCGUCGUUCGUUCUCGUUCCGUCCACCGGCCGCGGCCGGGCAGCAUAUGGCAUUAUGGCCCGUACGCAGGUUACUCUUCAGGUGGAGGAGCUUCUUUCAGCGCUGCGGCGGGCGGCGCCGUGCAAGCCUACCGGCAUCGGCAUCGGCAUCGGCAUCGGCAUAAUUGGAGUUCUAUCGGCAGCGUGGGGCAUUAUUGGAGAGUUGGAGCAGCCACACGCAUAGGCAAAACUUGGCCCCGGACCGGAGUCCCCUGCAAGAAACUAACGGGGGGGCAUGGACAAAGGUAAGUUAUUUAUGCAUCGCUGAUCGCUCCUAUCCGUGUGUUCAUUAAUUCACUGCUUUCUGACAGCUCUAGCAAUGGCACACAAAGCAUUAUCUAUGAUCAUGUUUUAUGUAUGUAGUCUAUAAAUUGGUGAAUAUUUAUUGAUCUAUAUUAGUCCCAGUAGUUUCUGCUCAUUUCGGUUUACAUCCCCAGCUAAUUAAGCUCCAUUCUUGUGUCCGUCAUCGAGGUAAUUCCUUCAGCACUUGAGCACUUGUUCAGUUGUUUGAAGAUUUUCGAACGACAUUUUUGAAACUCAAUUAUGAAAGUUGGAGUUAAUUUAUUUGAAGCAAACGAUAUUUGACAGCAACCUUUACCAAGUACCCACCCGUGACCCACUGGGUCUGCGCAUAAUAUGCCCAUCUACUGCCAAAAUGUGGCCGCAUUCGCUGCAGAGAGCAAUCCUGCACGCACAUGAUGAUUUAUUUAUUAUGAUCUAGCAGAUGGCCAGAUGCUGUAGGAAAGUUGCGCACAGGCUAAGGGCCUGGCCCAUAUCAGGUACUCCAAGGCUUUGGACGUUGCCCAACCAGCUCAUGGGCUGAAUUGUAACACGUUCGGACACACAUGUUCCUCCUCACUCGAAAGCAUAUGAAUUCUGAACCAGAGACUCUAGCAGCCAGCAUUUCGCCGACGUGUCUCAGCUCUCAACCUCCAGUCCAGCACGUACGUGGCUGCCUUGCCAGUUGCCACUGGGCACGGGCCCACUGCAACCAGGACCAUGCGUUAAUUAAAUGUGACAGCACCAAUUAACCACCGAACCAUCCGUCCCGGUGAUCAAUAAACGGCAGCCACAUCUUGCACCGACCCUGACCCUGAUGACUGGUGGCCACAAUAUAGAUAGAUGAUAUCUCUUCGGGGCCAAGAAAAGCUCCAAUUGCACACAGAGAUGUCAAUUUCUUCGGGAACGAGAAUGAGAUAGUAAUUAGAUCAAUUUUAUCCUCACGAAGGACUUAAAGAUAGCCCCAUCAGGUAUGACGAGGAUGGGAGCCAUUUCCCGUCCCCAUUUCCCGCGGGGAUCAAACUCCCCAAAAUCACAGCAGCUUACCGAAGUUCCCAACCCAUUAUAACAUCUGAUCACUGUGGAAAGAGCGUUGUAGAAGAACUUUUGACAACAGAACGUAAACAACCGCACUCAUCACAAGUUAGCAAGCUUAAUUCAAUAAGACAUUCUACUGUAUAGAGCGAUAUCAUGUAGAUAACUAAUCUGUAUGUAAAGGCAAAGUGCUGACUGCAAUUGUGGUGCAGUUUUUUCCAUCGCCAUUUUUCCUCUUUUUUUUUUCUGUUUUUCUGGGAACUUUUAAACGCCGUGUAAAUUUCGUUGUAGCCUUCUCCUCCCCCUCCCCCCCCCUUUUUUUUUCUCAAGUGUUGUUGUAGCCUUUUUCACAUGCAAAAGCCAAAAGGCAGAGAGCACCUGCUGUUUUCCUGCUAAAGAAAAAGAAACAGCCGAUCACUAGCAAGCCCACAGUCACUAGCCCACGGCCCACCAACUGUAACGGUAGGCGUCCCUGCCUGCCAAGUCAUAUAGUUUCUAUACUCAUUAAAUUUUAUGGUCCUAAUGGAUAGUUUCUAUAGAAUAUUUUUAUAUCCAAUCACAUUCAUUCUCUCUUUAUUCUUAGCCAAUCAUAUCACUUCAUGUCUUGGAUUUUGUGUAGACAUAGUUUCUAAUUUAGACCCAGUUUCUAUGAUUUUUACUCUCUCUCUUCAAUAACUACAUUGACACUUGAGCAAAAUGCUUAGGUGGCACUACAAUUAAUGUCUAUAGAAAUUAUGAUAGUUUCUGCAUUGGGAGUGUUCUAAUCCCGCCGCCGGCCGCCGCACACCGCACAGGGAGACCGGAGAAGGAAGGAUGAGGGGCAACGCAACGGUGAUGAUGCACAGAGGAUUCAGAUUCGCGUGCCGCUGGCGACAGCGGGAUGACACGCACGGCGAACGGAUGGAUUCGAUCGACUGUCAGCCAUUUAUCAUAAUAAAUUAGAGAAUAGUACCUUCUCUCGUGACUUAUCAGCCAGAAAUGUACAUUCGUGCUUCUUCAUUUUCUUACCAUCAAUUCACGCGCAGUAGAGUAAUUCAAGCUAGCCCGUCUCUCUCAUAGCCAAGAACAACAGUCACUAGCUUGAUUCCGCCGCUCUUGUCUCGGCACUCCGGCAAGCAAACAACUGACAGCAAAGCUCCCUCGUUUUCUUCUGCCUGCGUUCUUCUUCCAAGUCUCCAUCUCUCGUGCCACCGCGCACAACGGUCCAAACGGCUCCCUCGCCGCAGCAGCAUCGCGUCCACACAAACUGCACAUCCACCAGAUACGGCGGUGGUGAUCCGAUCCAGCGUCGUUUCUCGACGACGACGCCGCCGCGCGUUUCUGCACCCACGCACCCCGACCCGGCCGCGCGCGCGCCUGACCGCCCGUGUGGUCCAGGGGACGCCGAUCGGCGCGCGGCCGUCGGCCACACGGUGCCCGGCGCGCGUUAUCCUGGGUGCCGCGCGCGGCGAGGGAAUCGAAGCGAGUGGCGCGCUGGCGGAUGAGGCGGCGAGUGGCCCGGAUGCACCGGCGCAGGCGAGCCGCACGCCGCCGCCCGCCGCGGCGCUCGCGCGCGGACCGCUGCCGCCUGCCGCCACACAAUGCGAGCGCGCGCGCACACACACACACACCACCCGGGCGGGGGGGCUGUAGUAGUAACGGCCUUGUCUUGUCGGCACGCGCGCGUCCGUGUGUAUAAGGAGGCAGGCCCGCAGCACAGGGGGCAAGUGGCACUCGCGCACACAGCACAAUUGAUGUCCGCCUUCCCCGUCCGCGGCUCCACGUCCAGCAGCAGCAUCGUCGCCAGCCUCGGCAGCAGCCGCGCCCCCGCCCCCGCGCCGUCCUCCGUCCGCCGGCGCCCCAGCCUCAUCAGGAACGCCCCCGUCGUCGCCGUCCCCGCCACCCUCGUGGUACGUACGGAGUACAUGCAUACACCAAUGCGUGCAUGGCUCACUGCACCACUGAGCGCAUGCAUGCAUGUCGUCGUCGUCGCUUCUGCUAUCUGUCCACUCACUCGCUUCAUCUAGCUCUCGGCGUCUCCACGAAAUGCUGCACCAUGCAAAAGUGCUUGCUCCAAUUACACCUAGGAGGUUGGUAGUAUGGACCAUGCAUGCAGGAUAUUAAUUCUAGAAAAAACCAAACAAAAUCCGAGUCCAACGCAAGGAUUAUUUCAACCAAAAGUAAUAAUGCACCUCGCCACGUCUAUAUAGUUUUGCUGCUUCGUUGCGCUCCUCAAUCAUCAAUAGGGAAAAAAAAAAAGUGCGUGCCAGCCACGUAUAGUAUGUCCUCCAUAAGAGUAUGGUACGGUGGAGGGGCACCGCACCCUUCCGGGUCUACCAAGAGCUACUAACGCCAGGUCUGCAAAUGCGGCAUACCAUGCAUGUAUAUAUAUAGUAUAAUCUCAUGCAUGUUCUCCACUUAUUUUGGACCAAAAAUCAUGGAAUACUAUACCACUUCCGCCCAUCUUGAAAAGAUGUCAUUCUUCUUAACUCUAACUAUCAUUUAUCACAUCAAAAUGGAUAUGCUAUUAAAAUAUACUUCAUGGUGAAUCUGAUUAUGUAGUAUAAACUUUGGUAUUCUUUUAUAUCCAAUUUGUCAAAUUUAAAUCACUUUCCCAUCAUCUAGUAGCCAGCUAUGCAAGUCAACCAUCUCCAAUAGAAUAUUCCGGAAGGGAGGUGUUUCCAAAGAGAUCGAUGGCCAAUGAUAGUGCUAGUUUGAAGAAGGCAACCACUAGAUGCUUGCUUUCAAUAUAACAGAAUUUCCACAAAAAAGUCUCGAGUGUGGAAAGAAGAAAAAAGCUCCAAGUACACUUGUUUAGUGAUAUCGCGAGCGUAUAAAAAAAUAAUAUAGGGCUGGCUUUUCCCUAAAGCGAUAAGACCAGUACAUGAUAGCUACAGUUAGCUAGGAAGAUGUCGAAGUCUCGAAGAGCUAAUCCGCGCGCGUCUUUUGGCUUUUGAGUUCCGUUUGAUCCAUGGCACAUCCAGGUAGAGGUAUAGUUCAAUAACCGACCAUCAAUAAAGCGCUACUAGUGCCCAUCAACGUCAAUUUACUUUUUUUUAUAACGCCCAUAAUUUCCUGGUUUGCUUUAAUUUGGUCACUGUUGGGUCUUUUAGGCUAGCAGGAGAAAAAAACUUCUUUUUCUUUGUUUUGGAGGAACAAAAUUUUUGCAGCAUAUUGAAUCAUCAGGGACACGAGUUAAUUAACGGUUUUUCUGUAGUAAACUUUGGUAGUGAUAAUCCGCAAACUUGUGAGGCUAUAGCAGUAUGUACGAGGAGCGAGGCCAGAUUUUCGUUGCGCGACGCGACAUCUGACACUGAUCUGAUGCGCGCAAGCAUGACACCGACCGCAGUACCGGACCACGGCGCUCUGUGGUACAGACUGUACAGUACAGUACAGUACAAAACCCGUAGCUGCCAUCAGAUAACGCACUAGAUAAUUAGAUGUGCGGAAAAGGGAAGAAAUAGUAAAAGGAGCUAGCACAUCAUUAAAUCGAAAUAAGAAACAAAUACUGUACUCCAAAAGGGUCGUUCCGGCAUCCAUCGAUGGUUCAAGUAGCAGCAACCAUACUGUACAUGUAUAUUCAUAUUUAUAUAUAGGAGUGCAUGAUUAGCCGCGCGCGGUUCCUCAUUAGCACACCAACAUGAUGGGGUAAGCAACAAAUUAAGCACGGCAGCGAAUGCCCGGAUUAGGAACGCACAUCAGGGAAUUGAACAGCAAGCUUUCGUCUUGGCUGGCAUGAUGAUUUGAUCAGCCCGCUCCAAUAAUUUAGGAAGAGAAGUGGCACGAUCCUGACGGUUGGUAUGGGUGUGAAGGGACUAAUUUAAGCGCGCCGCGAUAAGCAAGAUUCCCAGGGCCGUGUGCCAUCGCCUGUUGGCGUCCGAUCCGAAGCUGGCAGAAUUUGCUACUAGUCGACAGUCCAGACUCCAGAGGGCGGACCGCACGUAGCCAGCCUAUCUAUACUAGUGCAGAUCUGAAUGAUCAGCGUGCCAGCGUCCUUGGAUCUGGGAACCGAUCGAAACCCCUGCGAGGGACCUCCUUUUCUUCGGUCCAGUUGCAGAAUUCGUUAAUCUUGUCUGGGAACGAGAACCCUCUUGGGGAAAUACUAACGUUUUCUUGCGGUGUCGGGAGGAGCUAGCUAGGGAGCAAAAGGGAAGGAUCGCGCUCGCGCAGAUAGAUGGCCACUUGUUUGUUUGUGCUUGGUGUCCCGUACGGUACCCACUGCACCGCACAGAUCGUCAGAAGAUUGCUGCCUCCCAGUCUCGGCCUCAAACGAUUACGAGUACGGAGUACAUGCAUAUAGUACCACCUCCGUUUAAUUUAUGGCCCAACAUUACACCUGGUGGGUUGGUAUGCCAAUGAACGUCAGCACUCCUGAUUGUUGCAUAUAAUCCACUAACUAAAUAGACUUAAAAUAAAAGUUUAGCACGAGCGUUCAUCCAAUUCAUAAAAAAGAAAAGAAAAACUAGGAUGGCGACCUCACAUUGUAUAUGCGUCGUCCACAAAAGCCGCUCUCAGCCGUUACCGAUUUUUUCUGAACGCGCGCGUUGCAUGGUGCCUUUUUCUCUUCACUGACACAAUUGCACACGUCAUGUUGCUAGUAAGCGGGAGGACGAGCAGCUCAUCAAAAGUCAAACGAGAGAGAAAGGGAGAGAGGGCCACACCACAUCCAUUGAUACGGGAGGAGAGACGAAAGAAAACACAAGGAGAUGAGCAGUUGCCUUUGCCUCCCUAAAAAGAAGGAGGGCCAGGGGGCGGCAGCGAAGCCGUCCAUAGAUUCAACCACCUCGACAGUCGUUCAGAACCCGAAGCCUACCCAACCUCCACCUCCUCCCUCCAAGGUCCGUCCUCUCCUUCUCCUCCUUCCUCAUCUCCUCCCGCACCCUCCACACCAUCCUCCAAUCAGCACACACAACAAAUCUCCUCAUCCAUUCCUCUAUUUUCUUUUUCACCAUUGGCAUCAGUAGCCACUACAUGCAACUUCCACUUUCUCUCUACGUAGUUAUUGUGUUUGUGCAAAGAAAGAUCCAUGUUCCUUUUUUUUUAAAAAAAAAUCACCUUUGUGCAUUCUUUUCGUGUGUUCAGUGGGCCGGCAAGGAGGGCAAAAUUGCAUCAUGCCCCCUCCUCUCUCUCUCUCUCUCUCUACCCCUUAUGCUGCAUCACAAUCACGAGCAUGCAAGUCAGUCUUUCUGAGGAUGGCGAACUCUGACCGAUCGACGAUGUUUCUCUGUUGAUACAUAAUGCAGGGCAUGGACGCCGUCGAGCGCUUGAAGGUCGGGUUCCAGAAGUUCAAGACCGAGGUCUAUGAGUAAGUCAUUCUGAGCUGUUUUCUGCACAGCACCCGCGUCUGAUUUAAUCGUUUCAGUUUCAGCCUCAUGGUGCUUGAUUUCUUUUGUGAAUUCUGCGAGCUCCAACUGAUCCCGUGCCCCCUUUGAUUUAUUUUUUCGCAGCAAAAAGCCAGAGCUGUUCGAGCCUCUCAAGGCUGGCCAGGCCCCCAAGGUAUGUGCUACUACCAUACUGCUUUCUCUUCCCGGCUCCCUUGUACGUUUUUUUUUUUUUGUCUCUAGCUAGCCACUCGCAACCCCUGCUGCACUAUUCAUCAUCCACCCUGACAUGUCCCUGGGUGCGCAGCGCAGGCAGCAUUAUUUUCGCCGGCCAGUAACGAGGUCAAAGCUGCACUAGACAAAAGCAAACGGAUUGUCCUAUAAUUGCACGGCUUGUCGGCAUUAGCGGCCAAUUGGCUAGCAGUACGUAGUCUUGUUGGAUAAUAACUAGUCCUGUAAUUGUGUUUGUACAAUUCUGCUCCAUGCAUGGGUCCCGUCGAGGCCAUGGCGCAAAGAAAAUGGUGUAGUGGGAUGCAUGCAUAAUCCUUCGCAGCUCCCACCCGGCCGGCCGCCACUGCGCGCGGAACACUAACGACAUGCGCGCUGCCAGUGCAUCCCCAUGUGCAAAGCCAUACGCCCUGCAUGCAUGCUAGGUGGUGAUUUGCAUUUGGUUGGUAAAUUAUUGAGAUGCCGCCGUCCCUCCGUAUAUAGGCUCACUUUGCAGAUGGCGGAUAUAGUUAUGUUAUUAUAUUGAUUUUUCCUUGAGUUUCCUAGUAGUAUAACGUGGUACCAGAAUCUUGCAAGUACACAGUUUAUUGUUUUUUAUGGGAGUUUUGAGCUGGCAUCGAUCGAUCCCAUGCGCCUAAUUUUAUGCAUUCAUGCAUGAUGAUGUAACUAGCUGGGGUUCUACUAGUUUUCUUUACCCAUAAAAGUUCGGUUACUAGUGGUCAAAUAUUCAUUGUAGUAAAGGAGCGAAGAUAAAACAUACAUUAAUUUGAACUACUCCUAUAGUAUGAUGGUCAAUUCCACCUUCUAGCCGUGUUGAAUUCUUUUUUGAACUGUACGUAAUGGUCACUUCCAUCAUUACUACAUUUGAACGCCCAUUUCAGAUGUCUCAUCAUUUUGAUUUUUGUUUGACACUCACAUACACAACACAAAGAGACGUGAACCCCAAGUGUAGGUGUGUAUUAGCGUUCAUCAUUCCAUGCCUAAUGUGUGUGUGGUCCACCCAUGAUUGAGCACAGGCCCCCCACCACUGCUGUGAUACAUUAUUGCUGAAACUAUCGUCGACCGACCGGUGCUGUACCUGUACGUCCUGUGGUUGUGAAGCACUGGUCCGUCGCUCACCGCACGCACGGGAUUCUUUCUUCAUCGUGACUUAUGCCUUGUUCAAGUUCCCACCGAAAUCCAAAAUUUUUUCAAGAUUCCCUGUCACAUCGAAUCUUACGGCACAUGCAUGAAGCAUUAGAUAUAGACGAAAACAAAAACUAAUUACAUAGUUUGCCUGUAAAUCACGAGAUGAAUCUUUUAAGCCUAGUUAGUCCAUGAAUAGAUAAUAUUUGUCAAAUAAAAACUAAUAGUUGGAUUGAACUGUCUUCUCUCCUGUCCUCUCACACACCCCUUGCAAAAGCAGUUAGGCGCAUAAAUGUUGGGCAGGGCCAGGUGGCCAGCUUUAGCAUUCGCAUCCUCGAGGAAUAUAUGCUCUACUACUCCACGUCUACAGUACAGAUGUCUCAAAGUUAGUGGAAGGUGAUUGCAUUACGCCAUGCGUCUUAAUCGCAUUUGUAGCAUGGAUUUGGACACCCACAUCUCAGGGCCGGCUAGAUAAACCCGUCACGUGAAAUUCGUUCUCGGUUCAUUCAUUCUUUCAUGCAUGCAUGCAUAUAUGCUAGCCUAGCUAGCUCACUUCGCGUGCCAACUUGCCCGGAAAUAUUCCUGCUUGGCCGCGCGCCGGGAAUGGGAUAGAUGAUAGUAGAUCAGCGUGUUGUUUUUCUUGGCCGCUGAUCGCCCCCAAGAACCACACGGAAACUAGCGUAGAAUAUCCUUGUCGCAACGCAACUACUCAAAAGACGUACCAGCUGGCGGGUCAAACCUCAAAAGUUGCCGCCUUUUGGUUUUAUUUUAGGUCUAGUCCUCCACUGAUCUGCCUACCUGCUUAUCGAUAAGAGAGAGCCACGGGAAACCGGCCUGAUGGUGAUUUCCCUCUUUUCGGCGAGACCUGACGGUGAUUUUCCUCUGCAGUACAUGGUGUUCGCCUGCUCCGACUCCCGUGUGUGCCCGUCGGUGACCCUGGGCCUGCAGCCCGGCGAGGCCUUCACCGUCCGCAACAUCGCCUCCAUGGUGCCACCCUACGACAAGGUAUGCAUACACAGACGACGUCCAAUACAAUACGUUCUUUUUGUUCUCACAAUCUCACGCUCACGCGCUCGUUCGAUCGCCUUUCGUUUUGUCGUCAAUCUGCAGACCAAGUACAGCGGCACCGGGUCCGCCAUCGAGUACGCCGUGUGCGCCCUCAAGGUGCAGGUGCUCGUCGUCAUUGGCCACAGCUGCUGCGGUGGCAUCAGGGCGCUCCUCUCCCUCAAGGACGGUGCACCUCACAACUUGUAAGUCAUCACUUUUUUUUUAUUUAUUUAUUUCACGGACACACUUAGCUUGAAGCGUGUGUUGUAUUUCAUUAAACCGAAAUGUAUGUAAUAAUCAACGUAAAAUGUACGUACAAGCAGCUAAGUUUCAUUCGGAACCUCUUUGUGUGCCUCGUGUCAUGAUUUUUUUUUUGACCCUAGCAUGAUGUCUCUGUUUGGUUUGGUGGUGUAUGUAUCCAGCCACUUCGUUGAGGACUGGGUCAGGAUCGGCUCCCCUGCCAAGGCGAAGGUGCACAAAGAGCAUGCCUCAGUGCCGUUCGAUGACCAGUGCUCCAUCCUGGAGAAGGUACGUACACCGUAUGUACACGCAUUGCAUGAAUGCAAUGAGUUGAUUUUGCUCACAAAAGGGACCUUGUAUUUUUCUGAAUGUUUCUGCAGGAGGCCGUGAACGUGUCCCUCGCCAACCUCAAGACUUACCCCUUCGUCAAGGAACGGCUGGCCAAAGGGACCCUCAAGCUGGUCGGCGCCCACUACGACUUCGUGUCCGGGAAGUUCCUCACAUGGGAGCCUGUAGGGUUCAUAACCUUCAUCCUUACAUUUUCAAUUGUACAUACUGUAUCUGAGACCACAUGGUUUUACCUCCUGGCACACUCCAGAUCCAAACUUCCUAUCCAUUUUCUCUCCUUCCUUGCCAUCGCAAUUAAUUUCUUUCUAAGAAGAACAAAAUCACCACCAAAUCCAACCACAACACUUGAAAUCCGCCCCAUGCAUAGCACUUGAAACCAGCCCCAACAUCUUAAUUGACCUACUUCUCAUCUUCUUCGGAUAUAAGAAGAUUGAACCCUAUCUCCACCGCAAAUACAUAUAUCGCGUUCACCCGCUACAAACUUCUAGUCCAGUUGUCGCCUGGUCCUCUAUCCGCUUCAAUUAGGCUUGCCGUUGCAUCGAAUUUCUAACCUCGUUGGUGCACCAGGCUCGUCUGUGGUGAUGGAUAUGAGGCCAUGGCCAUCGAGGUCCAUCUACCACAAAGAUGCCACUGCCUUUUUCCAUGGCCACCAUGGUUUGCCGAAUCAGUUGUCCCCCGAGGAAGCAAUCAUCAUGUUGGAGUCGUUCUUCUCUACAAAACGUGCUCAAGUAGCCAUCGACAUUCCGCUUAAGCGAUAUAUAUUGUCCACAAAAGCUGUGCUUGACCGUUACUCAUUUUUCAUCAAAUCCCGCGUUGUGCGGUGUCUCUUUCUCUCACUAAAACGAUUGCACAUGUCAUCAUGUUGAUGUUGCUAGUAAUCUAGACAAUGGGGCAGCUCAAAAGGUGAACGAGAGAGAUAUAGAGAGAAAGGGAGGGAGGGAGGGCCACACCGCAUCUAUCCAUCUGACUAUAAGGGGGCAAAAGAAGAAAAGAGGAGAAGAUGAGAAGUUGCAUUUGCCUCCCUGUUAUAUAUCAAAGGAGGGUCAAUGAAGCCGUCCAUAGAUUCCCACACCUCGUCACUCCUUGAGAACCAGAAGCCCACCCCAUCCAGUCCAAGGUCCGUUCCCUCAUCCUCCUCCCUCACCCUCGCCAUCAUCCUUCACAUAGCACACACAGUAAUCUUUGUCCGUCCCUCUGUUUUCUUUUCCUCUAUUGCCAUCAUGAGCCUGCAACUUCUGCUUUCUCCCUAUGUUGUAUUGUGUUGGUGCAAAGAAGAUCCAUCUUCCCCUUUUUGAUCAUAUUUUAUGCAUGCUUUCCUUAUGGUCCGUGGCAAGGAGGCCAAGCAUUGGCAUCAUGCCCCUUCUAUCUCUCUCUACCCCCUCAUGCCCCUUCUCUUUCUCUCUCUACCCCCGUCAUGCUGCAUCACGAUCAUGAGUAUGCAAGUUGGUCUUUCCGGGAUGGCAAAAUGACCGAUGGUUUUCUGGUUGUUGGUCUUGUAGGUGAUGGACGCCGUUGACCGCUUGAAGAGCGGGUUCGAGCAGUUCAAGAUCGAGGUCUAUGAGUAAGUCAUCUCUCUACUUAGAGCUGUUGUUUUUUUAAUUUGUAGCACCCAUGUUUGGUUUAAUAUUUUCAGUUUCAACCACUUGAUUUAUUUUGGGAAUUCUGAGAGCUCCGACUGAUACUGCCAUGUUGUCUUUUUUCUGCAGCAAGAAGCCAGAGCUUUUUGAGCCUCUCAAAUCUGGCCAGGCCCCCAGGGUAUGUGUAGGGAUGAAAAUGGAUCAAAUUUGUAUAGAAUCAAAUCCAUAUAUCACCUCUUAACACAUUUUUAUUCAAAUUCAGUUAUUGGAUACAUAUACUUUUGAAUACAAAUAUAAAACAAAUGUCUUGAAUCUGUAUUUCUAUUCAAAGAUUUACUCAAUUCAACUCAAAUUGUAUAUUGCUAAAUUCAACGUACAUGUAUACAAUUUUACUACUAAAUUCAUCGAUAAACCUUUUUUGCUUUAUCAAUUUUUUAGGUUUACAAACUAUUAUAUUGAAACAUUUGUGUAUAUAAUUUAAAAUGAAUGGUGACAGCUUGUCGCCAUUAGCGGCCAAUUGGCAAGUACUAGUAGUAGUCUGUUGGAUAUAAUCCCUCCAUCCUAAAUAUAUGCAGAAAUCAUCUAUUGAGGAGUAAUUCUUUUUUUCAGUUUAACUAAAAGUAUAAUUUAUUUCGAAAAAAUACUAAAUGCUCAAUCUAAUGAUAUUUAUUAUACACUAUAAACAUUAAUAUAUUUUUAAUAUAAAUAUAAUUAAAAUUUAAAAAUUUGAAGUUUCAUAAAGCGAGAUGUACAGUUAUUUUGGGACAAAAGAAAUAGUCCUAUAAUUAUUUUGUACUACAAAAGUCUGCUCCAUAGGGCACAAGCUUCAACUUUGGCACUACUAGUCAUAGGCUCAUUGCGCAAAGAAAUGGUGGUGGGAGUGGGAUACAUACAUGCUCCUUCUUUUCCCGAUCGAUCGACCUGAUGCUGAUUAUUUUCCUCUGCUGCAUGCAUGCAGUACAUGGUGUUCGCCUGCGCUGACUCCCGUGUGUGCCCGUCGGUGACCCUGGGCCUGAUGCCCGGCGAGGCCUUCACCGUCCGCAACAUCGCCGCCCUGGUCCCAGGCUACGACAAGGUACGUACACACUGACCGUCGUCGCCGACGACACAAAAUGGCCGUCUAUUUCUCCUCGGCCCGGCCGGCCGCCGCCGGCCGGGCAUGACAGAGGAUCGAGGACUGACACGGCCGCGCCUUUCGUAUUCGUCACCUGCAGACCAAGUACACCGGCAUCGGGUCCGCCAUCGAGUACGCCGUGUGCGCCCUCAAGGUGCAGGUGCUCGUCGUCAUUGGCCAUAGCUGCUGCGGUGGCAUCAGGGCGCUCCUCUCCCUCCAGGACGGUGCACCUGACAACUUGUAAGACGCCACCGUAAAAUAUACAAAGUUUCAUUAAGAUAAAACAAAAAUUCUUUUGUACCUCUAUGAUGAUUUUGAUCCCAGCGCAUUUUUAUCUGUUGUUUUUUUUGUGGUGUAUCCAGCCACUUUGUUGAGGACUGGGUCAAGAUUGGCUUCCCUGCCAAGAUGAAGGUGAAGAAAGAGAACGCUUCGGUGCCGUUCGAUGACCAAUGCUACAUUCUAGAGAAGGUAUGUACACCGUACAUGCACGAGCAGUUAGUUGCUGCAUGAAUGGAUUAAUUUUUGCUCACCGGAGAACCUUGUAUUUCUGAAAAUGUUUCUGCAGGAGGCCGUGAAUGUGUCCUUGGAGAACCUCAAGACCUACCCAUUCGUCAAGGAAGGGCUGGCCAACGGUACCUUAAAGCUGGUCGGCGGCCACUAUGACUUCGUGAAAGGAGAGUUCCUCACAUGGAAAGUCUAGAGCUAAGGCACCCGGACGGCCCAACUCCUACAUCAUCAUAAAUUUAUACCACAUAUAUACCUACCGAUAUGCACCCGAUCGAUGCGAAUGCGCGGAGUACUACAUGCAUGUUUUCAGCAACUACAUAUAUACAUACCGGAUCGCCCCAAUGUGAAUGUAAUAAGCAAUAGCAUUUUCAACCGCUUUCAUUUCUAACGCCGAGCUUUUAUGUACUAUAUAUAUAAUAUGAUGCAUAAUUGACCGGCUUGUGGUCAAAAGACAUCAACUAUAAUCCUUUUUUCAUAAUAUUGUUAUGAAGAGUUUACCUCUUUUUUUUGUCAUUAACGGAUCCAGAGAAACAGGCCAGGAGGGCAACACGCCAACACCCUCCGUCCUAAAAUAGAGUGCAUUCUGACAUUUAAGAUGUGUCCCAAAAUAUAGUACAUUCAAGGAACAUGAAGAUAAUAUUUACUUAAAUAAAGUUACGGAAGAGGAAAGUAAUUGAGUGCUUACUAUAUUUUCUAUAAGAAAACUUAGAUUGCAACCUUUAAUCAUACGAAUAAGAUCAUAUUUCAAUAUAUUAGAAAGUUAAGUGAGUAGUACAUGCGUCUAUUGUUUUUUCUCUCUCUCUCUUAUUUUGUCUUAAAUAGCCAUAACGCACUGUAUUGCAGAGCGGAGGGAGUACUUUGGAAGCAUCAAGAGCAAAAUCCAAGGAUGGAAAGCCCCAUAUGAACAACUAAGAUGAUAACUAGAAAUCAUACUCGCCAUACACGAGUACUUUGGAAGCAAGAAGAGCAAAAAUCCAAGGAUAGAAAGCCCCAUAUAAACAACUAAGAUGAUAACCAGAAUUCAUACUCGCCAUACACCAAUAGAUCUAACAAACAGCACUCAAUUCAAAAUGCUUAAUUAGACAAUACAUCAUUAAUGAUAGAAAGGUACUUAAUAAAUAGCUUCCGAUAAUUAAAUGAUCAAAUAUGUUUCACAAUUUCACACCACUUGAACAAGCAUCCUCCAAUCUACAUACAAAAUAAAAUAUCAUGGUUCUUCAAACAACAUGAUAAUAUUAUGGAUUGAAAUGAACUUAUACAACACACACCUUGGUCCCUUGUGUGGCAAAUUUAUCUACAAAUUCUUAAGACCUGUAAGCGGUUACACACUGUCCACACAUGUUCUACGCUUUAAUCAAUUUGAUUGGUUAUCAAACCAUUAUUGAACAAAACCUCUUGAUUAACUUUUAGUUUUACUCUCUUUUGUUGUUCUUUUAGUUUUACCCUCUUUCGUCUAGAGACGACGACUCCUUUCCCUAUUUCUCGCGAGGAUUCCUCUAUUAGGGGACAGAGAUAAGACCAAAUUAACCCCCAUAGGUAACUAAACAGAACCAAAUCUAUCCACUUGUAUCUACUGGGGCUGGGGCCGGGAAGCUUUCCUCGUACCUGCUCCUUGUCAAGCCCUCUUUAGCCGACUCUUCAUCUAGCUAUCAAUCUGACACAAUUGCAUCCAUCCAUCUUUGAUUCUUAUCUUAUACUAGAUAAUGGCUCGUGUAUUGUUGUGCACACACAAAAUUUUAAUCGAAUAACUUUUUUUACCAAAAUGAACUAAAAUAAACUUUUAUAUAGGUAUAAAAUUUAAAUUCAGCAUGACAUAGAAUUACCUAUAUUUCAAGUUUUGAGAUCCUUUGCAAUUGAAAAAAAAGGUAUUACACUUUAAUAAACCGUACGUAUCCACAUAUUGUGUUUUGGUGGGGUUCGAAGCAGAAUCCAUGGUGACCUUUGUGUUACAAGCAUUUUAACACCGACCUAGAUAUCAAAAAUCAAGUCCAAAAUAGUAAAAUUGACCAUAACAGUUGGAAUAAAAACGCAGCUUUAGCUUGAAAUAACUUGCAGGUAUUCAUGAUCAGAUUGAUCAAGAUAUUCAUGAUCAAGGAACGCACAAGGAAAAUGCUGAGUACAACCAAACUUGUACAGUUGUACUUAAGUAACAAUGACCUAUACAAUUGACUUAUACCAUUGACUUUUACCUGUACAGUUGCAAUCAAGUAUGGUACUUAUUUGAAAACAUAGCAAUCCAUUUCAAUGUAAAUGUAUUGAACCUUGAAAAAUAAUUUCGAGGAUUACAUAGUACAACAUAGACGUCUACAACAUGCACGCAUACUCACACUAAUGAAUACACAUACGCAAACCAUACUCAUAUGAGCAUCUCCGAAGAAUUAAGCUGACAGAUCAUCUCGAGAUUCACAAAGUCAUUAAAGGCGUCUCGUUCUCGACGGGGACGUCACCUACCACUGGAAACAUAGCGUCGUUAAAUCUUGAAAUAAAUUUAGAAAAACAUGAGCACCCAUGCUAAGUCGACGAGGUGUUUGGGACUGCUCUGCUCCACUUUUUUCAGCUCCGCUCCACGUUUUUUAGCCAAACGGUUUCAGCUCCACGCACUGAGUUCGAGAAAAAAAAGUGGAGUUGUGAGAGCACCUAAAGAGGUACUCCACGAACUCCAGUUUUUUGUAGAGCUACUUCAUAGUGGAGUUUGUGAAGCAGAGUUCGUGGAGCAGUGCCAAACACCCCCUUAAACCUAGAUGGACAAGUUAACGUGAAAAAAUAGUUUAAUUUGCACUCCAGUCUUAUAGAUUUUUUUUGCGAGGACCAAUCUUAUAGAUCUAUAGUAAUUGAUUUUAUCUAGACAAUGUCUAAUAUUGCCACGUAGAACAAAUUAGCACCACCAGCAGAGAAACUUUAGAAAGAAGAUAUAUAAAUCAUAAGUUAUUCUAACUUUUUAAGUCAAAGCAUAUUAGUUGACCAAUUUUAUAGAAAAAUCUUAAAAGUUUUAUGAUAUUAAAUAGGUAUAUUAUAAAAAUAUAAUUAAUAAAAAUUUUAAUAAUACUUAUUUAAUAUUAUAAAGGUUUUAUAUUAUAUAAUAAAUUUUGUUAGAUUUGAGGUGAGUUGGAAUAAGUUAUAAUUUAGAAUGGAUAUUGUAGCUAGUAGAAGUACUCCCUCUAUUCUUGAAAGAUACAAUUUCUAGAGUUGUCUUAAAUCAAACUUUUAAAACUUUAACCGAAUUUCUAGAAAAAAGGUUAAGAUUUAUAGUAGUAAAUUGAUACCAUUAGAUCUAUCAUAGAAUAUAUUUUUAUAAAAUACUUAUUUUAUGAUAUAAAUAUUGAUGCUUUUUUGUAAAGAUCAUUAAAUUUUAAAAAAAUUAACCAACACGAAUUCUAGAAGUUGAAACUUUCAAUAAGGUCUUGUUUAGUUCACCCCAAAAACCAAAAUCUUUUCAAGAUUCCCCGUCACAUCGAAUCUUAUGGUACAUGCAUGGAGUAUUAAAUAUAGAUAAAAAUAAAAACUAAUUGUACAGUUUACCUGUAAAUCACGAGAUGAAUCUUUUAAGCCUAGUUACUCUACGAUUGGAUAAUGUUUGUCAAAUAAAAACGAAAAUACUACAGUUCCGAAAAUUUUUCAGUUUUCGAAACUAAACAAGGGCUAAAGAGUAGUGUUUAUGACAAAAGGAAAAAAAAAAAGAUCGGCACUUGGCACCCGGCCACCCGCCCUCCACCCUAGGCCCGACGCGACCCGACCCCCACCUAGACCGGUCUCGGUCGGACUCUCGGCGUCUCUCGCCACGCGCGGGCGCGCCGCAAACAGUCCUCCGCCCGCCGUCGUACCACCCCCACCCGUGCUUCCUCCGUCGGUUGGCUGCAACAAGUCGGCAGCGCCGCGCCCGCCUCCCGACGCCCCAAGCCCCCAAUCGCUCCUCCUCCAUUUCCCACCCAUCCAGAAGUCCGCCGGCGCAGAGGGACCAGGGUUCGCCGCCAGCAGAUGCAGUUGCAGGAGCAGGGUUCGCCGCCAGCGCCAGUAGACGCAGGAGCUCGGCGGAUCCACAUCGGAGGCGAGCUGAUCCUCUACAGAAGGUGCCCCGCUGCUCCUCCCGUAGUCCUGCUGCUCCCGUAUUUGAUUAAUUUCUCCGGCUGCGAAUCGACUCAUGGGGGAAGAAACAGUUUUAGACGACAACGCCCUGGCUUUCUCGGCGGGUACGUAAUCCCCGUCCAGGGACGGGGAUGGGGAUGGGGUGAAAGUGAAAAACCCUCCCCUGCGAGGUUUUACGGGGACGAGGACGGGGAUGGGGAAGCGUUCCCCGACGGCGAAUUUCCCGUUGCCAUCCGCUCGUCUGUGAUGCUGGAUACGACGAGGCCAUGGCCAUCGAGGCCCAUCUACCACAACGACGACGGCACUGCCUUUCUUCCAUGGCCACCCGUGGUUUCGCUGAAUCAGUGGUCCCAAACUGUCAUUUUGGAGUCGUUAUUUCUCCUCCUCCAAAACGCGAGGAGUAGCCAUCGACAUUCCGCUCGCUCAGGCGUUUAAUUUUGUCCACAAAAGCCGGGAUCAGCCGUUACUGGGCGUCUCUUUCUCUCGCUGAAACGAUUGCACGUGUCCUGUUGCUAGUAAUAAACUGGACAACGAGCGGGGCAGCUCAACAAGAGGCACAGCCAAACGAGAGAGAGAGAGAGGAGAGGAGAAAGGGAGGGAGGGCCGCCGCGCAUCCAUCCGUCCGGAGAUAAGAGGGGAGUGGAAGAAAAGAGGAGAAGAUGAGCAGCUGACUUUGCCUCCCCCGUUAUAAAAGGGAGGAGGGGGCAGGGAGGAAGCCGUCCAUAGAUUCCUCCGCCUCGUCACUCCACUCCUUGAGAUUUGAGAACCACAAGGGCCACCCCCCACCCACCCUCCAAGGUCCGUCCCCUCCUCCUCCUCCUCCUCCCUCACCUUCAGCACCAUCCUCUCCAUUCCUCCACACAGCAAUAUCUGUCAAUCCCCCCCGUUUUGUUUUCCUCUGUUGCAAUCAGUAGCGUGUACCCUGUAGCUGUAGCUUCCACUUUCUUGCUGUGUCGUACUGUGAUGGUGCAAAGAAGAUUCCUGUUCCCCCUUUUAGAUCACCUUUGUGCAUGCCUUUUCUUGUGGUCCGUGGGCAAGGAAGGAGGCCGAAAAUUGCAUCAAUGCCCCUCCCUUCUCUCUCUGUCUAUACCCCCUCAUACUGCAUCACGAUCAAGAGCAUGUAUGCAAGUUGGUCUUUCUAGGGAUGGCGAACUGACCGGCGAUUUUCUGGUUAUUCGUCCUGCAGGACAUGGCGGACGCCGUCGACCGCUUGAAGACCGGGUUCAACAAGUUCAAGACCGAGGUCUAUGAGUAAGUCAUCUCUCUACUCGAUCAGAGAGCUGUUGCUUUCUGCAGCCCCGGCGUUUGGUUUAAUCGUUUCAGUUUCAACCCCAUGGUGCUUGCUUUUUUUUUUGGGGGGAACUCUGAGAGCUCCGACUGAUCCUGUGCCUGCUUGAUUUUUGUUUUUUUCGCAGCAAGAAGCCGGAGCUGUUCGAGCCUCUCAAGGCCGGCCAGUCCCCCAAGGUAUGUGCUACUGCCAUACUUCGCUCUCUUCUCACCUCCCUUGUACGCCGCUAAGUUUUUCGUCUCUAGCGACUCCGGCCGGCCAGUUUUCGGUUAUCUGUCGUACUCGUAGGUGCUGCUGCUCCCGUGAUCCUCAGCACAGAUCCUGGAUGGUUAAUUAGACAAAACCGUGUUCAGUAAAUUCGGAUUUUCCGUGGGCCUCUGGGCAACGUCCGACUGGCCCACAGAUUUGGUGCUACUCUUGCUUGCUGGUUGCCCAUCUGCCUCAGAGAACCGCGUCGCUGCUAGUACUAGGCUCUGUAGCUCAUCAGUAUCCCUGCAUUGCAAUGCACUAUUCAUCGUCCACCCUGUCGUGUCCCUGGGUGCGCACGCAGCCACGCCGGUAAGGUGAGGUCAAAGUUGCAGUAGACAAAAGGAAACCUUUGUGCCGGUACCGAGGUCAAAGUUGCAGUAGACAAAAGGAAACGGAUUGUCCUAAUUGCACGGCUUAAAACUGAGGUGACAGCUUGUCGCCAUUAUAUUAGCGGCCAAUUGGCAAGUAGUUCUGUUUGGAUAUACUACAUAACUAGUCCUAUAAUUGCUUUGUGCAACAGUGCAAGUCUGCACCAUAGGGCACAAGCUUCAGCUUUGGCACUACCAGUCAUAGCGCAAAAGAAAUGGUGUAGUGGGAUAUACAUGCAUGCUUGCAAAGCAAAAUCCUUCACAGCUCCCACCGGCCACCACUGUGCCGGGCACUAACCCCAUGUGCGGCAUGCUAGCUGGUGAUUUGCAUUUGUUUGGUAAAUUAUUGAGAUGUCGCCGUCCCUAUAUAGGCUCACUUUGCAGAUGACGGAUAUAGUAGUACGUUAGUAUUAGUAUAUUGAUUUUCCUUCAGUUGACUAGUAUAAACCUGGUGCAAGAAUCUUGCAAGUACAGAGUUUAUUGUUUUAAUUUAUAGGAGUUUUGAGCUGGCAUCGAUCCCAUGCGCCUAAUUAGUAAAUACUUCAUGAAAUGCAUGCAUGCAUGGUAUAGCUAGCUGGUUCUACUGGUUUUUCCUACCCAUGAAAAUUACUAGUAGUCAAAUAUUCUUUGUAGUAAAGGAGAAGAUAAAAGCAGUCUAAUUUGGCGUACUCAGUCUGUGGAAAACAAAGAACUACUCUGCACAUUGUUUGAAUUAUAAUGGUCACUUCCACCUACUAGCCGUGUUGAAUUCUUUUUUUGAACAUAUGGUCACUUUCAUCAUUACAUUUGAAGGGGCAGCAACAGAUGGUGGUGACCAGCCAUUUCAGAUGUCUCAUCAUUUCGAUUUUUUUGUUUGACACUCACAUACACAACACAAACACAAAGAGACGUGAACCCCAAGUCUCCUUUACCUUAUAUGAUAGAACAGAAAUAAUGCAAGGGGAGCCAUGUACUAGAUAAGAACAGGUGUGUAUUAGCAUUCAUCAUUCCAUGGCUAAUGUGUGGUCCAGCCAUGAUUGAGCACAGGCCCCACCAUUCACCUCACGGGAUUCUUCUUUCUUCAUCGUCAGUAUAGAAGAGGAGUAGUUGGUUUGGACGUGUCCUCUCCCCUCUCCUCUCACACCCCUUGCAAAAAAGUUAGGCGCAUAAUUGUUGGGCAGCAGGGCCUAUUGGCGGUUGCUUUAGCAUUGAGAACACUGUGUAUUCGCAUCCAUAUCUCACUGGACAUGCCGAUCCUCGAGAAAAUAUGCUUUACUACACUACAGAUGUAUGUCUCAGAGUAUAUAUACACAAAAAAUAGUGGAAGAUGAUUGCAUUACGCCAUGGGUCCUAAUCACCUUUGUAUCCCCGGGUCCCUUUCCAAAUCAUGGCCUCCCAAGUCCCAAGUGUGAGCUAAUCCAAGCCAGAACAAAUAUUCCAGCGUCCUGCCUCCCGAAGACUCCUGAUGGCUGAUGCUGCUCUUUGCCGUCAAAUUAAAGCUUAAUCUGCACUAUUGAUUUGGACACCCACAUCCCAGGGCCACAUAAACCCGUCACAUGAAAUUCGUUAUCUGUUCAUUCACUUAUAUGCAUAUAUGCAGCCUCCCUUUUGCCUACCAACUUGGCCGGAAAUAUUCUUGCUUGGCAGCCGGGAAUAGGAUAGAUAAGCGUGUUUUUCCUUGGCCGCUGAUCUGCCCCGGGAGCACACGGAAACCAGCUUAGAAUAUCCUCGUCGCAACUUGUACUAGUAGCACGGAAGGAACCUUCCUGCAGCCUGGAUUUUGUCCAUCCUGCCCCUGUAAAAAAAAGAGCAUUGGAACAACAAAGACAGGCGGGUCAAAACUCACAAAAGCUGCCGCCUUUUGGCUUUGGUUGCCAGCUUGCAAAUCCACCACAGCCAGAAUCGUGUAGUACUCCACUGAUCAGGACCGAUCUGCCUACCUGCUUAUCGAUAAGAGCCGUGGGAACUGGACUGAAUUUUGCCGGCUCUCCCUCUUUUCACCGACCUCUGAUGGUGAUCUUCCUCUGCUAACACGCAGUACAUGGUGUUUGCGUGCUCCGACUCCCGUGUGUGCCCGUCGGUGACCCUGGGUCUGCAGCCCGGUGAGGCCUUCACCGUCCGCAACAUCGCCGCCAUGGUCCCAGCCUACGACAAGGUACGCGUCCACACUGACCGACGCAUUGGACGUCUAAUUUUUUCAAGCCCGGCCGCCGUGGAACAUUGACGGACGACUAACAUGGUUGCCUUUCGUUUUUGUCACCUGCAGACCAAGUACACCGGCAUUGGGUCUGCCAUUGAGUACGCCGUGUGCGCCCUCAAGGUGCAGGUCCUCGUCGUCAUUGGCCACAGCUGCUGUGGUGGCAUCAGGGCGCUCCUCUCCCUCCAGGAUGGCGCACCUGACACCUUGUAAGUCAUCAUCCCUAGAAUAUAUACAAAUUUCAUUUAGGUUAAGAAACAAGACUCGUGUGCCUCGAUCGAUCUCGUGUCAUGAAUUUGAUCCUAGCAUUGUUGUCCGUUUGUUUGGUGGUGUAUGUACGCAGCCACUUCGUUGAGGACUGGGUCAGGAUCGGCUUCCCUGCCAAGAUCAAGGUGAAGAAAGAGCACGCUUCGGUGCCGUUCGAUGACCAGUGUUCCAUCCUGGAGAAGGUACGUACACCGUACACGCACGAGCUGUUAGUUAUUGGAUGAAUAAUGGAUUGGUUUUGCUCACCAAAGGACCUUGUAUUUUCUGAAUAUUUGUGCAGGAGGCCGUGAACGUGUCCCUCGACAACCUCAAGACGUACCCCUUCGUCAAGGAAGGGCUGGCCAACGGGACCCUCAGGCUGGUCGGCGGCCACUACAACUUCGUGUCAGGGGAGUUCGACACAUGGGAAAUUAAGAGCUAAGCUGCCCGGCCGGCCGCUUAACAACUCCUACCAUCAUCAUAAAUAUAUAUACUACAUACCUACCGAUAUGCACCCGAUCGAUGUGAAUGCGUGGAGUAUUACUCAUGUUUUCUGCAUGCAGCGACAUAUAUAUAUAUAUACCGGAUCGCCCAAUGUGAAUGUAAUAAGUAAUAGCAUUUUCUACCGCUUUUAUUUCUAACGCCGAGCUUUCAUGUACUAUAUAAUGUGUUAUAUGAUGAGUAAUUUGACCGCCCUGUGGUCAAAAGACAUCAGCUAUAAUCCUUUUUUCGCAAUAUUUAUUAUGAAGCGUUUACCUCUUGUACUGCCUUUACUGUUCAUCUUUUCUGUCUCUCUAUGAAAUGCUGAUAUAUGACACCAUUUAUGUGAG
rnacentral:lncRNA from 1 species